rnacentral:lncRNA from 1 species
CAACAAGAAAAGUGUAAGUAUGAGUUAUUGAAGAUGUAAAAAUUAAAACAGAAGUCAACGUCGAUACAAAUUAACCUAACUUGGGCCAUGAACGAGUUGGUGUUAACGUAAAAUAAUUGAAUAAAACAUUAGUUUAUAAUAUUUAUAGAAAUAUAUUUGAAAACAUAAGAAGGAAUGUUGAAUAGCACAGCAUUAUAAAGCCUAAUAAGGAAAAAAUGUUGAGUACUUGGAAAAAUCCGCAUGGGAUGAAGAUAAAGAAAUUCAUAUAAAGUAUUGCAGUGUCUGGCAGCAACCCAAACGUCAUUAUCAAGUGGUGGGAAUCAAAUUAAUGGGCUUCCAGUUGAAAGUUCAGUCACAAAAGGAACCCUAAAUUUCAUAUUCUAAUCAUGCUUUAAGAUUCUUAUUUUUGGCCUUAUUAUUAUCACACCUUUAAGAAUUAAUUAAUAUAUUUUACAAUAUAUAUUUCUUAAAAAUGUUUUUAUAAUUUACAAUAUUUGACAGUAUUUUUGUAUAAUAGAUUUUGUUUCUGUAGUUUACAUAUAUAUUAAUAGUUCUAUUCUGUUAACGUUGUGAAUUGACAGUCAUUUGUAUAUGGAUUAGAGGAAUAUCCCUUAUCUUUAUAAUAAAAUUACUUUGAUAAUCUUUUUUUUUUCUGAAAAAUGUAUCCUUUCUCUGGAUGUAAUAGAACCUUGUUCCAUCGUAAUCCAAUGAUAUAUAAAACAUUGGAAAGUGAAAAUACUUUACCAUAUAAAGAAGUAUAUGCUGCAAAAUGCAAUGGAGGCAGUUGACUAAUUUUAUUUAAGAGAUGUAUCAUACUAUUUUUCAUUAUAUUUUUAUUACCAAUCAUUCUGUUGAUUUUGAAACAAUAUUCUAUCAAACUACUUUACAAGAUAUAUUAAUACCCUCAUCACUAUCAAUUUCUCUUUUUCUUUUUAUUUUCUUUCGUGGAUACUCAAAUUUCGAUAUCUAAACCAAUUAACUUAUGUAGCUGCCUUCUAUCUUUUUAUAAAUCAAGUUUUCGAAUUUAUUGUUGCUUUGAUUUCUUUCAGUAUUAAUUUAUAGAGGGAAUCUCUAUCACUCUUUUAUGAAUCAAGUUUGAGAUUCAAGUUAUAGUGUUAAUUUUAAUCUUGAUUAUAUAAUAUACCAAAAUUUUAUAAUAAAAAUUUAAUUAAAAAUACUUAAAUUUAAAUUUAUGAGAAAAAGUUAAAACUUAAUUAAAUUAUUUUUUAUUUUUUAUAUAAAAUACAUAAAUUAGAACAAUAUAAAGAACCAAUUAUAUAUAACUAAAAAAAUAAAAAUUACAUAUAUUCAAAUAAAAAUUACAAAUUUUAAUAAAAAACUUAAUUAAAACUAAUUAUAUCUAUGAAAAUUUAAAAAGUAUUUUCCAAAUCUGCCUACGACACGAAUAUAAUUUUUUUUUCUUGUAACGAGUUUUUUCCAUCAACUCUUGUAACGAAAAAUCUUAUUACUCUACUUCACAAAUAUACAUGCAUGCUCUGAAUAGAAAAAAAUACACUUGUAUGCUUCUUUUUUAUUUUAUUAUAUAAUCAAUGCCUUCCUUGAUUUUGAAUUAUUUGUCCAGUCAAAUCAAAAACAAAAGAUCAUAGAGCAAAAAUAGUAAUAUAUUUAUUAAUAAUAUAAUAUUUUAUUCAAUUUAAAAAUAAACAUUAAUUAUGAAUGAUCGGAGAUGUGGAGGUUCGAUAAAGUUAUGUAUCAAAUAUUUUUCUUCAUUCUGAUCAAAAGAAUAUAAAACAUUUUCCAUUUUUUAAAUACAGUAAGCAAUGAUACAACAAUGUUAUAUAUACAUUAUACCACCAAUUAUUUUUUAUUUGAAAAUGUUCCAAAUCAAUGAUAUGAACUGCCAAAACAACAAUUAAAGACCCGAUAAGUAGGGAAUGACAUGAAAACAAAGUUAAAGAACAAACAAUGAAUUUCAUGGUGAUUGAUAUACGAUAAAGAUAAACAUGGAAUUCAUGUAAUUAAUAAUAAAAUUAUGUCAUUAGAUGCAUUUGAUGAAGUUCAUGAAUGGCUGUAAUCCACGCUAUAAAUAUAAUGACCCUUAGAACCUCCAAGAGACACUUUUAGAGUUUUCAAUCCCUUUUUAUUUAGAGCAAAGGGUCGUAUGAGCAAGGAAUGAUCAUAAUAUUUAAAUCCAAUUACAACUAUAAAGGGAUAGGUGUUUGUAUGUUUUCACUUUGUCACCUCUUGUUUUAAUAACAAUGUAGUAAAAUGAUUUGAUAAACUAUAAAUAGGGAUAAAAAUGAGUGUUGUACAUACCCACCUCAAAUAUUGCAUGACAUUUAUUACUAAAAUCUCGAUAAUAUGUUAUUUUUAAAUAAUUAUUAAAUGGUUUUUUUUUUUUUUACAUUUUAUCUUUAAAUGCCAUGUUUUUUAUUUAAACCAUACAUAUGAUGUAAGGUUUUGAAAUAAUAUAAAUAUGCAUACAUUUUAUUAGAAGACUCAGUGGAAUUUAUAUUUAUUUUCUUGUAGAUAAAAAUUUAACUCUCUGAUUUGAGCGUUUUUGCUAAGUGGAUCUCCCCUCUUAAUAAUAGGAGACUCUUUUUAAAUAAAAGAAAUAAUCAAAUCACUUUUAGGAUUUCGUCACCUGUAUGCAAAUUCAUUAUAAAAAUCUAGGUAAAAACAUUGGCACCUAUUGUGGGUCCUCACUAAACGUUUCUCCGACAUCUUAUUCCCAUGGCCACCACUCACAACUACUCAACAACGACCAUACAACAUCGAAUGUAGAAGCUCAUACAACAUUAUGAAGAUCUAGCGCAAGUAACAUCAUAUCGAGAUCGAGAUCCUGUGACAUGUAGGAGCUCUGACCAGCUUAAAGAAGGAAAAACCAUCUCUUCGGUCUCAACCAUCAACCAUCAUUGAAACGAAUACACAAGUGCUAAUAAUUAAAUAUAGUUCCUAACUAAAGCACCGUCCUCCCUCUUUAUGAUGACAAUGACAUUGGAAACAUGGACACCACCAAUCCUAAUUUCCCUGGCAGAUAAAAUAUGCUUCUUGAUGGUGUAGAUACAGAGGACCAAGCCUUGACAUCCAAGAAGAUGCUCCUAUCUGGCCCAACAAAAACUUGAACCCAUUUUGAAAGGAUGGUGAAAGGGAUUGUCACCAUCAUUAGUAAAAAAUUUGAGAAAUCAUCUUCCCAGCCUACCGAGCUACUUAGCCCAACAGUUUGACGAGAAUCCAAAAAAGACCGAGAUCGACCUCUUCAACGUCAAACAAAGCAGGACAGUCCAACAAACAAUACAACUUGAUCGUGGAGCUCAGUUUGUAGAGGAUGAACUCAACCUCAGAGCUUAGCUAUAGAGGAUGAACUCGACCUCGAAGCUCAACCUGUAGAGGAUGACCUCAGCUCGUAAAGGACCUUGGCGGCGAAGCCCGAUCACCAGCAAACGAUACACCUCAAUCACGAAGCUCAGCCUACAGAGGAUGACUUCGGCCUCUAAGAUCCACCUAUAUAAGAUGUGCUUGGUCACAAAGGAAUAUUAGUAGAUUAUCACACCUAGGUCCUAUCACAACACAAAUAGAAAUAAACUACUACAAAUGUCACAAGAUAUAUUGGCAAGCAUGAAAUUGAAUUUAUUUAUAUGUUGAAUAAAUGCUAACGUUAUAGGUAAUGCAUCAUUUAGAGAAGUGAUGGGAAGUGUUUAAAUCCCGUGUUGAUUCAUAUAGGGCCAUCAUCACCAGCAAACCCAAAAAAAGUAGGAACCGUCGACAUUUCAAAUAUGAAAGUAGUCCCGUCGACCAGCCCGCCAUGACAGAUUCUCUCCAAAACGGAGUGUACAAAUUAAAGGAGCUCGAAACACAAAUAUCAACAUAACGCCACACAAAUAUCACGAUUGAACUAUUAUAUAUACUUGUUUCUUUUAUAGUUUAAAGAUGUGUACACUUUUAUCCUCCUUUUGCAACUCAUUUAUUUCUUUCAACAUAAGACCUUGAAUGAACAGGAUAUUAUUUGAAUCCAAAAAAAAAGCAGUGUUGAAUUCCUACCUUUCAUGACAACCCCAAAAUAAUAUAAAGUCUUAACAUAAAACAUGAACUAUCAUGAGUUCAACAAUUCUUAAAUGAAGAAAGUCUUCAAGUUGUUCUUUGUUUCUACAUCCAUAUUAUGGCAUAAAGUCUUUGUAAAUAAAAAUAUUUUUUGCAAUACUUAAAUGUUGUAAAUAUUGUGUUAAAUAAAGGUGAUUCUUAGUAAUUAUCAUAGAAAAAUUAAAUAAAUUACUUCAAAAUAUUUUUGAAUAUUAAAUAUAUAUGGAAGUAAGUUAUAAUAAAAUAUAAUAAUUGUUGUUAAUAAAUUAUAUAUUCUUUUUAUGUCUUUACUUUUUUAAAUAAAAUAUGUCAUGGGAGAAAAUAAUAGAUAAUUCUGAAGUGUCACUCUAAUAUGUCAAAAAUUACAAUAAUAUUUAGCAUGACUUAUAUAUAUAUAUAUAUAUAUAUAUAUAUAUAUAUAUAUAUAUAUAUAUAUAUAUAUAUAUAUAUAUAUAUAUAUAUAUAUAUAUUCUCUUUUUGAGAAAUUUAUGCAGUUUUCUUUUCAUCUUUUAAAAUUUAAAAAUUGAUAAAGUGCAAUAAUUACUAUAAUUGAGGUUUGCACAAAAAUAAACAUUUUAGCAAAUUAGUAAAAAAUUUAGUCUUAAUAGAUUGGGCUAGUUAGCUUAUUUGCGCGGCUAAUGGUGGGCCAUGAUUAAGCGGCUUUGUGGUUGAAAUAUAUGGGCCUAUAUGAGUAGUAAAUCUGUAAUUUUCAGAUUUGGGCCUAGCUGUAAUAAAAUAAAUUGAAAUCAUUUUGAUUAACAUAAUCAUUUCAGAAUUGCAUAUUUAUAUUAUAUAAGGGAACAUGACGAGACCUGUAAGUCAAAAUCCGAAUAUUGAGACUAGACAGCAUGCCUCCAACAUUGUGAUUGGUAAGUUGACCUGAGAAAUGGAAAUGUGAAUGGUAUUAUGUUUUGUUGGAUUGUCUCAUUGUCUCAUAGUUUAUCUAACUUAAACUUUAUUGUCAUUAAUCAUGUAAUGUGAUUCUCAUUUUGUAAUUAAAGGUGACAAACUAUCCAUUCACGAAAACAUUUUUUAUAAUUUAUUAUGUACAAAUUAAGUCUAUUAUAUUAAAUUUGAUAAAAUUUUGAUGGUAUAUAUUUUAUAUUGUUAUUCAAAGUACAUGAAAUGACAAUGACCAUAAAAAAAAAGAAAAAAAAAACUUCAAAAUCAAGUUUAUAUCAAAAUAACAACACUUAAUGUUUGAACCAAAACUACACCAAAUUUAUAGUUAUACUUAAUGAGUAUGUAAUAUGAGAUAAAUGGAUCAAAGUAAAGAGACACGUAGAGAGUACAACAUCAUAACAACCUAUAGUCACCAUCACGAGUUCUUUUGUUUGCACUCUUGCUAUUGCAAUGAAGGAAAAGGUCAAUAUAAACAUAAAAAUCAACACAAAGCAUCUAUAUUUACGUAAUUACUAACAACAUUUUACCUACAAAAAUAAAUUUAUUGAUAAAAACUAAAUUUAUCAACGAAUUAGAAUUUAAAGUAGAGAUAAAAAUAUAUGUCAAUAACAAAUUUAUUGAAAAAAUUAAUCGACAGUGUAUUUAACAAUAAAUUUUGUCAGUAGUUUAUAAUUUCUAUUAUUAAUCACAUUUUUUAUUGAUAAAUCUAUCCGUGAAAGAAAUGGCAAAUUUUCAAUCAAGUUUGAUUAAUUUUUUUUUAUAUAUUAAGAAAAGAUGAAUAAAAGAAAAGGAAAGGUAAAGAGAAAGAGGAGAAGUUGGAGUUAAUAACCACGAUUACAACGAAGCCUCGAGAACAAUACAAAAUGACGACGACUGAAGUUGGUGAAGAAGAUGAAGGAGAAGGAAAGAAAGAGGAGGAGGAGAAGCCAAAGACAACAAACACAACGUUAACAAAUGCAAUGACAAUGACAGUAGAGGAUGAGGAAGAAGAAAAAGAAAAAAUAAGAAAAAGAACAUGAGGAAGAAGAAGAAAAAGACCAAAUUGCAACAUUUAUCGACAUAUUUUGUUGAUAGCCAAAAUUCAUCAAUAAUUAUCAAUUGUCGAUAGAUACUAAUGACUUUCACAAUUUGGUAAUAAAAUUGAUCGAUGAUCAUAUUAUCAACGAACUUUUGACCAUCAAUAACCUAUCAGUAAACUUAAAAGUAUUAUCGACAAAUUUUGUGGACAGCUAGAAUUCAUCAAUAAUUAUAGACUUUCGAUAGUUACGGAUGACUUUCACGAUUAUUUAAUAAAAUUGAUUGAUGAUCAUAUUACCAAUGAACUUUUGACCAUCAAUAACCUACCAAUAAACUUAAAACUAUUAUCGACAAAUUUAUAUACUUAUAAAUAUGUAAUGAUUCUUAAAGUAAUAUAAUAUUUUAUGUCAAUCUUAUGACCUCUACUUAUGAACGACAACAUGUUGGAUCAAACACAAAUAAUGUUUAUGAACUAUUCAACCCAAAAUAGAAAAUUCAACAUGUUACAUGUUUUGUUACUCUCUUGAUAUCCGUUUAAAAACUUAUCCACAAUUUUUUCUUUUAAAAUCUAUGGAUGUUUGCACAUAUUUUAAAAAUUAUAAAGUUUUAAAAUGAAAUUUAAAUAAAAUUAAAAAAUAUAAAAUAAUAUAAAUUAAAUUUUAAUUUUAAUUUUUUAAGACUAAAAUAAUAUCUACAAAUAUAAUUAUAGUCAAAAUAUAAUCUAUAUAAAAGUUAUUGAUAAUAUAAUAUGGUCAAAAUCAUAUCAAAAAAUAUACAUACAUAUAUAUAUAUAUAUAUAUAUAUAUANNNNNNNNNNNNNNNNNNNAUAUAUAUAUAUAUAUAUAUAUAUAUAUAUAUAUAUAUAUAUAUAUAUAUAUAUAUAUAUAUAUAUAUAUAUAUAUAUAUAUAUUUGAAUUAUACAUAAUAUUUUAAUAAUUUUAAUUAAAUAUUUUGUUUUAAAAUAUAAAUUUAGAUAAAAAAAAUUCCUUUCACUUAUACUGAAACAAAUUAUAUUGGGUAAGAUAUAUUUUGAUUCUCUAAAAUUUUUAAAGUUUAAUUUGUUUAAAUAUAUGUUUUUAUAGCUCCUCUAGUUUUAAAUCGUGAAUUCUCUCGAAAUAAUUUAUAUAUCACUUAUAUAGGAAGAGAAAAAAAAGUAGUUUAGUUAUCUUGAAAUUAAAGUUUAUGUAUUUCAAAACUAAAAACAAGAGCAUUUGUUAAAAAGAGUAAAUCUAAAUUUUAGAAAAACACACACACAAGACCAUUUCUUAAAAAGACUUAAACACAUAUAUAUGUAAAGUUGCCAAUAAUAAACAUCAUAAAAUUAUUUGUCUGAGUAACUAUUUUGAGCAAUGUGCAAAUUGCAUCCACAUUGCAUGAUCAGUGUUUCAUGUGCUGUUAAAGAACAUCGAAAAUGACACGACAUUUUGAUUACAUCAUCUCAGUCUUGUUUUUAUUCCCUUCAGGCAUCGACAAAUCACCCUUUACCAAUCAUUAUAAUCACUUUACAAACUUCACCAAUAUCUCCAAUGAUAUCUCCAUAAGCUACUUAGCAAGCAUUCUGACUCCUUCAAUUCUCAAAAUUUUAUCUCAUCAUCAACCUCUGCAUGCAUUAUUGGAGUUGGAUUCAGUCAUGUAGUUGUUGAGUUUUCUACAACAAACUAACUAAAAAACUUGGAAAUUUAACUUUUUCAACUUUCAUUCCUGCAGAAGCUUACACUUAUAUAGACUGAAUGUGUUAUUGCUUUUUCUUUCCAUGGAAUCAAUCACGGAGAGUCAAAGAAUUUAAAGAUAGAAAUUCUAUGACAGAUUAGUACCACUUAAUUGAUUCCUAAUUGGUUUGAAAGUUUUUUAGCAACUACAAAUAGUGCUGGGUAAAAAUAAUUGAUCUAUAGUGUACUGCAGUUAACUGUACUAUAUUGUACUAAAAAUAACUGAUACAUUUCUAGUAACGAUUCAGUAUACUAUCUUAUGGUUCAGUUUUUAAAAACUGAACUUAUAACAGUUACAUUUCAGUUAAAUGUGAGAACUGUAUCUAGUCUUACAUCUUCUCUAAUUUCAGUUCAAUUGUUUCAUCUUUUGAAAAAAACUUUAUUUAUUAAUAAAAUAUUAAUAAAAAUAUUUGUUCACAUAAAAAAAAUAAUAAUUAAUUUUUUAAGACAACUUUUUUAUCACAAAAUUUAUAUUUUUAUCAAUAAAAAUGAAAAAUAUAAUUUAUACUUUUAUAUUUUUUAAGUUAUAUAAAUAAAUAAAUAUAUAUAUACACACACAUUCCUCUUUUAUAUAUAUAUAUAUAUAUAUAUAUAUAUAUAUACACACACACAUAUAUUUAUAAUUUUUUAUUAAUAAAAUAAAUAAAUAAAUAAAAAAUAAAAUAAUUUUUAAUAAUAAUAAAAAUAUAAAUAAAAUAGAAAAUAAUAAUAUUAAAUAAUNNNNNNNNNNNNNNNNNNNNNNNNNNNNNNNNNNNNNNNNNNNNNNNNNNNNNNNNNNNNUAUUUAGUUUAAAAAUUAGUACAAUUCAGUUUAAAAUUAGUAUAGUUACUAGUUCAGUUCAUAUUGUAGUUUAGUUAAAAUCAGUGUGGUUUACAAUUUAGUUAAUAGUUCAGUGUAAUUUACAAUUCAGUUAAUAGUUUAGUUCAGUUAGUACAGUUUACAGUUUAGUUAAUAGUUCAGUGUAGUUUACAAUUCAGUUAAUAGUUCAGUUCAGUUCAUACUGUAAUUUAGUACAAUUCAGUAUAGUUCAGUUCAGUUUGAUAACACAAAAAACAGUUCAGUUCAGUAUGUCUGAACUAUUUUACAGUUCAGUUCAGUUUUUAGUAGUGCAGUACAGUUCAGUUCGAUUUGUCCACCCCUAACUACAAAGAAAUAAACCAAAUAAAAUAAAACGACUUGGUAAAAUAAAUUAAAUAAAAAGGUAGAAAUUUUUAUGAGAAUAAGAAAAGUUGAAAUGCAGAAUUGCAUGGGAGUUUCGUUGACGGUGACAAGUGAUGCUCAGGGAAUAUAAUAAAGGAAAGCUGAAUUAUUCCUAUCUUCUGAACCCACUUUAAAUUGGUAUUUAAUCAUAAUUUUCUAAUUUAUUUCCAUAUUUUCAGUCUUAUUUGGUAAACAAAUACUACAAUAUUCCAUUAAUAUGUGAAAAUAUAUAAUGUCUUUAUCUAUUCAAAGUAAUAAAAAUAUUUGUUAUUCUAAGUUUUGAGUUGGAUAAUUUUUAAUUACAUAAGUUUCUAACUUCCUCCUCAAAACCAUGUCGCUCUCAAGCAACAAUAUAAUGUUUGAGUAAUGAGAUAAGUGUUUAUUCUCUCUUCAUUACGAGUUGAAUUUUCAAACAAUGAUUUGGAUACUUAUGUAAGAAAUAAGUGAAACAAAUUAUUUCUUCUGAAAAAUUAUUAUUAAUGCAAAUUUAUUCAAUAUAUCAUUCAAUAGUUGAGUGUACGUAAUUUGGCUAAUGUCUCCUUCAAAUCCAACUAAUUGAUGUGAGUUUGAUUACUAUUUCACCAUAAAAAUUAAGUAAAAAAGCGGGGUUUUUGAGUUGGUAAACAUGACAACAUCAUAUUGCACUAAAGUCAUAAAACAGCAUGUAAAAAACGUUCUUAUUCUCUUACUACAUAAAAUCCCCUUUAAUAUAUUAUUUAAUUUAACUUUCACCAACUUAAGAAAUUAAAAUAGUUCCCACAAAAUAUACAUUUGUAUUUUUUAAAUCAGUGCAUCUUAUACACGUAACAUGAGUAAUCCAUUUCAAAUAUAAGACACCACUCACUUUAUGACUAAAUAACUCACACUUAUCCAUACAAUAAAAGCGAAUUAAUUAAUAAAACAUAAAAGUUUAUAGAAAACAGCUGUGAAAAACAGAGUUAAGAGAUCGAGUUUCUUAUAAUUAUUAUUAUCUGAUGAUCUAAUUUCUUAUGUCAUUCAAUGACACACGUUCUUGCCCCAUAUAAUAAUAACAUAAUGCAAACAACAAAGUUGUGCGUGAGGAAAGUGUCAAAGUACGUAUAAAUCUGCAGGAUGCUAUUGUUUACGCAAAAACCAGCUUUGCCCGCAAAUGCACAAGAAACUUCUUAGCAAUAAAAAAAAAAAGCAUUUAAUAAUAUAGUUCCUAGAUCAGGUAUUAUAUAUAAUCUUGGGUUCGUAAUUAUGGCGAUUCUUGAGCCUUAAUCACCGUUCUCGAGUUUCAUACUAUACUGUAAUUAACAUAAUUACACCAACAAGAAAGAAAUUGAGUGUUGGUGAAGCUGCUGAAACCAACCAAUUUUUUUAAAACAAACAAGCGGGUCUUAUUCCCAACAACAUAUCCAAAAAAGAAAAAGAACAAUUUGACUAUUUUUCUCACAGAAAAAAAGUGUAGGGUAGCCUUUAAAUAAACCAGAAAACAAAGGGUAAAGCAGUAAUUAAGGAGGGUUGGCACCCCAUAUAAACUACAACAACACCUCUCAAACAUGGACCAAACCAAAUACGUGUGUAACGUCUCUCAGACACUGUUUCUACGUACCUGCUCCUUUAGUAACACACAAAAUGUUUAGCCCUUCACAUCUAAAAACCUUGUACCCUCUUCAAGUUUUCUCAGUUAAACCAUCUUCUCCAUCUUCGACCAUAAGCUCCAUGAAGCUGAAAAGAAUCGUCCAUACCCUCAUAAUCUCCCACUUGUGCCGAAUCAUUCGUGCACUCUCCAAAGUCAAAGCUGUCGUGGUUGAGAUUCUUAAGGACAAUUCAAGCAUCCACUUCUCUCACAAAAAGCAUUUCAGCAACAGACGCAAGAAGAUCAUCUUAGGCUCCUUCAGGCUUCACUACAACUGGUGCUCCUCCAAAUCCUCACACGUGUUACCGGUUCCAGAACCUGUUUUCCAAGGGUUGAGUUCUGAGGAGCCACAAGGUGAAGAUUGCCCCUACCUUCGGUGGCUUGAAGAGAAGAAGGUUGAAGUUGAGGGUGGUGAGAAAAAGGGUGCAAAUAAUGAGCAUGAAAUGAAUGAGAUUGAUGUGCUGGCAGAAAUGUUCAUUGCCAAUUGCCACGAGAAGUUCAGGUUGGAGAAGCAAGAGUCUGAUAGGAGGUUCCAAGAAAUGCUGGCUAGAAGCAUGUAAAGUUGUAAACCGAAAAGCUCAAGAUGUUUUGGUGUGGUUGUGCAGUGCUUUCCCACAUUCGAAUUCGAACCUGUUGACAACAUGGGAAAGAAAAGGUUGUCCAUUGGGUCUUAUUAUUUAUGCUCGCUCAUGUUUAUUAAUUUGCCUUUUUCUUUUUAUCCAAACUUUUCAAAACACCAAGGGAGGAGAGUUUGAAGAAUUGUACACGAUCUGUGAUGGGCUUGGGAAUUGAGCAAUUCUUCUGUCUAUACGGUCACAGUGGCUUUAACCUUUAAUUUUCAGACUUAUUUUCAUCAUAAUUGAGAACUGCUGAAUGGAAUUAUUAUGUAGAUCUCAUCUUCACUAUUCUACCUCAUUGUAUAUAUCCAAGAUGCAUGAUCAUUCAAUGUCUAUCACAGUAUUAUUUUACGUUCACACUCGCUAUAAUGGAAAUAUGUGACAAAGAAGUUACUCACAUUCAGCGUACUGUGUUCCAAACACCUAAAUAUAGGUAUAAAUUACUGGACACCGACGUCUUAUCCAUUGUUGAACCAUUUUUGGAGGUACUUUCUUGUUUGUUAGUCCAUGUGUAGGUUGUGGCCAAAACAAUGAGAAAGAAACAUCAAACUUUCCAAUUCAUUUGUUAACAUAUUUGUUUCAGAUCGAGUCCAAAAUAUGAUUUUUUGUUUUUUAUAACAGUUUAUUUAUUUCCAACCCCACCAUAUCUCUUUGCUGAUCGCAUAGCUAUGUAGCACAUGUCAAUUGUAGAGCUUGAUUUUGCAGAAGUUACGUUUACUUAAAAUUGUUAACCAUUUUUGUUUGUAUCUGGACUCUGUCUGUACCCAACUCACCUACUCCAACUCCUCUCUCCUUUUUUUUUUUUUCUUCCUUUGAAUUUUAGCUUACAAAGAUUUGAUGAAAUUUAUGAAAUUAAGAAAAGGGAGAAAUUAUUAGAAAGGUACACUAGGUGGAAGAUACACUAACAGAAAAGACUAGUUCUUGGGUUCAUAACAGAGAAUCUUAAUUAACCUUAACAUGAUGCAGACAGUAACAAUAUUAAAAUGAUGGUCCCCAUUAGGUGGGUAAGUGCUUGGAUCAAGAUGCACGCACUCUCACUCACUACCGGACAGCUAGACAGGUUUGAAGAUAGUUAAGGUGAUAGAUCCAACACUUUUCAAACCCAAAAUCAUGUUUACAAGUAAAGUAAUAUAUACUAAUUCAUUGAGCUUGUCAUCUAUUUCUGCAAUCUUCAGAUGUACCAACUUAGAAGGUUAUCCUUUCCCUUCUACCACUGAUUGUGUUCUGUCUUACUUGACUUUAAUAACAUUUCAGAAAAACGGACAUCUUGUAUCAGCCUUAAAGGACGAGCACAUGUCCAUGACAAGAACAUAGGUCAUUGAUCAUGUGCUUCUGAACUUAAACAAAAGAAAAGUUGUAUUCUUUUAGUCUAGUUUUGAUAUCAAGUAGUUUUUGUUACUCUACCAAGUCAGCCAAGAUUGGCAGAUCCUGUCUUUGCACACAAAUUCGUACACUAUUUAGAAGCUUUUUUUUUAUUAUUAUUAUUAUUGUUUUGUUGAUCUUGGACCAUAUAUGCAGCAGCAUUUGCUCAAAGUUUGAGUAUCCCAAUAAUUGAGCAAAAAUUAAACCUGGUAAAACAUAUGGUAAAAGAAUUGUUUAUCCUCAAGUGGGCUUCUGAAAGUCAGAGAUAAGCUAAUUUAUAGUAGCUAAUUGCAAGGGUAAAUAAUUGAUAUUAUGAUAAUGGACUAGUAGUCUAGGGUAAUCUUUGGGAUGGGACUUCCUGUCUGAUUAAUGUUGGAUCUUGAAGAAACCUGUGAGGAAUUAAUAAUUACACAAAUGAUAAAUAAUUUUGUAAAUGAACUAUUAAGUGUAUUAAAAAACUAUAUAUCUCAGGAAGAUCCAAACAUGAUUAGUAAUAAAUUGGGUAAGGAAAUAUGCUAAGUAUCACAUCAGUUCAUGCAUGAUGAGACUAUCUUAUGUAAUUGUUAAGGAAUCUUAAGUAUUUGAUGAAAGGAACAUAUAAAUAGUAUUAAACCAUUUACAGAUUAGGAUUCAGAAUCAACUUCAAUGAAUAAUAAUCAGAAAGGAAAAUCCUAGUAAAAGUGAAGAUUUUGUACAGAUAAUGUUAUUCAAGAAAUAGAAUAAGUUUUUGAAAGGAGUUAAUUAAUUUUGAGUUGUAACAUAUUUGUCUAAGUAGAGAAGUACAGGAAUUAAGACCAGUCAAUAGUCCUUUAGCAAUUAUGCAGGGUUAAUAUGACAGUAAAAGGAGAUAGCUAUGGCAUCAAUAUGGAUGACUUUUAUUCUGCUGAGUUAUGCUUUAUUCCGAAACUUCUUUUGCUGCUUUAUUGCAGAUAGGUAUGGAAGCUUUAAUGGAUACAAACUUGGUGCCUUUGGUCUCCUUGUUACCAUAGAAACUCUGCUUUUACACAUAAAAGUGAAUGGGUGGAACCACUUGUGAUUUUAUUCUCUAUGACAGGAUCAAAUGGAUGAGGUGCUUCUACCUGCUCUAAUUCCUCACUUCAAAUUUGAAAGCCAACUUCUUGGACCACUGCCCAUGGAAUAGCCCAACUAGUAGUCAACUUCUUGUACCAUUAUGAAUACUUUGUUUUCAUAUCUUACAAAUUAAUUACACAAUAACACCUACCUUUUCGCUAAUUAUUAUGAUUAAUCCUUAUUUAAUGAUAAUUAAUGUUCAAAUUGACAAAAACAAAUUAUUCCUGUUAGUAAUGCUUGAGGUGAUGGGAUAUGUUCUUAUUACUAAUUCAUGUUCCUUUUUGUACCAUACUGAUUGGGCAGGUGAAUGGUACAACUGACAAGCCACCAAUUUCCAUAAAGUCUUAAGUUUAACUUAUAAUCAAAUUUACAUGAUUGAGCCGCAAAUAUGAAUAUGAUAAUAAUAAGAAAGUUUAUUUCGAAAUGUAUAAAUACGAAUCUCACGUAAAAAAGUUAGAUAAUUGUAUUUAUUAUAAAUUUAAAAUAUUAUUAUAAUACAUGAUUGAUUACAUUAUUGUACUGCCUGCACGGUUUGGAGUUAACACACCGAGAACUUAGUUAUGGAUAUCUAAAACAAUAUAAGAUGAUUUAGAAAAAAGUGCUUGAACUGUGAUCAUGGAUUCCACACUUGAAACAUUUUCAAUAUUUGUUGUUCUAAUGUUAAAAGUUAAUUUGAGUUAUUGGAUCUGUUUCAAAUUUUAAAAGAAAAAAGUAAUGCAAACUGAUAAGAACAUAGGAUAAUGAUAUUUAAACAAUAUUUUUUUGACAACAUUUGAAUAUCAUUUGUGUCAUUCUGUGAUUAGUUCAUUGUGAUAUUUAUGAUUAUUAUUAUUGAUUGUGAAAUAAUUUUGGACCAAUCACGUAAAUAAUGUUCAAAUAUUAUAAAAAAAAUAUUAUGUAAGGAUCAUUAUCCAAUAACAUAACAUAACACUUUGGUUGGUAUGUGAGGGAUUGUGAAAGUGAAGAUGACGAAAACGAAAUAUGGGCUCUGAAAUAUAAAUGUAAGACAAAAAAACAGCUUUAGGCACUAUUCUCUCGGCCUUUUAGCCUAUGUAUACAAUCCUUCUUCGUUGAUGGGUCAUGAUCAGUCAUUUUUCUUUUUUAACAGCUUUGGAUUUUGAAUGUUCAAAACUUCGUUUUCUAUCUCUUUUAAAGUACAAGUAAAAAAAAAAAAGUACAGUGAAAGUUGUGUUUGAAUAAUUUUUUGUUUUAUUAACAUCGAUCUUUAUAUUAGUUUUAACUAUUUAAAACUGUAUAAAGUUAUGUAUAAAAAUGUUUAUCAUAAUAAAAUGAUAAAAUACAGUGUUUAAUAAGAGCUUAGGAAAUAUUCCCCAAGAAAACCCAAUACUAAUACUAAUGACACAUACAUAAGCAAACUUUGUACCUAAAAGAUGCAUUAUAUGCCUAAAACAGAGAGAUAAGAAAAAAUGGCAAAGAAGGAAAAGAGAUAAGAAUUUGGAAGAUGAGUGAAGUAUAUGAGCAAGAGACGAAUAAAACGGAGAGAGUAGGAUUUCCUGAGGCUGAGUUCUACAUAUUUGGUCUUGUGUUUCUUGCUUCCGCUUAUCUUACUCAUACUUGUCACUCCUGAAAAGCUCUGUUGGCGAGAGACAGAAGAGUACAAGGAGAACACAAGAAAAUGAAGCAGAAGCAAGGCCAGAUUCUUCAUGUUUUCCCCAACUUGGAAGAUGGGAUCAGUAUAAACUACCAAAUUCAACUCCUUGCAAAAUUUACAUAUUUGAUGGGGUGCAGGAUGAAAUUUCAGGGGUCAAGGAAGCAAUUGGGUCCAAUUUAAAAGUACAAGUCCAAUUUAAAAGGAAUUCUAGUUCCAACUUCAUCAACUUCUAAAUUUUGAAAAAAAGAACACGUCAUUUUUAAAAAUGUUGAAAGUAAUAUAAGGAAAGGUAAUCUAAUUCUACAUUUUACUCAUUUAAUUGAUAUUGUAAGUUUUGGGUUUUGAUAGGAUUUUUUCAUGUCUAAAAAUUUUGAAAAUAAAAUUAUAAAUUUUGGAUAAAUAAAUUUUAAAUGAUAUGUUGCGUUACUCAUUUAGUUUAGUUACUAAUAGUAACUAUAUCUUUUUAGUUAUUAAAUUUAGUCAUCAUUCAUUAAUUUUUUAAUUAAUCAUUUAUAAUUGUUAAUCUAGUCACCAAAUUAUUAAUUAAUUUUAAAAAAUAUAUUUGAUUACUAAUAAUUUUUGUUCUAGAAUUUAGUCAGUAUUUAUUAAUUUUUUAAUAAUACUAAUUGAUCUAGUCACUAAUUAUUUUUAACUGAAAAUCAUGUUAUCAAAUUGAUCACCAACUUAAAAAAAUAAAAUCAGUCACUAAUUCAGUCACAAAUAAUAAUUAAUAUUUUCCGUCACUAAAUUUGGUUAUUAUUUUUUUAGUGUUUAUUUAGUAUUAUAUAAAUAUUUUAUUUGGAUAUAUAUUCACGAUUACGUUUUAUUUAAAAUAUAUUGAAUAAUGGGAACAUUCCAAGUCAAAUUUUAAAUUUUAAAAUUGUGUUUCUAAUACAAAUUUCAAAGUGAAUUUUGCAUAUUUUACAUAUACAUAUAUUGAAUUAUUUAUUUUUAUUGAACUUAUAUAAAAUGUUUCAUUUUGACGUGUGACUUUUGAAAUUAAAAUAUUAGAUUUCAAAAUUUCAAUUUAAAAUUUAAAUAUUAAUAUUUUGUAUUCAUAAAACAUUCAAAAAUGUAAAAUCUUUAUAGAACCAUUUUCAUAUAAAACCACAAUAAUAUGAAACACACAACGUCUCAUUAUUAUUUUUUUUUAAUAACCAUAUUAUUAAAUAUAAUAUUUCAUUAUCCAUAAUUUUCAAUUAUACUAAAUAAAUAUUGGGUACGUGUUUCCUAUAUAAGGGGAAGUUGACACUGCGAAUGGCACUGAAGUCUGCACUGAGAAUAUAUAGCAGUCACAAGCAGAGACAAAAGAAAAUUAAAAGGUUAUUACGAAACUGUUUGAUAAUUUGUAUGCAUUUAGAAUUUGCUCCCACCCAUUUUCUUGUGUUGCAGAGAAUUCCGUUAUUGCUUUAUUUCUUUUUCAAGAACGAGGAAUGGAUUGGAAUACGUCGAAAGAACUGGGUAGCAUGGAGGAAUUGGUUGCUGAACUUGAGAAGGAAGCAUACUAUAAACUCUUGCGUGCUUUCAGGAUUCAAUCCAAUGAUAUUUCAUGGGUAAUCAUCAGUUCCUUCUCUCAGCGAUCUUUGUGUUUUUCUACCUUAAAACGAAACUCCUGCACUUAUUGUUCAUCAGGAGAAGGAAUCGGUUCUAACUAAUCUUAGGGAACAAUUGAGAAUCUCAAAUGAUGUUCACGGAGAGCUUCUUCGCACUCUUGAUUCUGAUGACUUCCUGCAAAAUGCAAUCAGAGAGAAAGAGAAACCAACUAGCCAAGGCGGUGAUCAACAUGCAAUAGGAAACAGAUCUCCCCGCCCCAUAAGAACUCGGAGAUUAUCCGAAUUGGUACGCAUAUUCUUGCAUUAGAAACGUUUGUAAUGAUCUCAAAGAUUCAAGAUUAUUCAAGAAAAAUCAUGUUUCUGUUAUUUUUAUUAUUAGUAUUUACAUGAGGACACAGGAGUACAAGCUACAGAACUUGGUGACAUAGGCCAGUAUAAUAAUAUUCCAGUUGCAGGAAGAAUUGUUAGAAAUGAAAAUGUUGGGUGGAAGAGAGCUGAUCAAGAUUAUAGUUGAUGAGGUAAAUAUGACAUUGCCAUAGCAUGGCUAAGUAUUGAGAUUCCUAAGUAUUGCUAUAUAAUUAAGGAGAGUGGUGUUUUCAGGUGGAUGGAACUCUGGUUUGAAGUCAUCUAAAUUCUCUGGAUCUCAAGAAUGCAAAGAAAUUGCUGUUAUGGUUCUUGUCACCUUCUUUUUACUUCUAUCACUGUUCAUACUUAAGUGUACAGGACCAUGAGCAUUUACAUACCAUGCAGGAUAUUCUAUUCAACGCACAAUAUUUCUGAUGAAUUACUAUGCAUAAAGGCUAAAGUUGACAGAAAAUGAAAAGAGAGUAAAAGAUUAAUUGGUAUAUUCACAACAUGAAAUUUUCACUUUGUUUGUAGGUGUAAGAACAUUAUUUUUUUAUUCAUAUGCUAUUAUUAAAUUUAACAGGUUCUACACAUUUGCUAGAAUAAUUAACAUAUGAUGUUGGAUCAACAAAAAUUAGUUGUGUUAAUAGUAAGUACCUAAAUUAUAAUAACAGUAAAUGUCUAACAAGUAAAUAAUUAUAAUUAAAACUAACCUAAAAUGUAAUAUCAGUAGAGGAGUGUCGGAGAAAAAGUGAAAUAAACAUUUCUUUUUUACUUUUAUUAUUGCACACGCUUCUGAAUCUUCCGGUGGAAGCCAAAAACGUUAAACCAACCCGCUUACGUCACCACCCUCUCUAACAAACCAAACACUACCUUUCAAGGACUAUAUAAAAGGAGCACACAGUGACUCAGAAUUCUGUCUAUUAGAGUCUCUGCCGCUUCUCCUUCUUUCCUCCCUUCCUUUCUCAUUUUACAGUUCGUUAGGCUUUCGAAAUCCUUCUCCUGUUCGUUUUUAUCCUCGCUCUGUUGCAAUAUCCUCACAAUGAUCAACGUGAAACGCGAACUGGACGGUGACGGUGAUUGCAGUAGUAUCGACAAGCGUGACUCUGAACUUCGUGCCGUAAGCGACGACGCUGAUUACCAAACUCCGAAACGCUGUCGAGGUAUCCGUUCUCGGUAUCUGGCCUUCAAGAACAUGAUUCAUGGUAAUUUCGUUUUACUCGUUUUGCUUGAUUCGUACUCCUCGUUUCGCUCUAUAAUGACUUCGAAUAUUCCUUACUAACUACCACUUAAUGCACAAAAACGACCGCCAGUCCUGUGUCUUUAUCGAUUUUCCGUGUCAGGAAUGAAAUAGUAACGUUUUGAAUUUUGAUUGCUUGUGUACCUCUUGGUUUUUCAGAUGAAAGGGAAGAAAUUGCUAGGCCUGACUCUAACAAGUUCGAUUUGAUCUUUAGUGAAAUGGAGAGCUUACAUCAGCAAGGUAUUUAUUUAUUUAUUUAUUUGUGGUAAUGCUUUUGUUCUGAUUAGUUUUGAGGAUUUUUUUAGGAACUAUUAGCUAUUUGUGGAAAUUAAAUUAAUAAUUCCAAACACUGCCAAAUUAAUUAAGCAUAUUGCCGCACUUGUUAUUUACACUCAAACAUGUAUAUUGUCUUUGGAAGUGGAUGAAAAAUUCUAUUUAGCGAAAGAAAAAAAAAUGUAAGCCUAUGUAAGGAUGGGGUGAUAGAAAGUGAGAAAAGAAAAGAACUAAAGAAAAAGAAUGAAAAUAGAAAUUAAAAUUAUAUGAAUUAAGAAAAAAAAUACUAGGAAGAGACGGGAUUUAACUGAAAAGUUUGGAAAUGCAUACCAUUGAUUCUAGAAUAAAAAAUAUAUCGUAAUUGGUUUAUUUAGACAAUGAUCAUACUGUCACUUUAUUCUAAACUAUAUAUGUUAAAUUAUACGUGAUAGGAAAUAAAGUAAGUGAUCGAUACUGACAAAAUCAGAUUCCCGAUUCGUUGGAUAUACAUCAAGCAUAUGGAGAACUAAUUAAAUCAUAUUCAUAAAUGAUUUUAUCUUAUUGAAAUGAAGAUACUUUCUAACAAAUGAGCACACAUAAUCAAUUAAGGGACGUACGUGAGGCAUACUACAUGUAAUAUAUACAUGUUAAUGGUCAACAUAAGUAAUAAUGUCUCAUGCAUAAUCCAUUACAUAAACUCUAUUAUAUUAAUAUAUGCCAUAUUGGCAACUGCUUAUUUAGUUAUACAUACUACAUAUUGGAUUGUGUACCAAUCAUAUGAAUUAGCCAAAUGUUUUGUCUAAUUUCAGUUACAAAACCAAGAGAACAAGUAGCUGACGCAAAGGCUCUUUUGGAAAUCACCCAAUCCCUGGUAAUGUCUGUGAGAAGUACAGCGAAUGGUGGACUAACUCCUUCAGACUUUGUUACAAACAUUCUUAAAAAGUUCGGAGGACAUGUUGGACCAAGUAAUAGCGCAGAAGAUUGCAGUAGAAAUUCAGUAGCUUGGAAUGAUAUUGGUGUUGCGGUGUCACGUGUUUUUAGAGCGGGUUAUGGGUGCUGUACAAUGUAAUGUCCGUUCCGUAUAUAGAAGAGAAUUCUUUCUUAUCGAUUGUAAUAUUUCUUUGGGUGUUCAUUUCGAAUUUUCUUAUUCAGGAUGGCCCCAAUGGAUGCUAAAAUAGAGCAGAAGGUCAUUAUUCGUCGAAAGCGUGUGAGACCCACUGAAUUGGCACGGCCUGAAGAGGUAAAACUUAUUUUAAUGUAAAUUCAGUGAUUUUAAUGUAAUAUGACAUACUAAUCUUUUUUAUCAUUGUAUAUUUUUGCAGCUAUGUGGAGGUUCGGGGGAAGAGAUAGCGGAGACCGAUAAGCAUAUGUUAACGAUGUUUAACAUCUUAAGGAUGAAUAAAGUUGUCAAGCUUGAAAAUCUGGUUUUGAAUCGGAACUCAUUUGGACAAACCGUGGAGAAUUUAUUUGCUUUAUCCUUUUUAGUCCGAGAUGGUCGGGCUGAAAUAAAAGUUAACGAGUCUGGAUGGCAACUAGUUUGUGAGUUAUUUUUAAAAUUAUUAUACUAACUCUCAACUUUUAUUACACUAGAUUUCCCCUUCAUAUUUUUUUCACGCAUUUGCUCAAUGUCAGCGCCUAGGAACGCUCCUGCUGCAAAUUCAGUUGUUUCUGGGGAUGUUGCUUUCAGCCAUUUUGUUUUCCGAUUUGACUUCAACGAUUGGAAGGUAUUUUUACUUGUAAUUCUUUCUUUUAUUAAAUUAAAUUUCGUGCAACAUUUUUCGUUUGUAGACGUUUUCAUUCCGAAAUAAUAGUUUAUAGUUUUUACCUUAAAAAAGUGUUUUUAAGCUAUUAUUUUAAUGAUAUCCUUAUAUAUAUAAUUAAGAAUAAUCAAUAUGUUUUAUUUAUAUUGCAAAUUAUGAGUAUUUUUAUCUAAAUUUUUUUGCUAAUUGAAUAUUUUUUAUUUUUGGAAUGUAAGAAGUAGCUUUAUUGAAUAUUAAUAGUUAGACUACUGAAAUGAAGCUUCGCAAUCAAAUGGUUGUGGAAUGCACCUGUUUCUAGAGAAGAAAUAGUGCUCCAAACACUCAAUUUCGAAGCUGUCCUAUGCUUUAAAUAUUGAGACAUUUACACUACCGCUUUGAUUAUAAUGGUCAUUCAGAAAAAAAAGGAUAAAUUGUUAUAUUUAUAUUAAUUUAGUGUGGAAGUUGUUGCGAACACAUAUAAUUUCGUCUUUUUUAUGUAUUCGUUUUCUUGUAUUGAAUUCUCAGUUGAUGGUUCGCACUGUUAGGGUUGGAGAGGAGCUGAUGCCUCAUAGGAAGGAACAGUGAAUCACAGAGAUAGUGCAGUUUAUCCGGAAUCUCAUGAAACAAAAUUGAUGCAUUUUUUGUUGUUCUAUUCGUUGUAGUAAUUAUACAUGCUCCUCUGUAGUUUAGUUUCAGAUCAAGUUUUCAUAUUUCAAAACUGUCAAUUUAUGAAUAUUUUUUCUGAAGCAUUUCAUACUGUGCUGUGCGUUUAAAACGAGUUCCAUGGUGAAGCGUUUUAUACUUAUCCCUUCUUCCUUUAAUUACUGACUCACAUUAUAAGAAUUACAAGAGAUGCAAGUCAAUAUCACAACAAACAAAUUUAAAAUAAUAAAACGUAAGAUUAUCUAAGGGGUGGAAAAAUAAAAUGAUGUGUUAUAUGUGAAGUUUAAACAAAUUCAAAUAUCGAGGAUAAUUGAAGAGAUGAAACAACACAUUAAAAACCCUUAUAAAAAGAAGAAAAAUACAGUAAAAAAAAAUGAACGAGUUUAAACAAAUUCAAAUACACAUUACUUAUUAUACGGGAGGAACAAACAGUGAAAGUAAGUUGAACUAUCUUUUAUAUCUUUCCAAGUGUACUUACCUUCUAGUCCAUUCUUACAUGCGUUAAAAUUAAAAAUAAAUAUCCCUAUGUAAAAUAUGUCUUUUAAGUUGGUCUUUUAUGACAUAAUUAAUUUGUGGACACGAAGUAAUAACUACCAUGUUACUUGUCAUUUCAACAAACAAACUUUAUUAAUUAACUUGAAUCCUAAGACAACUAUAAAUAAUUAAAAAUAACAUGUAAUUAGUUAUAUAUUUUUGUUUUUGGAAGUUAAUGUUAGAUUUUAUUUAUGAGAAAUAUUUUGUGAAGAAAUUAUAUAAUAACCACUUUUUAAUUUAGGUUUAAACAUUACGAGUCUGCAGUGAUUUUUUUUUUAGUGUAACUGAUGUUUUUAUCGUAUUCAUAAAGUAUAUGAAUUUAAAAUUUUUUCCUUUUUUAGAUAAAUUUGUGGUAGUGUUUUAUAAAAAAAUAUUUUUUUAUCUAUUUUAAAACUCUUUAAGGAACAAAAUAAUAUUUAAGAAUAAUGCUAAAGAUAUCAAAGAAGAGACUAUUGUAUCUAAAGUUAUCCAAAUUAAGUUCUAUUUAAGAAAAUUGUGAUUUUUAAGACAUGUGAUUUCUAUUCAAUGUGUGAGUAUGAGUUGUUUCAUUUGUUGGGGAGGUUGUACGACUCUAUGAAAAUUUGAGUUUGUUUCAUUUCAAGUAGAAGUUUCUUGUAAUGAUUUCAAUAGUGUAUGUAUUGAUGUAUAUAUUGUGUAUUUGGAGAUAUUUUGUUACUCUAAUAACUAUCCAAUGUCGUGAGGUAUGGGACAAGAGUAACAAAGGUCUUAGUCUAAGAAAUUUACCUUGACUAAAGAUGUUAAUGGACUAACACUGUGUGUGAUAAGAUAAACACAUUGACAAUGACUUUACAAAGCAUCAAAGGUCGUCACAAGUGCAUAACUCGCUAGUAUGAUAUCAAUACAUGUGUCUGGAUGGUCGAGUCUGAUAUGAAUGAUUACAUGUUCUAGGAUUUGCUGAUAUACAUGUUUAUAUGUGCUAGUAUCUUUAUACAUGUUGUAAGAUUGCUCUUUUUAGUACAUUGACUUACCUUAUCUUUUGUUUUGGUUCGUAUGUGUUUUUUUGUUGUGAUGAUCACUUUAAUAUUGUGAAUAGAUAAAGAUGUUUUAGAUGAUCAUGUGCAGGGUGAGAGUAAUACAACAACAUAAUUUAAGAUAAAGUUUGUUGUAUGAUCUAUUACUUUUGAAAACUCUAGUUUAUAUUAGUAUAUAUAUAACUCUCUAUACUCUGGUGCAUGCUUUAUGUAUGACUCUAAUAUAACAAUGGUAUAUUUGUCUUACAUGCUUGCUGAUUAUCAAAUCUAUAAUAUUUUAGUUAAUAAUUUUACACUAUUAAAUAAAAUCUUAUAAAAAAUGAUAAUUUAAAAUUAAUUUUAAAAAUAAAACACAUAAGGGAAGAUGAAAAAUAUACAAACAUAUAUAUUAAUUUAUCAAAAUAAAACACAUAAGUAUUUAACAAAAUAUUUAAAUAAUAAAAAUCUAUAAAAAUAUUUGUAUAAAAAUAUAUAAAGAUGGUAUAAAGUUAUAAAAAAUUGUAAUAGUUAUGAAAAUCUAAAAAAAUCUAUAUAAUAAUCUAUAUAUAAAAUUGAAUUUUAAACAUUCAUUCAAAUAUAAGAGAUCCAAAUAAAUUCAAAUUAAAUACAAUGCAUCACUUCUUAUAGAUAUAGUAGUAUUUUGGUAAAUUCGAAAUUAACAGAUACAAAUAUCCAUGGUUAUAAAUACUAUGAUAUCUAUAACCGUUAAAAUGCAGGUAUAAAAAAUAUCCAUAUCCUUACUUGCUAAUAUCAAUUUAUAAUAUAGGUACAAAUUUUUGACAUCCAAAACCAUAAAACUCACUUCUAAAUUGCAUAAUUGUAAAUUGAGAAACUUAUAUUUAACAUUAGAUAAAAUAAAUGCCUUGUUUGUUCGCUAAGCUAAAGUUUUCUUAAUAUAUUAAGAUAUAUUGAGGGACAUACAACUAUUUAUGUGAAAGAUAAAAAUAGAGAUUAGUUAAAUAUGAAUGGUGGCUUUCUUUUAUGUUUUGUUCACUUUGUAUGUAUCUUCUUUCUCUUUUAUUUAUAUAUAUAUAUAUAUAUAUAUAUAUAUAUAUAUAUAUAUAUAUAUAUAUAUAUAUAUAUAUAUAUAUAUGAAAACCUUCUUCUUUUCCCGUUUAUCAUGAUGAAUGUUGAGUGGAAUUCAUAAUCUCUCUCACUCUUCUUUCUAACUUUAUCAUUAAAUCAUCUUAUAAUUCCAUAUUUUAAAGAUAUUUCCUAAUAUUUUGAGAAUGUACAAAUUAUUUAUGGUUUGAUCAAGUUUUAAAUCCCUACUAAAUUUAAAAACUUUCAAUUAAAUUUCUAAUAAAUUUUUAAAGUCUAUUAAAUGUUUAAUAAAUUUAUAUUUUUUUAAUUGAAUUCCUACUGUUUGAUUUUUCUAUUAAUUGAGUUAUAAAACCAUGUGAUUGUUUGUUAUAUUGCAUUACCUAUAUGUCAUUAUAUAUUAUUUUAUCUUUUAAAAAACAUAUAAAAUUAUAUAGAAAUAAUCAAACAUUAUAUCUUGAACAUACUAGAUAACUAAUUACUUAUCAUAAUUAUUAUAUAAUGAAGAUGUAAUAAAUUCUAAUAACAAAGUAUUAUAACAAUAUAUUAUUUGUAAAUAUCUUAAAAAUAUUUUAUGAUAUCAAUAAUAUCUUAAAGUAUGUUAAAAUUUAUUUAGUAAUAUUCAUAAAUUUUUAAUAAUUUAGUUUUUUGAUACAUGAUUAUUCUUUUGUAAUAUUAUUAUUUGAUGUAGUGUAACAUCCCAAAAAUACGCCUAAGACAUAUCAAGUGGAUGCAACAUGUUAUAAUAAUGUAAAGCAGUUAGGAGUGGAUAUUCAGAUGAAAUGUAUAUACAGUACAGUCAUCCAAAAUGCAAGAGAAGAAAUAAAGCUCUACUUAUAGCAUAGAGUCUUUUAAAAAGAAGAAAAGGAAAGAAGACCANNNNNNNNNNNNNNNNNNNNNNNNNNNNNNNNNNNNNNNNNNNNNNNNNNNNNNNNNNNNNNNNNNNNNNNNNNNNNNNNNNNNNNNNNNNNNNNNNNNNNNNNNNNNNNNNNNNNNNNNNNNNNNNNNNNNNNNNNNNNNNNNNNNNNNNNNNNNNNNNNNNNNNNNNNNNNNNNNNNNNNNNNNNNNNNNNNNNNNNNNNNNNNNNNNNNNNNNNNNNNNNNNNNNNNNNNNNNNNNNNNNNNNNNNNNNNNNNNNNNNNNNNNNNNNNNNNNNNNNNNNNNNNNNNNNNNNNNNNNNNNNNNNNNNNNNNNNNNNNNNNNNNNNNNNNNNNNNNNNNNNNNNNNNNNNNNNNNNNNNNNNNNNNNNNNNNNNNNNNNNNNNNNNNNNNNNNNNNNNNNNNNNNNNNNNNNNNNNNNNNNNNNNNNNNNNNNNNNNNNNNNNNNNNNNNNNNNNNNNNNNNNNNNNNNNNNNNNNNNNNNNNNNNNNNNNNNNNNNNNNNNNNNNNNNNNNNNNNNNNNNNNNNNNNNNNNNNNNNNNNNNNNNNNNNNNNNNNNNNNNNNNNNNNNNNNNNNNNNNNNNNNNNNNNNNNNNNNNNNNNNNNNNNNNNNNNNNNNNNNNNNNNNNNNNNNNNNNNNNNNNNNNNNNNNNNNNNNNNNNNNNNNNNNNNNNNNNNNNNNNNNNNNNNNNNNNNNNNNNNNNNNNNNNNNNNNNNNNNNNNNNNNNNNNNNNNNNNNNNNNNNNNNNNNNNNNNNNNNNNNNNNNNNNNNNNNNNNNNNNNNNNNNNNNNNNNNNNNNNNNNNNNNNNNNNNNNNNNNNNNNNNNNNNNNNNNNNNNNNNNNNNNNNNNNNNNNNNNNNNNNNNNNNNNNNNNNNNNNNNNNNNNNNNNNNNNNNNNNNNNNNNNNNNNNNNNNNNNNNNNNNNNNNNNNNNNNNNNNNNNNNNNNNNNNNNNNNNNNNNNNNNNNNNNNNNNNNNNNNNNNNNNNNNNNNNNNNNNNNNNNNNNNNNNNNNNNNNNNNNNNNNNNNNNNNNNNNNNNNNNNNNNNNNNNNNNNNNNNNNNNNNNNNNNNNNNNNNNNNNNNNNNNNNNNNNNNNNNNNNNNNNNNNNNNNNNNNNNNNNNNNNNNNNNNNNNNNNNNNNNNNNNNNNNNNNNNNNNNNNNNNNNNNNNNNNNNNNNNNNNNNNNNNNNNNNNNNNNNNNNNNNNNNNNNNNNNNNNNNNNNNNNNNNNNNNNNNNNNNNNNNNNNNNNNNNNNNNNNNNNNNNNNNNNNNNNNNNNNNNNNNNNNNNNNNNNNNNNNNNNNNNNNNNNNNNNNNNNNNNNNNNNNNNNNNNNNNNNNNNNNNNNNNNNNNNNNNNNNNNNNNNNNNNNNNNNNNNNNNNNNNNNNNNNNNNNNNNNNNNNNNNNNNNNNNNNNNNNNNNNNNNNNNNNNNNNNNNNNNNNNNNNNNNNNNNNNNNNNNNNNNNNNNNNNNNNNNNNNNNNNNNNNNNNNNNNNNNNNNNNNNNNNNNNNNNNNNNNNNNNNNNNNNNNNNNNNNNNNNNNNNNNNNNNNNNNNNNNNNNNNNNNNNNNNNNNNNNNNNNNNNNNNNNNNNNNNNNNNNNNNNNNNNNNNNNNNNNNNNNNNNNNNNNNNNNNNNNNNNNNNNNNNNNNNNNNNNNNNNNNNNNNNNNNNNNNNNNNNNNNNNNNNNNNNNNNNNNNNNNNNNNNNNNNNNNNNNNNNNNNNNNNNNNNNNNNNNNNNNNNNNNNNNNNNNNNNNNNNNNNNNNNNNNNNNNNNNNNNNNNNNNNNNNNNNNNNNNNNNNNNNNNNNNNNNNNNNNNNNNNNNNNNNNNNNNNNNNNNNNNNNNNNNNNNNNNNNNNNNNNNNNNNNNNNNNNNNNNNNNNNNNNNNNNNNNNNNNNNNNNNNNNNNNNNNNNNNNNNNNNNNNNNNNNNNNNNNNNNNNNNNNNNNNNNNNNNNNNNNNNNNNNNNNNNNNNNNNNNNNNNNNNNNNNNNNNNNNNNNNNNNNNNNNNNNNNNNNNNNNNNNNNNNNNNNNNNNNNNNNNNNNNNNNNNNNNNNNNNNNNNNNNNNNNNNNNNNNNNNNNNNNNNNNNNNNNNNNNNNNNNNNNNNNNNNNNNNNNNNNNNNNNNNNNNNNNNNNNNNNNNNNNNNNNNNNNNNNNNNNNNNNNNNNNNNNNNNNNNNNGUUCAGUGAGGAGUGGAUUUAGAGAGAAGGCAGAGCUUAUAGGAGUUUAACUUCUAGAGAGAGGAUGUUCUGUAAGAAUGAAUUAGAAUUUGUAUUAAAAGCUUUUAUUUAUUUUUAAGGAAAUAAAAAUAAGAAAGUCAGGUUCUUACAUGUAGCAUUUUCAUGCAUACCACAGUACUUACAAACAUAUUAUAUGAAAUUUAAAUAAAAAAUUUAAAUAUGAAAAAAAUAUAAAAUCUUAAUCUUUGUAAAAAAAAUGUAUUCAUAUGUCUAUUUAUACUUAAUUACCUUUGUGAUUUGUUAAAAAGCUUAGUUAUCCUAAUAUGAUAUUGUUUAUUAUUCAUAUUUGACUUGAUUAAAAAAUAGAAUCUGAUAAAAAAUUAUCAUAUCUUAAUAAAUAUCGAAAACAUGUAUAAUUAUAUAAAUGUAUAUAAAAUUAAAUAAAAUAUAAAAUAUAAUUUACGUGACAGCAUCAAUAAUCGUUGUCAUGUGACGAUUGAAGGAAGUAGGUAAAAAUGUCAUAACAAAUCGUACCCAAAUCCAACCAAAUUGAUAACAUCAUCAAAAUAAUAUAUUUAUAUAUAUAAUCACAAGAUAUAAAAAAAAUAUAUAUCUUUUCUCAAUCUUUAUCACUUUAUUCAUUUAUAGUCGCUUCAAACUGUCUGCUUUUUCCACGCUCAUUGUUGCAAAACCCCUAUUUCAGAUCAUCACUCCUCCUAGAUUAGGGUUUUUCCUAAUUCAGUUUCCAUCAAUUCUUCUUCGUCUUUUUAUUUACUCUCAUCGAUUGUAAGCUUAGGUUUUCUCUGCAAUCUUAUAUACCUAGAACUCGUCAUUUCUGCCGGAUCUCAUUCGAUGGAUACUCGAAAGAGGGGAAGGCUCGAACUCGGUUUCAACUCCAAUGGUGGAUUUAAGAAAUCCAAGCAAGGUUUGAUUUUGAGCAUUGUUGGUUUCUUGGGUUUUUGGUAUUUUCCUUCGAAUUUGUUUAUUAGGCUUCAAAAGUUGUUUGCCUUUGUUUUCUUCCUCUGUGUUUUGUGGGUGCCCUUUGAGGGAUGGAAUUUCUCUCUCGUGCUUAUGAGCGUAGGGUUUGCUUUGCUGUGGUAGAAUUUUUUCAGAUUAGUCUGUUUUGUAGUAAAACCUAACUUCUGAUUUUCCUGUCUAAUGAACUAAAAUUUCUAAAUGUUGUCACUGAAAAGUAAUUAUAUUAUAGUGUUAUUGGUUAAUACUAAUAGUUUUGGAAUAAAAUUUACUAGAUUAAUAAGCGAAGGGAAUAUUAACUGAGAAUAAGUAAUAAUGUUUUGCAACAGAAAUGGAGUCCUUAUCAACUGGUGUAGGAAGCAAAUCAAAGCCUUGUACCAAGUUUUUCAGGUUCUAAUCCGCUCCUAUCUAAUAAAUAUUUUUGAACUGCUAAUAUUCUUAAUGGUGUUUUAUUAUAAUUAGUUUAAGAAUUAAUUGUUUAGUUGCUUUAGAACUUAAUUGGCCAAUUAACUGGGCAUUCAAAGCUUUUAUACAGGUACGUACUGUUCUUUGUCUAAACAAGGUGUAUCAUAAUAGGGUAGAAAAAGAUAACAAGUGGAUACAAUGUAGUUGGCACCAAGAUCACUUUAUUGGUGAUAAAUUGAUCGUUUCCCACUUAAUGUUAAUGUUUACCUAUCAUCUUAGUUAGUCUGUUUCCCCUGUAAUUAUGUUUAACAUCAAUUUUUCAUCCAUUAAUGGUUUUUAUUGCUUUUGAACCCACCUUUCAAUUGGUAAGCUACUAACAAACUAAUAUGAAUUGAUUUCAAUUGGUUGGGUCAGGUAUUUUGUCAAAACUACAUAUAAAAUUGUGGUGGUUUUGUACUUCAACUGGUAUGGCAGUGCUAGGCUGCAAUGACAUUUUUAUAGCGGAAUUUUGGCAUUCCUCUAUAUUCCACAAUCUUUUCAUUGACAAUGCUGUUUGGUUACCAGUUGGCAAUCUAAAAAGUAUAUUCAUUUAUUUGCAGCUGUAUACUUAUGCUUUAGUUCUUUGAGUGCUAGUUCUUUGAUUUUUUUAAUUCUUAUUGGUGUCUGUCUUUACUGUGAUUAUAUUUCAUAUUGAGUAGAGAUGACAUAAAAUAUUUUGGAUGGGUAAAACUAGAAGCUAUACUCAUUUAUAUUAAGUCUUUUAGGCUGUUUUACUUGUUGCUGUGACCUGAUUGAUCCUAAGAAGUGGGCCUUGAUUGGAGAUCUGCCUGUAUGAAUUUGUCUUUCUUGUGUUUGGCUUAGUGCUAUAGCUGUAUUGUUUCCUUUCCAAUUUGGAGGAACCAUUCUGAAACUUUGUGACCUUUAAGCAUUACAUAUGGGUGAUGUAUCAAUAUAUUAAAAUAUAGUAGACGACCCUGAUAGUCUAAGUUGCUUGUUUGUCCUAUUUUGUAGAUUUUGCUAAAUAAGCCAGUAAUUUCUUCAUGUUACAUUUUAUACUUAAAGAAGUGGAAAUGAGUUUGGUGUAACCUGAUUUUGAAUUGUCUUGCAGCACUUCUGGUUGUCCGUUUGGUGAGGGAUGCCACUUCCUGCAUUACGUUCCUGGUGGCUAUAAUGCUGUUGCCCAUAUAAUGAAUCUAACACCUGCAGCACCUCCAGCAUCAAGAAAUGUGGCAGCUCUGCCACCUGUACCAAAUGGGUCUGCACCACCUGCUGUAAAGACCCGCAUAUGCAACAAAUUUAAUACUGCUGAAGGUUGCAAAUUUGGUGACAAAUGCCACUUUGCCCAUGGUGAAUGGGAACUUGGGAAGCAAAUUGCUCCAUCAUUUGAUGACCAUCGAGCGUUGGGACCGACUGCAGCAGGUCGUUUUGGUGGUCGAAUGGAGCCUUCUCCUGGUCCUGCUACAAGUUUUGGUUCCCAUGCCACUGCCAAGAUAAGCGUAGAAGCAUCCCUGGCUGGUGCAAUCAUUGGGAAGGGUGGUGUGAACUCAAAACAGAUAUGCCGCCAAACUGGAGCCAAACUUUCGAUCAGGGAGCAUGAAUCGGAUCCUAAUAUUAGAAACAUUGAACUAGAGGGAAAUUUUGAGCAAAUCAAGGAAGCUAGUAAUAUGGUGAAGGAUUUGCUACUGACCCUGCAAAUGUCUGCAUCAAAAGCUAACUCAGGUGUUCCUGGUGCACCUAUUCGAGAGCACGGAAGCAAUUUUAAGACGAAGCUGUGCGAGAAUUUNUCCAAAGGGUCUUGCACAUUUGGAGAGAGAUGCCACUUUGCUCAUGGAGCUUCCGAAUUGCGUAAAUCAGUAUGAAGUUUGUGUUUGUGAGGUACAUUAGCCAGAGCUAUUAUUAUUGUUGUGCAUUGCCACUUUAGCAGUACUGAAUGAUAGUUUUGUUGUUGAGUUGUGUUUUAUUUAUAGCGUGUUUUGUUUAUCAAUUGCAACUUCCGCUUAUAUCAUCAAAUUCCUGUUCUCUUUAGCUGACCCACUUAAUUGGAAAUCACGGUUCUUUUCUUUUCCUUAUUAUCUAUCUUGGGGUUGGAGAAUAAUUUUCUUUAGUACGGUAAAGUAAUGUACUUUCUUUAUUAUUAUUUAAUUUAUAUACGAUAAUGUUUUAUUCUUCUAAACGUGUUUUUAUGUAAAAGUAGUAUCUCGAUCUCUUUAAAUUGUGAAAAUUAGUUUUAUUCUAUUUAAAAAUUUAAAAUUCAUAUUUCUAAAAUUACGAUAAAAUGAACGAUUUGAGGUAGAGUUUGGAUUUAGGUAAAUAUUUCGGGAAGACUGAGGGGAUGAAUUGAUGAAGAUAAAGGGUGGAGUUGUUUGGAUGAAAAGAUUUAGAAGAAUGAAUGAAAGGAUUUGAAAAAAAAAAUAUGAAAGGUUGUCUAUGAGUAAGUGAUGAGAAUGAAAUUUAAAAACAUAUUUUAAUAGAUGAAAUUAAAUAAUUAUCUAAAUUGUUAUAAUUAUAAUAAUAAUAACUAUUAAUAUAUAAUAAACACUAAAAUAAUUAUUUAUAUGUAUAUAAGAAAAAAACAAUUUUGUAAAUUAUUAAAAUAUGAUUAUUGUAAUUAUAAUAGUCACUGUUAUUAUUUAUAUAUGAUAAAAAAAUAAAAACAAUUUAUUUUUAUAUAAGAAAAAAAUUAUUUUUUUAAAUUACAAAAAAACUCUUAUCAUAAUUAAAAUAAUAAUAAUACUUAGAUAUAUAAUAAUGAAAUUGUUUCGAAUAUGGGAUCCAAGAUCGAAUGCAGUCUCAAUCACUUUGACUAUAUGUCUCUAAAGAUCCUUUCCGCUCUGCCACCGACCAGUUGUGACAUGUACGUUAGCACUUCGAAGUUCAAGUCAGCAAAGUCACAAUAGAAUCAGUGCAAAGUAUGAUCAGAUCAAAAGGUGUCGUCUAAUCAUUCCUGUAUUUAUAGGCAGCACUCAAGUAAUGGAUAUUAACUAUCUGUAACCGUUGAUCCGUAAUCUCGAAUUCGCCCAUCAAUUGUAACCGUUGCAACGUGUUCGAGAUAUUCACCUUACUACUCCAAUAACCAUGUUUCGGUAUGCUUGCACCUCCUCUUUUACUCAAUCGACCGGCCUAUGGACCAUGUCGAUCAACUCCCAAGCCUUCCCGAUCGACUCCCCUUAUUCCUCUUACCAACUUACCAUCUUCUAUUCGUUUUCACUUGACCGGACACCUCCUUACAUUACAGAAAUAAAAGCUAAUUAUAUAUAUAUAUAUAUAUAUAUAUAUAUAUAUAUAUAUAUAUAUAUAUAUAUAUAUAUAUAUAGGUUUGUUAAUUUAGUAACCUCUUAAAGUAUGCCAAAUUUUAGUUGACAAAAAUACCUUAUUCAUAAAGAAAGACAUAUUUUAGAUAUAAGGGUAAUUUAAUAAUUUUUAUUUUUAAUUUAAAAAAAAAUAUUUAAAUGUCCUGAAAUUUAAAAUUUUAAAAUCCAUAAUUUAUAGAGAUAUUUUUAUCAACUAAAAUUUAGUAUAUUUUUAAAAGUUACAUAAGUUAGCAGACCAUAUAUAUAUAUAUAUAUAUAUAUAUAUAUUUUUUUUUUUUUUAUGGUGAAAAAGUCUAUAGAAGAAUGCAUGAACAAAAAUGAAACAAAAAAGCAUGCACGUAAGGAGGGGAGAAGAAACACAAAACUGAAAAUUUGUUAUUAUUGUAAAAGAAUUUGUUAGUACAUACAUAUCUUAGAGAUGAAAACUAUUAUAACCUUUUUGAUUGUUCUUUCUUUUUUGAAACUUCAUAGAUCUUUGAGAUUCUUCAAAAUGUUUGGUUGAUUGUUCAAGGAAAUUUCAAGACAUCUCUUGUGUUCUUGUUUUACUUUUGUCAGAAAGAUGUAAUGUGCUUUGUGAUUGAAACAAGUCAGAACAAAUACAUACAUACAUGCACACACGCGUGCACACACGUACAUACACACAUAUACAUAUACAUACAUAUAUAUAUAUAUAUAUAUAUAUAUAUAUAUAUAUAUAUAUAAGAUACAAAAAACUGAUGUACGUAAUCAAUUAGGUUAAUUUCUUAAUCAAUUAGGCUUAACUUUUUGUUUUAAUUGAUUGUGUUAAUUCUUUAAUCGAUUAAAACACGCAGUACAUCCAUGUUGUGCUUCUAAUACAUCAUAACUGAUUGUGGUCUUUACUUAAUCGAUUAAUACAACUAGAUUUAUGCACAUUUGCUCUUUUAUGCAACUAAGACUCUUUCAUACAUAAAUUAUGCAUCUAAGACUUUAUCCUAUAUGAGUUUAAUUUUAUUCUAAUAGUUUAAGCACUUAAGAAAGAACAUUUUGCACGGUUUAUCAUUAAAAACACUCUUACCAUACUUAAGAGAGCUCAUAUUCUCAAUAGAUUUUACAAUAAAACUUAAUUAAUAGAAAAUAAGAAAACAACUAUAUAAAGGAAACCUAAGAGUGUGAAGAGUCAGACGUGAAUGCAACCGUAAAAAACAAAAAAAAAAAAAACAGGAAAUUAUAAAGCACGUGGGGUGCCAAGUCCCUUUUUUCCAAUGGUAUAAAUUUUAACAUUUUUAAAGUUUAAAACUAAAAUGUAUCAAAGUUUAGGAUAUGGAUAAAUUCCAAUUUCGCAUCAAAGUUCAUGACCUAAAAACAUAUUUAACUUAAAUGAAUAUAAUGUAAAAAUACAAUAUAUAAAUGUUCUUAUUGAAUUUAGCUUAGAUAAGUUUGAGAUGGAUGUAAACUCUCAAAAACCCAAAUUAUUGCCUUUUAUGAAGAAAGCUCUAAACUCUGAAGAAAAAUGAAGAACAAAUCCAAUUGUAAAUUUUUUUUCUACAAGUCAAGUCAAUAUAUAAGUAAUGUUGAAUGAGAUAAUUGAGUAUUAUUAAGAAAAGACAGUCUAGGAAUCCUUUAUUUUGAACUUUAACAAAAACAUCUAAUGAAAUAGUGUCUAUAAAAAUGAUUUUAUCUAAGAUAAUACACUAAAUGCAAAAUAUGUGUAAACAAGAUUCUAAAUGAUGUAGGUUAUGCUAAAUGAUAUGAUGAACAUACUAGCAUUAACGCUAUAAUACACAGAUUACACUAAAUGCAAUUAUAAACAUCUAACAUUUUAAAUGCCUCUUUAUCCAUGGAGAUCCAUAAAGAACAAAUGCUUUAUUCAAAAGUUGUGCGUUGAUUCAAAAGAAUUUUAAGGAUACGACGAUAGUAUAGGAAUGUUUCUUUAAUGAUUUAUGUCUGUCAUAUCUUUAUAAGUUGCAAUGUUGCCUCUACACAAGCAACAUAGGAUCUAACCUCAUAAUUAAAAAAGGCUACACGCCUACAUCAAAGUCAAUGCUUUAGAGUAACAAAUUUUUUUGAAAGUUGCUUAUAUAAAGAAAGUCACAUGAAGAGAAGACAACAACUAAUAUACUCUUACGUUGUCAAACCUCUCUCUGGCAUAUGUAAUUUAGCUCUUUGAAAAGGAAUUUCUUAGUAAUAUGUUUUUCAGAUAAAUUUUGUAUUACUCAAAUAUCCUCUCUAUGAGAGAUUCUAUUAUACUUGUUUGCAUAAAAACACUUUGUUAUUUUCGGAUAAUGAGAAGUUAUUUUAAAACACUUGGUUGUUUAACUCAUGGGAGUUAAAUGUUUAUAGUCAAUUGAACUACUUUUGUAUAUUAGGAGUGAUUAUACUUGUUGUAAACCUAAAGUGGUUUAUAUCAGGAGUGAUUAUACUUGUUGUAACCUAAAGUGGUUAAACUUGUAUCUUUUCAAAGAUAAUGAAACCAUUUUAUAAAUUUAUAAAAUUAUGGAAUUAUACACUUAUACAAAUACACUUAUACACUUAUAAAACUAUGAAACUAUAAAACUAUAAACUUAUAAAAUUAUAAAAUUACAAAAUUAUAAAUUAUGAAAUUAAAACAUUAAAUAAUUAAAAAAAAUUAAGAUCACAAAAUUAUAAAAUUAUAAAUUUAUAAAAUUAUAAAUUAUAAAGUUCAAACAUUAGAAAAUUUUGAAAUGAUAAGAUUAUAAAGUUAUAAAAUUAUAAAAUUUUAAUGUUAAUUAUGAAAUUAUAAGAUUAUAAAAUUAUUAUUGUAAGGAUCUAGAAAAUAGAAUAUUGGAAUUGAGAGGUGUUUUAAAUUAACAAGGUUAGAUUAUUUUUAUAUUAAAAAUUUAUGAUAUAAAUAAAAAUUUUAAACGCGUCUCAUCAUCUAAAAUACAUAGCACCUCUCUACAACACUUUCUCUAGACUUCUUCUCCCUUCUCUCUUAGCUUUCUAAUCCGUGAGUCAUCUUUUUGAUGAUCAAGAAGUACUUAAGUGAUCAUGACAAUGAGAUCUUCAAUCUCAUCAGAUGGUUUUCUUUAUAGAGUAAGCUAUUUUCUACUACUUUUUUUCUUUGAUUAGUUGUUUUAAGAUGCAUGCAAGUUAAUCUUGUUGCAUGUGUCAUUCAAUCUCUUCUUCUAGUUUCUUGUCAAUCAAUGGUUCUAAGGACUACCCUGAUCAUAAUUAUGUGGUAUGUAGGUACAUAUUGAGUUGAAGCAUGGGUGGUUUGGGUUUUAGAGUUGUCUGAGCUUUCCAUUAGGUAAAGGAAGCUAAUAAUUGAUUUAAUUUCAUAUUAAUGAGUAUGAAUUUACGAUUUAUAGGUUGUGAGAUUGGUCUUUGGUUGAAUAUGUUAUCAAUUGAGAUGAUUGUUGAGUGAUACUUGUGUCUUGAUAAAUGAAUGUUGCUAAUUAUUAUUGUCACGUAUGAUUGUAAAUUAGUACUCUCUCGAACAUUAGAUGUUGUUGUUUUGGUAUAUGAAUAGGUGAAAAAUUGAUGUUGAAUUUGGAAGUAGGAAAUUGGUAAAGUUGUAGGCUGAUUUCAGUCUAAAAGAGGCGAGGCAAGGGAGGUUGUUUGAUAGACGACAUUUUGAGGUAAGGGUUGGUUGGGAAGUUUGAUUAUUUUUUAAUAUUAGCUUACCUUUUUGUGUUUGUUUAUCUUCUUUUUUUGCAACGAUCACUUGAUUGGUAUGAACAAAAGACCGUAUUUCAAUUUAAAAUACUUUAGGCGGCGAUGACAAGAAUGUGUAACUGUGUUUAGAGUAAUUGGUUUCUUUUAGUUGUUUUUAAAAAAUCUUUUGUAAAGAUAUAACUGUUCUAAGUUAAAAUUUCUUAUAUAUAAUGUUUGAGCUUCUUGUAUAUAAUGUUUGAUUUAUGUUUAUACUUUUUGAUGAUUGUAAUGAUACUUAUAUGCUUUUUUUUAUGUUAAGUAUUUUUUUCUUAUUAAUUAUGUGAUAUCCUUUGGUAGUAUUUAAAACUAUUAAAAAUAAAAUGUUAUAAUAUCAUGAUAUUAUAAGAUUAUAAAAUUGUAAUAUGAUAAGAUUAUAGAAUAUUAUAAUAUUAUAAGAUUAUAAAAUUAUAAUAUGAUAAGAUUAUAGAGUUUUAAGAUUAUAAAAUUAUGAGAUUGUAAGAGUAUAAAAUUAUAAAAUUAUAAAAGUGUAAAAUGACUAUAAGAUUAUAAAAUUUCAAAAUCAUAAAAUUAUAAAAUUAUAAAAUUAUAAAUCUAUAGAAUUUUAAAUUACAAAUUAAAAAUUAUAAAGUUAUAAACCUAAAAAUUAAAAAAUAAUAAAGAACUUAAAAUGCAUUAAAUUAUAAAUUUUAAAAAAAAUGGAACCAUGAAAUUAAAAACUGAUGAAAUUGUAAAAUUUUAAAGUCAUAAAAUUAUUUGACAAAAACUAAAGAGGUAAUAAUGAAACAAAAGGUAAUGAAACAAGAGAGCUCUAGUUAACCACUACACACCUACUUAAGAAAAAAAAAAGUCUAAGAAUAAAAAACAAAAACUUGAAUAGAUAAUCAAAUAAAAACUUUCAAAUUUAUCAUAAAUAUCAAAUUUAAUUAAACCAAAUUAUAAUAUACAAACCAAAUUAUAAUAUUACAAGAUAUAUUUAUAAAUAUCUUAAAAUAUUUUAUAAUAUAUUAAGUAUAUAUGUACAUUAAGUAUAUAUAUAUAUAUAAAAUUAAAUAAAAACAUAAAUAAUUUACUGACAACAUGGACGAUCAAUAAUGUCAUGUAGGAGAGAUGGAAACAGCGAAAAAUGUCAUCACAAAUCCAACCCAUAUGUAAACCUAAUAGAUAACAUCAUCAAAAUUAAUAUUAAUACAUUUAUACAUGUCAUCGAGAUAAAAUAAAAAUUAUCUUUUCUCAAUCUUUAUCAUUUUAUUCAUUUAUAGUCUCAUCAAACUCUUUCCUUUCCUGCACUCCUUAUUGCAAAACCCUUCUUUCAGGAUCACCACUCCUAGGGUUAGGGUUUUUCCUCAUUCAGAUUCUAUCAAUUCUUCUUCGUCUUUUCAUUUCCUCUCAUCGCUUGUAAGCUUAAGUUUGUAAGCUUAGGUUUUCUCUGGAAUCUUAUAGACAUAGAACUCGCUAUUUCUUCCGGAUCUAGUUCCAUGGAUACUCGAAAGAGGGGAAGGCUCGAAUCUGGUUUCAACUCCAACGGUGGAUUUAAGAAAUCCAAGCAAGGUUUGAUUUUGAGCAUUUUUGGUUUCCUUGGUUUUGGUAUUUUUCUUCGCUGUGUUUUAUUGGGCUUCAAAAGUUGUUUGCCUUUGUUCGUUUGUGUUUUGUGGGGUGUGCACGUUGAGGGGAGAAAUUUCUCUCUCACUUACUAACAUAGCUUUUGCUGUGGUAGAAUUGUUUUAGAUUUGUCUGUUUUUCAGUAGUUUGGGCAGUGGAAAAUCUAACCUCUGAUUUCCCUGUCUAAUGAACUCACAACGUACGAAAAAUUCUAAAAUGUUGUCACUCAGUAGUAAUUAUAUUAUAAUGUUGUUGGUUGAUAUUAAUACCUUUGGAAUAAAAUGUACUAGAUUAAUAAACGAAGGGAAUAUUAACUGAGAAUAAGUAAUAAUGUUUUGCAACAGAAAUGGAGUCCUUAUCAACUGGUGUAGGAAGCAAAUCGAAGCCUUGUACCAAGUUUUUCAGGUUCUAAUCUAUUCCUAUCUAAUAAAUAUUUUUGAACUGCCAAUCUGUUAUUAAUAGUGUUUUAUUAUAAUUAAUUUAAUAAUUAAUUGUUUAGUUGCUUUAAAACUUAAUCGUGCAAUUUUGCGAAUUAAUUGGGCAUUCAAAGCUUUUAUACAGGUACAUACUGUUCUUUGUCUAAACAAGUUGUAACAAAAAUAACAAGGUAGAAAAAGAUAGCUAUGUUGGUUCCAAGAUCACUUUAUUGGUCAUAAAUUGAUCAUUUCUCACUUAAGGUUUACCUUUCAGCUUAAUUAGUAUGUUUCCCUUGUAAUUGUGUUUAACUGUCAUUUUUCAUCCUUUAAUGGGUUCUAUUGCUUUUGAACCCACCUUUCAAUUGGUAAGCUAUUAACAAACUAAUAUGAAUUGAACUUCAAUUGGUUGGGUUAGGUAUGUUGUUUAAUCUACGUAUAAAAUUUUGGUGGUUUUGUACUUUAUCAAUAAAGCCAACGCAGGUCACCAGGUCACAAACAUGCAUCACCUUGAGAGAUCUAAGCACCCAAAUUCUGAUUUGCUGUUUUGUUUUGCUUUUCUACUUUGCAUAGCAGCACAAUGGUACGAUGUUAGCGAAGGUGUUUUUUGUCUGGUAGUGUUUGUAGUUUACACAUUUAUUUUUUCUAUUGGUUUUCCUUCAUUGCAAUAAGAAAAAUAUAGCACUAUGUGAAUUUCAGGAACACAACACCUAUCCUUUUCUUUUCCUAUUAUGCUAUCGGAGUUCUGGUUUGCUAAAUUCGCAAUGGAGAUUGAACCAUCUCAAGAUCCCUUGUCAUAAUAAUAAUUCCACCCAUAUGCGAACCCAUCUUUAGUUCUCUUUUCUUCCAUUCUUGACGGACCAAACUACCACCAAUCGUAACAUUCCUUUUGGAUGAGCUUGGUCUCUAAGAAUAAGUUGGGUUUUGUUGGUGGGACUAUCUCUGCCCCAGCAUGCACCAGCCGCAUAUAUGGCCUGGGAGAGAGCAAACAUGAUGGUUGUGUCAUGGCUUCUUCAUUCCUUCUUGCCGCACUUCAAGUUCACUCAAGUGAACAAGGCCUAAGCAAAACCCUAAGCAUUCUUAGAUAAUGCAAUUUUUUGUCAUGAUGAAAUCGAUGGCAAGCAACAUCAAUCUGAUUCUUUGAAGGAAAAUCAGGUGCAACAACAUUUUGGUUUCACAAAACCAAGGCCUGAUAACUCUUCUACAAUAGUCACAAAUCUUCAAUGAUAGUCAUCUUUCCAACUAAGUGUUUGUAACUUCCAUUCCCUCCGAUUCAAUAAUACACUAGUAAAACCUUUCCCUCUUUCACUACAGUGAUACUAGAUACUGCAGCCAUUGAUAAUAUUUGUUUGUCUUCUCCAUUUUGCAUCAUAGCAUCAAAUUAAGCCCAUAUAUGUCACCCUACCAAGUGGAAAUGUUUGGAAGUCACACGUCGACUAAAGGUAAUACUAGUUUAAAGCAUAUAAGUUGGUGCAAACUUCACUUUACAAACCAAUUUUGUGGGAUUGAAUUAGACUUAAAGUCUACUUCUUAAUAGGAAAUAAAGUUGUUGCCAAUUACUUAGGGAGUGUUUUUCUAACCUGAAAUCAUGUUUAGCAUGAUGUGGUUUACAUUCCUUGUUUUAAUUUUAAUCUGUUUCAAAAGUGAUUAGAAGUCUCUUAUGUGUCUUCUUAGGAUAUGAAACUGACACAAAAGGGUUCAUCUUAUUGAAUAUUCACACUACAAAGCUGUGUUUCUAUGAAAGGGGGUUUUCGUAUUGCAAAAUAGAGACCAAAGGUAGUGAGGUUGACCGAUGUACUUUCCCCAAUGGUGAAAAUCAUAGCAGUCAAUAUCCAAUCUCCCAAAUCCACGAUCCUCAAGUUCAUAUUCCUAUUAAUGUUAGUCAACCUAUUGAGCCUAAAAUUGUACCAACCACACUCCUAUCCUUAAGCUCAACCUAUCAUACAUCCGAUUCAGAAGAAACAAACUCCCUUCCUACACUUGAAACCACCACACCUGAAACCAAUGUUUCAAUUGAAAUGAACAUUGCAAGUACACCUUCUUACCAUAGCACUAGAGUUAGAAAGCCUUUUGGUUAUUUGAAGGAUUAUUAUUGUUAUAUCAACAUGGUCUCCAAUACCUCUUCCAAGGUUCUCUAUCCACUUUCUCCUAUUUUACCAUAUACACACUUGUCUUCAUGUUAUAAUUCCUAUGUUGUGUUUCAAAAUCAAACGCAAGGCAAAUGGCACAAUAGAGAGAUAUAAAGUUUGAUUAGUAGCAAAAGGUUACACUCAAAUCAAAGGCAUUAAUUAUCUGGAUAUGUUUUCACCUGUGGCAAAGAUAACCACUGAGAGAUUAAUUUUAUCUAUUGCCUCCAUGUUGAAAUGGAAACUAAGGCAACUUGACAUCAGCAAUGCCUUGUUACCUGGUGAGGUCAAAGAAGUUUACAUGAUUGCCCCUCUUGGAUUGAAUAAAGCCUUGUCGGGACAAGUGUGUAAACUACAAAAGGAAUUAUAUGGUCUUGAAUAAAGUUCGCUAAACUUUCCUCAUUUCUUCUCUUUACUGGCUAUCCUUGACUAUUCUUUAUUUGUUAAGUCAUCUAAAUAACUCCUUCACAAUAGUUUUGCUAUGUGUGGAUGAUAUGAUUUUGGCAAGAAAUACUGAUCAAGAAAUAGCACAAAUUAGGCAAGCCCUUGAUGAUCCCAUCUGCAUCAAAGAGUUGGGAGAAUUAUGGUUUUUUCUUGGUUUUGAAGUGGCAUGGACAAAGAAAGGUAUCUUGAUGUGCCUGCGAAAAUUUACGGUGGAAUUACUAAGUGACCCAUGUCUUUUGGGAUGCUAAACAACAUCUACACCGAUUGAUAAUACUAAGAAGAUUUCAAUUGACUCAGAAGAAUUACUUAUGGUUUUCUUAGCUAUAGACGUCUCAUAGGAAGACUCAUGUAUCUCACAAGCACAUGGCCAUAUAUAACCUAUGUUGUGCAAUUCCUUUCUAAGCCGACAACCAUCCAUCACAGUUCUGUCCUAAGGAUCCUUCGCAACAUAAGAAAAAGCACUAGGCCUAGAUUUGUUUUUCCCAUCUGAUUGUGACCUUCAAUUCAAAGCUUAUAGAGAGAAGGAUUGGCCUCUUAUGCUGAUACAAAGAGAUUCCUCUAUAUUCCAAUAUUUUCUGGUUGACAACGCUGUUUGGUUACCAGUUGCCAAUCCAAAAAACAUAUUCAUUUAUUUGCUGUUGUAUAUUUAUGCUUGAGUUCUUUGAAUGCUUGUUCUUUGAUUUUUUUAAUUUUUAUUGGUGUCUGUCUUUACUGUGAUUAUAUUUCAGAUUGAGUAGAGAUGGCAUUAAAUAUUUUGGAUGGGUAAAACUAGAAGCUAUACUCACUUAUAUUAAGUCUUUUAGGCUGUCUAUUAUACUUGUUGCUGUGACCUAGUUGAUCCUAAGAAGUGUGCCUUGAUUAGAGAUGACUGUCUUCUGUUUGGCUUAGUGCUUUCAAUUUGGAGGAACCAUUCUGAAACUUUGUGACCUUUAAGCAUUACAGUGUGCAUGGGUGAUGUAUCCAUAUAUAACAAUAUAGUAGACGACUCUGAUAGUCUAAGUUGCUUGUUUGUCCUAUUUUGUAGAUUUUGCUAAAUAAGCCAGUAAUUUCUUCAUGUUACAUUUUAUACUUAAAGAAGUGGAAAUGAGUUUGGUGUAACCUGAUUUUGAAUUGUCUUGCAGCACUUCUGGUUGUCCGUUUGGUGAGGGAUGCCACUUCCUGCAUUACGUUCCUGGUGGCUAUAAUGCUGUUGCCCAUAUAAUGAAUCUAACACCUGCAGCACCUCCAGCAUCAAGAAAUGUGGCAGCUCUGCCACCUGUACCAAAUGGGUCUGCACCACCUGCUGUAAAGACCCGCAUAUGCAACAAAUUUAAUACUGCUGAAGGUUGCAAAUUUGGUGACAAAUGCCACUUUGCCCAUGGUGAAUGGGAACUUGGGAAGCAAAUUGCUCCAUCAUUUGAUGACCAUCGAGCGUUGGGACCGACUGCAGCAGGUCGUUUUGGUGGUCGAAUGGAGCCUUCUCCUGGUCCUGCUACAAGUUUUGGUUCCCAUGCCACUGCCAAGAUAAGCGUAGAAGCAUCCCUGGCUGGUGCAAUCAUUGGGAAGGGUGGUGUGAACUCAAAACAGAUAUGCCGCCAAACUGGAGCCAAACUUUCGAUCAGGGAGCAUGAAUCGGAUCCUAAUAUUAGAAACAUUGAACUAGAGGGAAAUUUUGAGCAAAUCAAGGAAGCUAGUAAUAUGGUGAAGGAUUUGCUACUGACCCUGCAAAUGUCUGCAUCAAAAGCUAACUCAGGUGUUCCUGGUGCACCUAUUCGAGAGCACGGAAGCAAUUUUAAGACGAAGCUGUGCGAGAAUUUNUCCAAAGGGUCUUGCACAUUUGGAGAGAGAUGCCACUUUGCUCAUGGAGCUUCCGAAUUGCGUAAAUCAGUAUGAAGUUUGUGUUUGUGAGGUACAUUAGCCAGAGCUAUUAUUAUUGUUGUGCAUUGCCACUUUAGCAGUACUGAAUGUUAGUUUUGUUGUUGAGUUGUGUUUUAUUUAUAGCUUGUUUUGUUUAUCAAUUGCAACUUCCGCUUAUAUCAUCAAAUUCCUGUUCUCUUUAGCUGACCCACUUAAUUGGAAAUCACGGUUCUUUUCUUUUCCUUAUUAUCUAUCUUGGGGUUGGAGAAUAAUUUUCUUUAGUACGGUAAAGUAAUGUACUUUCUUUAUUAUUAUUUAAUUUAUAUACGAUAAUGUUUUAUUCUUCUAAANNNNNNNNNNNNNNNNNNNNNNNNNNNNNNNNNNNNNNNNNNNNNNNNNNNNNNNNNNNNNNNNNNNNNNNNNNNNNNNNNNNNNNNNNNNNNNNNNNNNNNNNNNNNNNNNNNNNNNNNNNNNNNNNNNNNNNNNNNNNNNNNNNNNNNNNNNNNNNNNNNNNNNNNNNNNNNNNNNNNNNNNNNNNNNNNNNNNNNNNNNNNNNNNNNNNNNNNNNNNNNNNNNNNNNNNNNNNNNNNNNNNNNNNNNNNNNNNNNNNNNNNNNNNNNNNNNNNNNNNNNNNNNNNNNNNNNNNNNNNNNNNNNNNNNNNNNNNNNNNNNNNNNNNNNNNNNNNNNNNNNNNNNNNNNNNNNNNNNNNNNNNNNNNNNNNNNNNNNNNNNNNNNNNNNNNNNNNNNNNNNNNNNNNNNNNNNNNNNNNNNNNNNNNNNNNNNNNNNNNNNNNNNNNNNNNNNNNNNNNNNNNNNNNNNNNNNNNNNNNNNNNNNNNNNNNNNNNNNNNNNNNNNNNNNNNNNNNNNNNNNNNNNNNNNNNNNNNNNNNNNNNNNNNNNNNNNNNNNNNNNNNNNNNNNNNNNNNNNNNNNNNNAACAAGAUAAAUAGUUUAUAUUGUGAAAAUUUUAGUAUAUUAAUUAGAAUGAGGUUUUAUAUUUAAUGUAUUUCAAUUAAUAUAACAAGAUAAAUCAUUUAUAUAUAUUUAUACGUAGAUUUAAUCUUUAAUGUCAAAUAUACCAAUAGAACUCUCUUUCAUUCUUAUAUAAAUUUAAUAUUUAACUGAGUCAAAAUAGUCUCAUUAUAAAACAUUAAUAUAUUUCACACAUCAUCCAGAUAAUAAACAUCAAAGUAAAGUUGUAGAUUAACUUUUUCUUUAAAAAAACAUGAAAUCUUAGUUCAUCAACUAUACAUAAAUUGUUAAGACAUACCAGUUUUAAAUAUUCAUUUUAUUCCUUCAAAUAAAAUAAAAUCAUUCUUUUCAUAUUUUAAUUGUGAAUAGAAUACUACUUAUAAUUUUAUUUUAAAAAAUUAUUAUUAAAAAUUAUUAUUUUUAGAAAAAAAUCUAUUGUUUAUAUUGCCACACCCCAUUUAAUACCUUCUUUAAUGGGUAUACUUGUCAAAAACCUUUCUAAAUUCUCAUAAUAAUGGCAGACAAAGCCUGUCAGUGCAUUUAAUUCUCCGCCCUCGGUAGACGUGUGGCUGCAAAGGGAAUGUGGAUUUUCAGAUAAUGGAAGCCCUGUGACAGAAAGGGAGUGGACCGAACGUCCAAAUUGGUGGCCAUAUUUAAAGUGAGAUUUUUAAAGGCACCACUUUCUGCAUGCAACCUUUCUCCUUCCUCAAGUUCAUUUUCCAGAACCACCAUUUUCUUCUCCUUCUCUCUAAACCUUCAAACUUCUCUCUAAAUUUCUAACCACCAAUUCUUCUCCGAUCAUCAACUUCAUUUCAGAUUAAUUUCUCUCGGUGUCAAGAGCUUCAAUUUGCACCGAUCAUAAUUCCAUUCUGAACCGACUCUGGACUUUGGAAAAUCAUAGAAGUAGUUGCUGCCCAAGACCUUAGAAGUAUUAGCUGGAAUUAUAGGUAAGGGAAUCUUACAAAAUUUAAUUAUGAUUUCUUUGUAUGAUUGGAUGCAUGACUUAAUGUAUGAUUUUAAUGGUAUGAUGAAAUGUGGUAUGUUGCUGCAUGAAAUGUAUGAUAUGUUUGAUUCUAAUUCUGUACUUAGUGUAAAUGUAUUAAACUUAGAGAAAUGUAUGAAACUUAGAAAUUAUGAAAUCUGUGAUCGAAGGUCAUUAGGACCGUUCGGUCCUCCCCUUUAAAUCGUCCGGUCUUGACUGAAGUAAGUUGAUGACCGAUCGGUCUUGUGAGGCUUACAUUGUUUGCUAUCUACUUUGACUAAUCUGGCUCUUUAAUAAGUCAAGGGAGGUUUUUCCCUCUCGGUUUAGUGUAUAUAAUAUGGUUAAGAGCGUUCGGUCAUAAACCGAGCAUUCGGUCAUACAAGUGUUCGGUCUUAUACUGACACAUCACUUAUGAAACAUUCAAUUUUAUGUUAAUAUUAUUCACCUAUAAACGUUCGAUCUUGUGAAGCACUCGGUCAUAAACCUAGUGCUCGGUCUUAUUAAAUGCUUAGUCAUAAACUAGUAUUGCUAUAAAUUAAAGUACUCGGUCUUACACCAAGUACUCGGUCUUGAAGUGCUCGGUCAUAGACUAGCCUUCAGUUCAUUUUAGUGCUUGGUCUUACACCAGCACUUGAUCUCAAAGUAUUCGGUUUAUAAUAUUAUGUAUUUGUGAAAGUGCUCGGUCUCAUAUUGACACUUGUUUCCCAAAGAGUGUUCAGUCUCGUACUGACACUCAGCCCAUUGAAGAGAACUCUUGUACUCCAAAAACGUUCGGUUUGAUUAAUAUAAGUACUCGGUCUUAUUCAAGUUUUAUUCAGUUAUUGAGCGUUCGACCACUCUCUUAACAGUGUUCUAUUCUGAUGAAUGUGAUGGUGUGUAAUUGGUUGAAUUUGGUUAAGUAAGAGAAUUCUAAGGGAGGGAUAUCUCAUGGAUAAAUGAUGGUUGGUAAAGUAUGAACAUGGUCAGACUCUGUUGUCGUCCUGAUCCUGAUAUUCCGUGAUGACGCUUUCUCAUGUAGAGAAAGGUUCCUCAUGCGUGGGAAUGACAGGAGGUCCGCGGUCAUAAGACCAGAUGAUCGUUGUAGGACUAACCUCGGGUGGCAGCUGAUGAGUAUGCCAGCUACUACACCACACCGGGUGCUAGGGACGUCGAGCUACGUGGUUCAUACAGUCCGGACAGUGUCUAAGUGGUCGGUUAUGAUUGUUUGUACGAUUGGUUUCAUAGCUAUGUAUGUAUGAUUGUAUGAAUGUGAUGUUGCUUAUAUUAUUUUGUCCUUAUGUUUAUAUGUAUGCUGGAAAUGAAUUAAUUAAAUUUACAUAAGCUUACCCUUAUUUGUUCUGUCCUUGCCUAUGUUGUCGUUCGGUAUUUGACCGUUCGGUUUGUUCUCUUCACCGUGAUGAUCAUCCUUUGGGUGUGAGCAGAAGACGUUGUUGAAGAUACCUUGGAGGAUGUUUUACAGACCGCUCAGCCAGAGGAUGGUGUUCUUGAAGAUAGUGCAGGACCGUCCGAACCUUAGGAUAGGUUUUAAUUACUCCCCUUAUGUGUAGAACUGUUCGGUCCACCUUAUGUUUUGUAGGACCGUUCGGUAUACCUUUUGUACUUAGACCGAUCGAUAUUAUUAUGUGAAGCGUUCAGUCGUUUUGUGUACAUUCAGUAUCUUGUAAAAAGAUUAAAAAUUUAUAUGAUAUUUCCUAUCUUUUACCCAUCUAUGUGCUUAAUCAUCACUGUUCUUCUUUAUUAUUUAUAUUAACUCUUAAAAUAAAUUAUAGCUUGUGUUAUAUAUUUAUUGGGAUGUUACAUAUAUAAUAAUAGUAAUAAUAACAAUAACAACAUUUUUAUUAUUUUAUACUUUAAUGUCAUGACAAUGUAUCUAUUUGUCUAUUAAUCGACUGAAUUGAGUGGUGAUAUUUUGUCACCUAAAAACAGAAAUAUCCAUUUGACAGCUUAAAACAUUGAUAUUUUAUUAAUUUUAAUUUUCAGCUACUACUAAAUAAUUUAUAUUUAAAAUUAAUUAUUAAGAAAGUGUUUGUUUUUUGUGUGUGAAACGUGAAACUAUCACUUUUCUCAAAAUUAUUAUCAACCCCAAGUUGGAACCAUGAUUUGCAACUUAGUGAGCUUUCAUGUUACAUCAUAAUUUCUUCCUCCGCCUUUCAUAAUUUCUUCUUAUAUAAUUUUUUAAUUGAAUAACGUGAAAUGUAAAUUUUAUAUUUAAAAUUAUAUAAUAUGAAAUAUGUCUUUUAUUUUACAUUUAUGAAUAUAUAAUCUGAAAAGCAGUUUUUGUAUUUUAAAAAUAUAAUUUAAAAUACAAAAAUUAUACUUUUAAUUGUUCAAUCUAAAAUAAAUAUUUUAUUUUAUAUUUGAGAAUAUAUAAUCUAAAAUAUACAAUAUUAUAUUUCUAAUUACAUAUUCUAGAACUAACAAGUUUAUGGAAAUCCAAGUUGAAAUUAUGGAUAUGCAACAAGAAGGUGCCUACAAGGGCAAGUUCAAAAUUUUAUUUGAAAAGAAAAAUCAAGUUAUAUAAAACCGAAGUCUGGCUUGUACUGUUAAAUAAAACUUAUACUUUCAUAUUGUAUACAACAAUAUACAUUUAUUUUACAGUCUAAUUUAACAAUAUAAUAAAAUUUAUAUUAAAAUAUAAAAAACUUGCUUAAAAUAUUAAUUUGAACUGAGGUAGUUUUUUUAAGGAAACAUGAAUGUAUCAUCUCUCUUAAUAUUUAAAAAAAAAAUUAAAAUUUUGAAAUCCUAAUCUUGCACCCCCACACACUUUCUCCUCCUCAUGCCUCCAUUCUCUCCUUUCUCCUCCACGGUUCUACAAUUUGUGUUCUAUAUAAAAGACACAAAAUUGAUAAUUUUAAUUAAUUACAUUAUUUAUUUGAUCAAUUAAAAUUUACACAUUAUUUUAAUCGUUUAAAAUUUUAUUGUAGACAUUUUAAUCAAUUAGAUUAUUUUUCUAAUUUAUUUUAAUCAAUAGAUAUUUUACGUAAUCGAUUAAAACAAUAAAAAAAACCCAAAAUUUUAAUCAUUUAACAACAAUUAACAGUAUGCUUAUUUCAUAACAAUAAACUUAUUUCACAAGUAGAUAUAAUCUCUAUACAAUUUUACAAUCUAUUUCUCCCAAGAAAGAAAAAAAGAACAUUCAUUUUCAUCAUCAAUUAAAAAAACAUUUAUCAUCAUAAAAACAUCACAAAAAACAUAUUAUAUAUAUAUAUAUAUAUAUAUAUAUAUAUAUAUAUAUAUAUAUAUAUAUAUAAUAUAUAUAUAUAAAAUAUAUAUAUAUAUAAUGUUAAUUUAGUUAAAGAGAUUUAAAUACUUGAAUUAUUCUCUCAUGUUUUCAUUUCAUUUUAUAUUUGAUUAUGUUAUAUUAUUUAUCAUUAGUGUCGUGUUUGUAGUGUAUGUCUAACAAUUUUUGUUGCAAUUUUUUUUUAAAAAUAUUAUUAAAAAUUAUUAAUACAUAGGAUUAGACAAAACUUGAAAUCAUCGUAACUAAACCCACAAAUUCGAAUAUUCGACUAAUUGUUUUAACGUAUGUUCUAAGUGUUUCUUUAGCUUACUUACCUAAUCACGUUUUGGCAACGUUAAUUACAGUUAAAAGUUGCGGUACAAUUUAUAGUUGACAAGUAUGAACUAUUAUGUCCUUUGCAAGUUGUAAUUUUCUUUAAUGUUAAUGACGUCACUGUUACGUAAUCCAGGUUUUUUUUUUAAAACCAAUUAAUCAAAUUAAAAUUAAUUUAGCCUUAUCGUUUAAUUAUUUGCAUAAUUAAAUUUAUUUACCUAAAGAAUAUAUAUAAUUAAAUUAAAUGAAAAAAGAAUAGUAAAAUAAAUCUUCAUAACUAAUUUUAUCAUCUCAUCCUCAAAAUUUUGUUUUGUUAUUCUUAAAUUUAAGUAAAUUUGAGUAAUAUUUCCUCAUUAUUAAAACUGAAAAAUUCUUAUUUAAUUCUUUAUGCUCUUAAAUUCUCUACUCUGUAAAUUGAAUUAUGCUUUUCUUAAUCUAAGAUUUAUUCUUUUAUUUUGUUUAACUUGUUUGAAUCUUUUAAUGAAUCUCUAUGUAUAUAAAAAAAAAAAUCUCUAUUUUAUUUUUAUUUAAUAUGUCAUAUAAGAAGUUGUCUUUAAUUUUUCUCUUUAUACAAAAAAUUUUAUUUUAUUUUAUUUUUUUUAAGUAAAUAUAUAACAAAUUUAUGUGAAUUUGAGGCUACCUUUUGUUCAUUUAGUAUAGUUUCAACAAAUUAAUACGUUCGAGAAAGAGUCGUUAUAGAAUCAUUAUAGACAAGAGUCAUUAUAGACGUAAAAUUAUAUGAAGGUAAUAUAAAUAUUAGGAAGUUUAUUUGAUUUAAUUUGCAAUAGUUUUAUGCAAAGUAUAGUGUGGUCACAAAUGAUGGUUUAUUAUUAAAAAUUAUAUGAAAGUUUGUAAUUGAGCCACUGAAAGAACUAAACACUUCAUAACUACACCAUAAACAGAAUCUAUCCAAAUAUUUCCUAUAGUUGAUUAAUUCAUGAUUUGAGAAUAAAAAAAUAAUAAAAUAGAACUCGUGGAUUAUUGUAAUAUUUACCUUUAAAAUCAUAAUAUUUGAUAAUAAAAAAAUAUGGAAAAGGAAUAGUUGAUGACUUCAUAUCUUCAUUCUGAAAUUUAUAUAUGACUUUUAUUUUCUUCAUUAUUUGAUUUUUCAUAGAAUCGUCAUAACACAAUACCAUGAUAUUGUUUAUUUAUUGAAACGGAAGUGAUACAUAACGAUACAGUACAGUGAAAACACUUUUACAGUAGUAUCCAGUAACAACACCCCCAUCCACUCUCCAUAACAAAAAUGGAGAGAAAAGGGGACAAACAAGAAAAAAAAAAAGAGCAUGAACACAAAACAACGACGCCGUUUUUAUUAAACCAUUGCUAAUAACUUUUGAUGAUAGUAUAAUCAUCUUUAUUUAACUGUAAGUACCUCCAGUCCCAUGGUGGAAUCCCGUGGGAUGACCAUGCAAACCGGUGGCCCCCUGUUUCGCCGCCGAGUUAUACUCACUCGCCGCAGCGUUAUGUUGACGCGCCGCCUGCUUGUCCAGCUCAGCCUGGUCGACCUUAGCUUCCUUCUUCUGGGUUGCUAAUUCCUUUUCCAACGGAUCACGUGUUGUCAUUUUUUCUGCCUGGUUAUAGCACAAGCACAUUUAUAAUUAAGUAGGUGACAAAUGAUGAAUAUUUUAUGAAAAAUAUGAUAGUAAGUAUUAAUAUAAUGGUGUUAUGCAAUAACGGAUUGAAAAAAAAAAUGGUUGAUAUACCUUCUCUUGGACAGUGGCCUUGGUCUUCUCCAUGCCAGCUUUUGCAGAAGCACCAAUGUUUGAAGCCUUUUCCUUCAUUGAUUCUCCUGUUUUCUUUCCUCCCUGCAUUUUUUAACAAUUGGUUCUAUUAUUUUCUUUCUUUCUUUCCUUCUCAGACUUGGUUUUCUUCAGCUCACUGUAUCAGACUCAAACAUCCCACACCGAAUAAAUAGAUUUAGGUGCUACGAUAUCUUUCCCGCACCAGCACAUGCAGCAGUACGCGUGGCAUGUUUCUCGGCCUAGUUUGGUUCAUCUUCUUACACGUAAUUGCCGCGUGUCAGUUAGCUACGACCUUCAACACUGAUGAGGUUUCCAAUGUUAAGGACGCGUGGCUGUAUCUUUUUAAAAUCUGUAAUGAAAUUUGAUUUUAUCUAUACAUAAUCUCAGUUUUAUUUUUAUAUAUCCUGUCUUCAAAAAAAUAUCAUUAUUUCUAUUAAACUUAUAAUUAUUAUAUUAUUGUUUUGAAAAAUAAUAUAACAUUUUUCCAUUGAUUAUAAACAUGAAUGAUGUUAAGUUAAAGUGUGACAAGUUAGAUAUAUAAAGUUAAAAUAAGUUAUAUUUGGGUUAAUUCUAUUCAUGACAAGUUUUUAUUGAAUAGAGUCAUGUUAAAGUAGAUAUUAGGCUUAUAUUUAUUUGGUUUAGUUGAGUUAGACUUAUCUGUAAUCAAGUUAAUUCAAGUUUAUCUUUAAUUUAAUUGAGUUAUGAACAUUUUAAAUGGAGUCAUAUCAUAUCUGUUCUAAGUUUAGGUAAGUCAGAUAUGUGUUGAGUUAAGUUAAAUUCACAUUUAACCAAAUUAUCACAGGUCCACAUAAAUUGGUUAAAUCAAAUACACUUUAGACUGAGUUAAGUUGAAUCUACCUCAUAUUAGGUUAAAUAAGAAAGUUAGUUUAAACCAUUUUAAUAACUCAUAUCAAAUCAAGUUAUACUAAACUCAUCUUAAGUAGAAUUUAGUUAGACCAAACUCAAAUUAAAUAUUAAUUAGCCUACCUUAUUCAAAGUCGAGUCAAGCUCAACAAGUUGAGAUAAAUAAGAAAGUUAGUUUAAACCCAUCUUAAUAACUCAUAUCAAACCAAGUCAUACUAAACUUAGCUUAAGUAAAAAUUAGACCAAACUCAGAUUAAAUAUUAAUUAACCUAUUUUAUUCAAAGUCGAGUCAAACUCGAAAAGUUGAGAUAAGUCUACUUCUAAUUAACUGAGUUAAGUUGAACCUACUUCAUAUUAUGUUAAAUCAGAAAGUUAGUUUAAAGCUAUAUUAACAAUUAAUAUUAAACCAAGUAAUACCAAAAAGUAUUUGAGUAUUAAUAAACCUAUUUAUGCAAAGUCGAGUCAAGCUCAACAGUCACUACAAGAAAAAACUGAAUUACAUACAGCCAAAAGUCAUAUAUAAAGCCCAAAAUUUGUAUAUAACACUUGGUUACAUACGGCUUAUAUACGGACAAAAAUUCAUAUAUAAAAUUGUUGUAGCUAAAUUAUAUACGGAUAUAUUCGUAUAUAAAUUAUAUACGGAUUUAUCCGUAGGUAAUUUAUAUACGGAUUUAUCUGUAUGUAAUUUAUAUACGGAAAAAUCUGUAUAUAAAAUCCGUAUAUAAUUUAUAUACGAAAAAAUCCAAAUAUAAAUUCGUAUGUAAUUUAUAUAUGAAAAAAUCCGUAUGUAAUUUAUGGUUUUAUAAAAAAAAAUAAAUGAUCUCACAUUUGCACUCAAUAACUAAGAGGUGUGAUAAACUAUGUUUUAAUAAUAAGAAAAAUAUAUAAGCACUUAUACUUUAACAAUAUAAAAUCCAAACAAUUAGAAACGUAAAAAAUAUUAAUAUAUUAAAAAUAUAAAAGUAAACAAGAAUUUAGAUGAAUAAAAAAGAGAUAAAAUGUAAAAGGUUAAAAGCUCUUUUUGGUCCCAGUUUUGGUUGGAAAAAUUCGAAAUGGUCCCUAGGUUUAUUUUGUGUUCAAUUUCGUCCCAAAGAACAAAUUUGGUGUUCAAUUAAGUCCUUUUUAGUAACUCUGUUAAAAUUCUUAACGGCAACGUGUCCAGAUGUGCAACUGCUGAGUGAGGUGUAAGUUUUUUGCUGACUGAGAAUCCUUUUCAGUUGGAAUCAGAAUUUUAGAAGGGCAAAGUAGGCAAAAAGGGGUUUGCCCCGUGAGAGUGCGCCACGUGUUCGCUCCCUUUCCACCCAAAAUUAGGAUUCAGAUUUGGGAAAAAGAGGUUUCCCCCUGGUGUGCCUACGCAAAUCGGAAAAUGUUGGAGGCUGCCACAGUGGUUCCUGAUGGGUGUCGCAGCUCAUACAAAUUUAAUUGCAUAUUAAGAAUGCAGUAUAGUGCUAGGAAGUGACUCCUAGGUCGUCUCUCAAGGACCAAACUGUGGUUCGAGUCUCAGGUCAAACACGAAGUGGGAAGGGGGGGGGUUUGAAAGUGUGUUGCAAAAUUUAACUAACUCAAUAUAAAGACAUGGAUGCAAACAAACUAAUUAAAGCUAGCAUGGUAAUUAAAAUAACCCUAUUAAAAACCUUAGACAACAUUCAAACAUCAAAAACUCUUGCAAACAAAUUAACAAACACAGUUAAAAUUAAUUAAACUCAACACUAACUCAAACACAUGAAGACAACUCAACCUACUAAUUAAACUAAGUGAAAACAAGAGAAAUUAACAAGCCUAUNNNNNNNNNNNNNNNNNNNNNNNNNNNNNNNNNNNNNNNNNNNNNNNNNNNNNNNNNNNNNNNNNNNNNNNNNNNNNNNNNNNNNNNNNNNNNNNNNNNNNNNNNNNNNNNNNNNNNNNNNNNNNNNNNNNNNNNNNNNNNNNNNNNNNNNNNNNNNNNNNNNNNNNNNNNNNNNNNNNNNNNNNNNNNNNNNNNNNNNNNNNNNNNNNNNNNNNNNNNNNNNNNNNNNNNNNNNNNNNNNNNNNNNNNNNNNNNNNNNNNNNNNNNNNNNNNNNNNNNNNNNNNNNNNNNNNNNNNNNNNNNNNNNNNNNNNNNNNNNNNNNNNNNNNNNNNNNNNNNNNNNNNNNNNNNNNNNNNNNNNNNNNNNNNNNNNNNNNNNNNNNNNNNNNNNNNNNNNNNNNNNNNNNNNNNNNNNNNNNNNNNNNNNNNNNNNNNNNNNNNNNNNNNNNNNNNNNNNNNNNNNNNNNNNNNNNNNNNNNNNNNNNNNNNNNNNNNNNNNNNNNNNNNNNNNNNNNNNNNNNNNNNNNNNNNNNNNNNNNNNNNNNNNNNNNNNNNNNNNNNNNNNNNNNNNNNNNNNNNNNNNNNNNNNNNNNNNNNNNNNNNNNNNNNNNNNNNNNNNNNNNNNNNNNNNNNNNNNNNNNNNNNNNNNNNNNNNNNNNNNNNNNNNNNNNNNNNNNNNNNNNNNNNNNNNNNNNNNNNNNNNNNNNNNNNNNNNNNNNNNNNNNNNNNNNNNNNNNNNNNNNNNNNNNNNNNNNNNNNNNNNNNNNNNNNNNNNNNNNNNNNNNNNNNNNNNNNNNNNNNNNNNNNNNNNNNNNNNNNNNNNNNNNNNNNNNNNNNNNNNNNNNNNNNNNNNNNNNNNNNNNNNNNNNNNNNNNNNNNNNNNNNNNNNNNNNNNNNNNNNNNNNNNNNNNNNNNNNNNNNNNNNNNNNNNNNNNNNNNNNNNNNNNNNNNNNNNNNNNNNNNNNNNNNNNNNNNNNNNNNNNNNNNNNNNNNNNNNNNNNNNNNNNNNNNNNNNNNNNNNNNNNCAAAGACAAGCUUACAAGCUCAAGCUCCAACAUCAACAACAAGGAAAUGAAGAGAGAAAUGGGUGGUCAUAUACUUCUACCAAGCCAAGACAACUAAGAUUAAAGCAAGAGAGGAAUAAAAUCUGCAACUUUGUUCAUUCAUAUAGCCCAAAACCGAAAAAUCCAUGGCAAGCUCCAUGAGAGUGUCUUCAUACAUGAAAACCUAGAGAAAGUGAGCCAAAAACCAUGUAAAAUGAAAGUGGCUAGUGUGUGUCUCGGUAUUGUCUCUCAAUAUGAUCGAGAAUCACCCAAUGGUGGGGUCCACACACUAAAACAAAACCUUAGACUAAAAGCCACAUGUCCUACAAAGUGGGCUUUUACAAAAAUGCCCCUAAAAGGGUCCAAAACACCUAAUUCUAAUUAAGUUCUUCUAGAAAACGAAAUUACAACUUAAUUAAAAUGGAAGUGACUAAAUGUUGAGUCUUGAAUGAUCACGCCACCUUCACUAAUGCUCCAAAUGAUGUUUCCCAAAAUUUUCCUGUAACCAAAAUGCACUUAGUCAGCUCAGAAAACCCAAAUUAGCACAAUUACGAAUUUCCGACCAAAUUAAGCAGAAUUUGGAAAACGGGGAAAUAACAGACAAUUAAACACAAUUCCCUGGUUUAUUUAAGUGCAAUAAACUAAAUAUAGUUCAAGAAAUAACGACUCAUCAAAAUAGACCACACUUAGUCUUUUGCACUCCUGGGCAAAAGCAAGACGAAAACCAGGGAACUACUCAAACAUCAAGGAGGUGACACAGACUCGACAGACAGAUAACAACGACUCACAAAACAGAAACAUAGUUGCACAAUUCUCACAAAAUCUGGACAGUGAAAGGAAGUGGGCAGUAUCCAACACAAAAGAAAUGAAAGCAAAUACUCACAGAAUCAUCCAAACAAUUCAGUCCAUGGAAAACAGUCAAUCAGUUUAAGAGAUGAAUCAAGAGCAACAGAGCCUCACAGAUGCACACAAUCAGUGUUUCUCUCAAGUGUUUAAGGUAAAUCAAUGUCACUCAAUGCACUCAAGAAAGCAAACACAAAUAGACUUGGCAAGCCUCUAAUAUCAACACUAAAACACAUAUGCAUGUUCAAAUCAAAAGGUCUUUUCAUGGUUGUAAUGGGGCCAAGGACAAGGGAGGAUAUAUCUCGAUAAGAAGCUACAAACCAUAAAAAAUAGAGGAGCAAUGGGGAACAAGUGUAAACACAUUCAAACACACCCACAACCUCUAAUUCCAUCCUCUUCUUGACUCCAUUAUUCACAAUUUUUUUUUCUUCUGUAUUUUCGCGAAAUAAGAAUGAUAAUAGUGAAAAUAUAAACACCAAAAACACAUAGCAUAGUUCAAAAAUGAUUUAGAAAAGAUAAAAAAAGCAUUCAACAACUAUAAUCAAACAGAGUCGAUUGACAUGUUAUAUAAAAAUCAGAUAUAAAUCAUUCCAAACUAAUUAUGAAGCCAUCUGACGGGUUCAUAAUAUGACCAAUCUCACGUGUUCAAAAUAUCGAAAGCAUAUCUCAUAGCAUAAUGUCAGUCUAGGCACAAGAAGCACAUGGGUUUCAAUGGUUAAGAUUGACUUAAGAGUCUAUAACUCGAAAUAUGUGGAAUCAAGAUAUUCUUGGGAUGGGGUAGUUGUUGUCUUGUCAACUGGUGAUAAUGAAGAAACCAUUUUUAAGGACUGUAACCAAUCAAGUCAUUUUUGUCUCACUGUUAGCAAUGACCUCUCUACUUCAUCAAAAUAAUACUAAAUAAUUUCUGAUAAGUCAACAAUACUUACAAGUUCUUUUUUCAAUUGUUCUAUAGUUUUUUCCAGUUCAGUAAUAUGCUGACUCAGAGCCUACACAUUUCACACAAGACCAAAUGUAACAUCAUAGAUACGAAGUCAGAAAUAGAUCAGUAAUUCUCAUAUAGAAAACAGGAACCUCAUGUCGUUGCAUGGCUACGUACAUGUCGCUUUAGUGCCUUUCCCUUCGUUAGAAGGUUUCUUACCCUCAGAUUAAUUGGCCGCCUAUAAUUCUUUCCACGAUAGUAAAUAAGAGCAAAUCCUUUGGAAACUUUUUGUAUUGCAACCAGUACUCCGCCACUCUCAUAUUCAAGUAACCUUGUUUUGUCUUCCACAAAAAGAGUCUUUUGUUAUGUCAUCAAUUUUACAAGUUCUCGGUGUUUCCAAUGCAAAUGCAUAUACUCGACAAGACCAUCAAAAGCACCACGUAUACCUGGAGAUUAUCAAAGAAAGAUAUCAACGUUGCAUUGCUAGAACAGAGCAACUUCUGUAUAGUUCAAAAUUACUCACCAAAUGGUAAGUAUGGUUUCAUUCUUAAAAUAACUUUAUGGAACAUAACACGUUCUUCAUUUGUGAUUAUUUCCUGGGCAUAAUCAUGACCAGCUGGAACCAUCGACGCUUCUAUUUUAGCUAAGAGCUUUUCUGCUCUAUGCUUUUUGAUCUGGGCCUAUUCAGACAAUAGAAUAGAAAAUAUGACAAAACAGAAAACACAAAGGCCAUAUGAGAAUACAAACGAGAAACCGAAAAAUAACCUUAGUACCAAUUCCAAUGUUCCCACUCAAUAUCUGCUAACAAACGAACAACAUCUCCAAAAUUAAAUUAGGGUUUUCUGGAUUUUCAAUUUUAGGGUUUUCUGAAUCAAGAUUAGAGGGUAUUAAUUACCUGAGGAAGAAACUUUGUGAACGUGAUCGACGACGCCAUGGCCAGAGGGAGUAACGCCGAGAUGGACUGACAACGAGAAGGAAUGAUGGCUACAGAGAGUGAAAGCUAGAGGGAGUGAUAGGGAGAGAGAGUCACGACGAGAAGACGACAAUGACUCACGGUGGCAGGGACUGGCGGCAACUACGCACUGACGACGAUAAGGUAGGAGUGAAGGCAAAAGUGAGGGCAGUGAUCUCGCAAAAAUCAGAGGGAGGAAGAACUACGAGGCGUAAAAUGAAAACAUAUAGUUUUACUUUUAUUUUUUAUUAAUUUUUAAUAAUUUAUUUUAAAGUUCUGUAUAUAACAUCUAGGGAUGGCAAAAAAAUAUGUGCCCACGGGUAUCCGCAGAUAAAAUUCGCUAUGGGUAUUUAGUACCCGCGAGUAUCUUUUACCCGCGAGUAACGGGUAGCGGGUAUUUUAAUACCCGCUUGUUAACGGGUCAGGUUCGGGUAUCACACUAUCCAUGCCCGCGGGUACCCGUUACCCGUUAAAAAAAUAAAAUUACAUAUUUAUUCCAUAUUAGGUUUAAGAAACUGAAGGUUUUCUUUCAUUUUCAAUAUUAAUUAAUGGAAGAUUUUUUGAUGAUCGAAAAAUGGUUCUAGUAAUAAUGACUUUUCUUUCAUUUUCAAUACUAAUUAAUGGAAGAUUUUUGAAAAAAGGUUCCACUAAUAAUGACUUCUCUUUCAUUUUCAAUACUACUUAAUGGAAGAUUUUUUGAUGAUCGAAAAAUGGUUCCAGUAAUAAUGACUUUUCUUUCAUUUUCAAUACUAAUUAAUGNNNNNNNNNNNNNNNNNNNNNNNNNNNNNNNNNNNNNNNNNNNNNNNNNNAAUAAUGACUUUUCUUUCAUUUUCAAUACUAAUUAAUGGAAGAUUUUUUUAUGAUCGAAAAAUGGUUCCAGUAAUGAUUUUUCUUUCAUUUUCAAUACUAAUUAAUGGAAUAUUUUUUAAAGAUCGAAAAAUGAUUCCAGUAAUAAUGACUUUUCUUUCAUUUUCAAUACUAAUUAAUAGAAGAUUUUUUUGAUGAUGUUGGAACAGGAAAAGCCCAAAACCUUUUGGACGGCUGAUGUUACAUAUUUCCUUCAUGGAAAUCUAAAAUAUUUUUUUAAAAACAAAAUAUUUUUUUAAUAAUAUUUGUGGGUAUCCAACGGGUAUCCGCGGAUUGAAAAAAAUCUGCGGAUUUUUUUUAUACGGGUAUCCGACGGGUACGAGUACACUUUUUUACAUGCGGGUCGGGUUCAGGUAUCACACUAUCCGACCCGAACCCAACCCGUUGUCAUCCCUAAUAAUAUCUCUAUGUAACUCUCUUUUUAAUAUCUGUAUAUAAAAUCUGUAUGUAAAAAUCAGUAGAUAAUUCCUAUAUUUCUUGUAGUGAGUAAUUAACUGAUCAUAUUAAGUUAAAUGUUAAAUAUGAAAUUUAGUUUAAAUCCAUCUUAAUAACUCAUAUAAGUCUAGUAAAAUUUAAACACCUGCGAGUCAAGCUUAAAGAUGGAAUAUUAAUGAACCUACUAGUCAAGCUCACCUAAGUCCACUUAGAAACUUUAGUAAGCUCUCGUUAGCUCUCUGUCUGCAAUAAACUCACUCUCUGCAAUCAGUUGUCUAUCUGCAAUCAGCAAUAAGCUCGCUCUCUGCAAUCAGCAAUACACUUGCUCUCUCGUUCUCUCGGCAAUAAGCUCGCACUCUCUCUAAACUCGCUCUCGCUCUCUGCAAUAAAAACUCGCUCUCGCUCUCUGCAAUAAAAACUCGCUCUCGCUCUCUGCAAUAAAAGCUCGCUCUCUCACUCUGCAAUAAGCCCUCUCUCUCUGUGCAAUAAGCCCUCUCUUUCUAUGCAAGUCGAAUCCAACUCAACUUCUAUUUAAGUUAAAGUUCUCUUAUGUAAAUGUAAAGAAUAAAAAGGUAUAAUGCUAUUCUUGCCAACUGAGUACGUUUAUUAAAUUAAAGAGGCUAUUAAAUAGCACUCAUGUAACAGAAUAGAUAACAACUAAAAAAUAAAAGUGCCUAGAAAGUAGGCAUUAUUUAUGCAGUAACAGAAAGUGCCUACAAAUGAGGCAUUAUUAUGCAAAAUAAAAUAUCUCUUCAUUCCCUCCCUUAAACUGACUUCCAGCAUGUCAGUUUAUUUCAAUAAAUCAACCAUUUCCAUCUUCUUCAUAAUCAGAAUUUGUGAAAGCGAGUAUAUUUUCUUUUUUAACAGCUUCCUCAAAUAAAAUUGGAUCUUCACUUGUGACAUCUUGUAUUAUAUAGGUUAUCUCAGCUUCAUCUUCUUCACUUAAUCCUUCUCCAGUAACAAAGUCUUCCAUCCAACUUGGCUUUCUUCUUUCUCUCCCUUGAAUUAUGUGUUCCUGUGAAUUCAUUGUUGCUUCAUUUCGAAUGACACUUUCAUUAUGUUCACUAUUCGCACCAUCACUAUCAACUUCAAUAUUUUCUUCAAAUUCAUCAAUAUGUAACUUAUCAUCAUCACCCCACAACAACUCAGUUUCUAUUUGCUCUUUAUAAUUUGGACCUCAAUCCCAACUCUUCUCUUCUUCAAAUAUAACGUCUUUACUAAUAACAAUCCUCUUUGUCUUAGGAUUAAAUAGACGAUAACCCUUGGACUCUUCACUAACACCCAAUAAAAUACAAGGAAAACUUUUAUCAUCAAGCUUACCUCUUUUUGCCUCUGGUAUGUGCACAUGAGCCAGGCAUCCCCAAACUCGAAAAUGGUAUAUUGAAGGUUUAAUUCCACUCUAAGCUUCUUGUGGAGUGAUGUUCCUCACAACAUGCGUUGGACAUCGAUUCAAUAAAUAAAAUGUCCAGUUUACAGCUUCAGGCCAAAAUAACUUGGGAACCUUUCUGGCAGAGAGCAAACAACGUACCAUAUUNNNNNNNNNNNNNNNNNNNNNNNNNNNNNNNNNNNNNNNNNNNNNNNNNNNNNNNNNNNNNNNNNNNNNNNNNNNNNNNNNNNNNNNNNNNNNNNNNNNNNNNNNNNNNNNNNNNNNNNNNNNNNNNNNNNNNNNNNNNNNNNNNNNNNNNNNNNNNNNNNNNNNNNNNNNNNNNNNNNNNNNNNNNNNNNNNNNNNNNNNNNNNNNNNNNNNNNNNNNNNNNNNNNNNNNNNNNNNNNNNNNNNNNNNNNNNNNNNNNNNNNNNNNNNNNNNNNNNNNNNNNNNNNNNNNNNNNNNNNNNNNNNNNNNNNNNNNNNNNNNNNNNNNNNNNNNNNNNNNNNNNNNNNNNNNNNNNNNNNNNNNNNNNNNNNNNNNNNNNNNNNNNNNNNNNNNNNNNNNNNNNNNNNNNNNNNNNNNNNNNNNNNNNNNNNNNNNNNNNNNNNNNNNNNNNNNNNNNNNNNNNNNNNNNNNNNNNNNNNNNNNNNNNNNNNNNNNNNNNNNNNNNNNNNNNNNNNNNNNNNNNNNNNNNNNNNNNNNNNNNNNNNNNNNNNNNNNNNNNNNNNNNNNNNNNNNNNNNNNNNNNNNNNNNNNNNNNNNNNNNNNNNNNNNNNNNNNNNNNNNNNNNNNNNNNNNNNNNNNNNNNNNNNNNNNNNNNNNNNNNNNNNNNNNNNNNNNNNNNNNNNNNNNNNNNNNNNNNNNNNNNNNNNNNNNNNNNNNNNNNNNNNNNNNNNNNNNNNNNNNNNNNNNNNNNNNNNNNNNNNNNNNNNNNNNNNNNNNNNNNNNNNNNNNNNNNNNNNNNNNNNNNNNNNNNNNNNNNNNNNNNNNNNNNNNNNNNNNNNNNNNNNNNNNNNNNNNNNNNNNNNNNNNNNNNNNNNNNNNNNNNNNNNNNNNNNNNNNNNNNNNNNNNNNNNNNNNNNNNNNNNNNAACUCAAACUCCCUUCUCAAUGCAUUGAGCAUUGAUUUCUUCACACGAUCAUUUCCUCCAUAUUUUCUUUUCAAAGAAUCCCAAACCAUAUGAGAUGUGCUCCUAUCCAGAAUUUGUUCGAAAAUUGAUCUAUCAAUGGCCCUGAAGAGGUAAUGUUUGACUUUGUGAUCUUCAAUUCUGGAUUUCUCCAACUGUUCUGAUUCUUCACUAGACAGAACAGUACCCUCCACAGGCUCUUCAACACCAUUUUUAAUCAGAUUCCAGAGACCCUUGGCACAUAAAAAAUUAUCCAUCAAUUCACUCCAAUGAUUAUUCAUCUUUGUAAGCUGCAGCUUCUGUUCUGAUACCAUUUUGUAAAGAAUAAAAAAGUAUAAUGCUAUUCUUGCCAAUUGAGUACGUUUAUUAAAUUAAAGAGGCUAUUAAAUAGCACUUAUGUAACAGAAUAGAUAACAACUAAAAAAUAAAAGUGCCUAAAAAGUAAACAUUAUUUAUGCAGUAACAGAAUUAUUAUGCAAAAUAAAAUAUCCAAAUCCAACUCAACUUCUAAUUUAAGUUAAGUCUCCAAGACACGAAAAUAUUCAAGUUAGAUCCAAUCAUUUACUAAGUUCAUUUAGUAAGUUGAGUCACAAUCUUUACACCAUCUCCAAUGGAAUAAAGUUAUCUCCAUGCCAAUUCUAAAAGUGCUUAGUUUUUGUCAACCUUGUGUUAAGUUUAUCUUCUUACACAUAAAUAUAUCAAAAAAAACUCUCAAUAACUUUAUCUUCUUGACUUUGUAUUCGCAAAAAGUCUCAAUAACAAUCUUAUUGAUUUUGUAUUCCGAAAAACUCACAAUAACUAUAUCUUUAACUAGUUUUCUUAUUAAAAUUAAUAAAGUUAAUUUAUUUAGAUUUGAUCAAUUUCAUUGAAAUUCGGUUUCUUAUUAGUUGAUUUAUUUAUUUGGAUCUAAUGGAAUUCAUCCCAACUUAAAAUGAUGAGUUUAAGUAUAUAAUGUACGAUUUGAUUUUUUAUUUUUCAUUUUCAAAUAAAUUUUUCAAAAAAAAAUAACUUUUUUUUUUUAUUGAAACUACAUACGGAUACGGUACAGUGAAAGAAAGCACUUUUACAGUAGCUAGUAACAACACCCCAUUCACUCUCCAUGACAAAAACAGAGGAAAAAGGGGACAAAAGUAUAAAAAGAAAUAGCAUGAAGAAAAACAACUACAUGGUUUAUAUUAAACCGUUGCCAAUAACUUUUGAUGAUAGUAUAAUCAUCAUUAUUUAACUGUAAGUACCUCCAGUCCCAUACCCAUAAUCAUUCGGGUUUCCACCUGCACGGGUAUUACGGGCCGUAGCUGUGCCUCCCGGGCCUCGAUUCGUCCCAAUGGGAUGCGAGCCCACCACUCCUUCAGUCACGUGGCCCGUGGGCUGCCCAGUCCCGUGACCUGGCAUCGCCGACAUCUGGUGGAAUCCCGUGGGAUGACCAUGCUCCCCGGUGGUGGAGUAGGUGGUCCCCUGUUUCGCCGCCGAGUUAUGCUCACUCACCGCAGCGUUAUGUUCACGCGCCGCCAGCUUGUCCAACUCAGCCUGGUUGACCUUAGCUUCCUUCUUCUGGGUUGCCAAUUCCUUUUGCAACGGAUCACGUGCUGUCAUUCUUUCUACCUGGUUAUAGCACAAGCACAUUUAUAAUUAAGUAGGUGACAAAUGAUGAAUAUUUUAUGAAAAAUAUGAUAGUAAGUAUUAAAAUAUAAUGGUGUUAUGCAAUAAUGGAUUGAAAAAAAAAUGGUUGAUAUACCUUCUCUUGGACAGUGGCCUUGGUCUUCUCCAUGCCAGCUUUUGCACAAGCACCAAUGUUUGAAACCUUUUCCAUCAUGGAUUCUCCUGUUUUCUUUCCUCCCUGCAUUUUGAACGAUUGGUUCUAUUAGUUUCUUUCUUUCUUUCUCAAAUUAGGUUUUCUUCAGCUCACUGUAUCAGACUCAAACAUCACACACCGAAUAAAUAGAUUUAGGUGCUACGAUAUCUUUCCCACACCAGCACAUGCAGUAGUACGCGUGGCAAGUUUCUCGGCAUAGUUUGGUUCAUCUUCUUACACGUAAUUGCCGCGUGUCAGUUAGUUAUGACCUUCAACACUGGUGGGUUUCUAAUUUUAAGGACGCGUGGCUGUAUCUUUUUUAUGAUCUGUAAUGAAAUUUGAUUUUAUCUAUAGAUAAUCUCAGUUUUAUUUUUAUAUAUCCUGUCUUCAAAUUGAAUUUAUUUAAAUCCACAUUGCAUGGCUCAAAAGGAAUCUCAUGUAUAUGUGGCCUUAUAUUUAACUCUUGAUUAUUUUUGAAACUAACUAUUAGAAUAUUUAUGUUCCAAUUUAAAUGAUCCUUAACUCUUGCGUGUUGGAUUAAACGACCUUGGAUAAUCAAUGUAUUAACUUAAAAGUUAAUGAGCCAAGCUCUAAGGUUAUCCUUGUUGUCCUACAUAUAUAAGUUUGUUCACCUAGAACCCACUUCUCUCUAAUUAUUAGAAAAAGUUUGAAAACCUGAACAAAGUCUAGAUGGAUUUAGAUUUCAGUUAUGGCAUUCUUGUAGUUAUAUAUGUAAAAGAAUAGUAGUAGAAUUAGAAUGUUUACCAAACAAAGAGUACUUUUAUCCUUGUGGAAAAACUGUGCUUAUUCAUUUCAAAUUAACAAAAAAAUAAGGACAUGCAUAGAGACCAAACCAAAGAAAAAGAACAAAAAUAUCAAUGAAUCUUAACAUUUUGUUCAGGAAAUUCUUUAAGAGAAAAGAUAACAAAUCAUGCAAUCAAAAGAAAAUUAGAGCUCAUAGUGGUUAAUAACCUGUUGGAACUAGAUAUCUCAACAAAGAAAUCUUAGAUAAAAUUAGCAUUGAAGUUGACAGCCAGAUUAAGGAACCCAAUAUAUUUCUUUAAACUGAACACAUUAGGAGAUUGAAGUUGACUACGAAAAUAGAGCAUUGUGCAUUUUUAACUAGGCAGUCUUUAAAAUAGAAAGAGUAGAAGACAAGCCCUCCAAUUUUAUGUCCUUAUAAACCAACUAUAGUAUCAAUGCUUAAAUAAUUCCACAUAAUUAAGUUUCAAAAAGAACAAGUUAGUUAUACUUAAAAUAGCAUUAUUUAAGUUUUUCUUUUUUAUAUAAAAAUUGUAACAUCCCAAUAUAUAGUCAUAAACCAUAUAAUAGUAGUCAUAAAAUAAUAAGAUAGAACGGUUAUCCGACUAGAGUAUAAAGUAUUAUAUCAUACAGUUAUCCAAAAUAACCAUAAAAAUUUAAAACUUUAUAUACAAGUAACUAACCAAAACUAUGUACAAUACUACUCUAACUCUAAUUACUCAGCAACAUCUCCACCCUCUAAAGUCUGCUCUAGGGAAGGCUCAUUUCCCUCUGCUCACACUCACAGGAUGAUCAUUGCAAAGGAAAAAUACCACACAUACAAAAUAAUACACAAGCAGAAAGGGUAAGCUAUAGAUAUACAAGAAAACAUACGAUUUAAUAGCAUAUAACAUACACAUGAUUAAUUCAAGUGAAGUAAACUAAUUCAAACAUCCUAACAUGUUAUGACCUAGACUUGACUUGUCUGGACUUAGAAUGAUUACCAAGAUAUGACGGAUUGUGCACUUUGUGGUGGUCUCUACUACUUUGCAAAGUCAUUGCCAAUGGGUUUCACCCUACCACAAUCACAAGGUUAGUCUGUACAACGCCUUGAGACCUCCUGCUACUCCUCAUGACAUUGAUCAAUCCUCUCUAUAUGAGAAUGAAAGUCCAUUGGAGUUUCAGGAUAAAAGUCUCCAUAAUCUACAAAACAAAAUUUUGCAAAACAAAAUUAUGUAGAAUUAUGCAACUUAGACCCCAUUUACCAAUUCUAACUAUUUUUCCCAACUUCUAACACUCCUAGAUUGUGUUAUACACCUAGUUAGACUUGACUAAGUAAUUCUAAACCUUCCUACUAUCAAUCUAAAGUGUUUAGGACUAAAAUCCUAAUUCAAAACCUCUAUAAUCACAACUUAUGGACCCAAAAUCUAAUUUACCACUUUGAACACUUUUUGACCAAUUUAGGGACUCAAACAAGUCACAUUUGACUUACCAAGACUGCGCCCACAGACCAAUUGAACGUAUAAUCUCUACUUCUCAUUUUCACUACCUCACUUCCUCAAAAUGACUUACUACAAAGCAAACUAUCACAAUUCAUGACCAACCAUACCUCAUCACAGAUUUUUAACCCCUUCAUAUUAUUAAAAGAGAUCAAAUCAUCAUGCAAGCAAUCCAAUAUAUCAAUUCAUGCAUCCACAGUCAAAAUUCAUCACAUUUUGUCAUAUUCACAUAAUACAAAGCAUGAUUUCAACUUAAACAAUUCAACAAUCAUUUUCUCUAAACAUUUACCAGCUAUUGAAAAACCAAUUAAAGGAUUUCUGGCUUCCCUUACCUCUACUCAGCUGCACCACUCAAGAAUUACCCCGAUAGUUGCUUGUAUUGCAAGAAAUUUCUAAGAAAGCCUACAAAUCAUCAAUUAAUGAUGGAAGAACAACCUUAACACUUAAAUUGAGUUAGGAAUUGAAGAGAGAAACCACUAGACACGUGCAACAGAAGAAAUUGCAUGAUCAAGACUCAAGAACUUACGGUAAAAAAAGGGAAACAACUUACCAACUAGAAUAAAGAAAUUGAUUGUUCAGUUGUCGACACCUCCAAGGUUGUCAAACUCAAGAGUUUACGUAAACUCGUGGGAGCUACGUAAACUCGGAUCGUAAACACGAAUCGUAAACUCGUAAGAGUUUACUUUCUUAUAAAAAUAUUUUAAAAUAUUUAUAAAUAAUAGAAUAAUUUAAUAUUAAUAAUUUAUAAAUAAUGUUUUUAUUUUUUAAUAAUUAUUAGUUUAUCAUAUUAUAUGUAUUUAAAUAUUUUUCUUUAAUAUUAUUAUUCUUUUGUUAAUUUUAAUUUAAUAUAGUUCACAGUUUAGUUAACAAGACAAGUUGUUGAACUUAUUGGCCCAAAAAUUUUAGUAUAAUCAGAAUAAUAAGUGAUAGAGUUAAAAUAAAAAACAUAAACACUAAAGAUUGAAACGCACAGUAAAAGGGAUUAAAACCCUAACGUGUAACAGUUAAAAGAGAAAAGUUUCACUCCACACAGAGCGGCGAGAUUAGGAGCGGCAGCGGUGAGCACAUCGAGCAUGAACCAAAGCACGACCACGACGACAAGCAUGAACCAAGCGAACGAAGUGCGACCAUGAUGGCGAGCGCAACCCAGGUGAACGGCGAACGGCGAGCACGAACCAGGUGAACGACGAACAGCUAACGAGGUGCGACCACGAACGGCAGCGAAACGUAACGGUGCCUAAACCCAAAACGACUUCUUCUUUCUUCGUUUCUUCCUAUUUCAAACCCGUAAAAUCGUUGCAAAAUCGCGAUUUUAAUCGUUUUCACCGAGUUUAGAACCGAUUUUACCGAGUUCACUUAAAAACCGAGUUUGCUUCUGAGUUAACUCGGAAGCCAGAACUGAAAACGCAAACUCGUCUGAGUUAACGAGUUAACUCGCGAGUUUGAUAACCUUGGACACCUCCUAAUCGAUGAACAAACAACCCAAGCGUAAGAAAAUCUAGAGAAAUGUGAGAGAAAGGAAAGAAAACUGUGUUUUAGAAAGAUGGAGUAUAUUUAGAUAAUGAACCGAGCUUUAAAAAUUUCUAUUUAUAUUAUAAGUAUUUUAAAAUAAAAAUGUUUGUCUCAUUAUUUUAAUACACCUAUAUACUCUAAUACUUUAUUUUCUAAAUAAACUUGACUUUCUUUUCAUGAAAAUAUAUCUUGUUUUAACCACAAUGAUAUAACUAUUUAUAUAAAUAAAUAUUACAUGCUAAAAAACUGACUAUUUUAUAUAUAAAAAAUGUUACCUAUAAAAAGUGUUUAGUAUUAUUUUUAUUUAUUGCUUUUAAUUAAUAUUAACAGCAUCCAAAAUUAGUACUGAUUAGUCAUAAUCACAAAAGUACAAUAAAAUUAUAAUAUUUUUAUUUGUAUCAAAUUUAAAAUAUAUUAGAGUUUAAUACGUUAGUUUGUUUUAGAUGUAACAUAUUAAAACAAUAUUUUAAUUAAGAUUUUUUAUUUGCAAAGAAAAAUAAAUUUGCCGAGUAUGGGUAAUUUUAUGAAAAUUUACAAUAAUUUUCCGUAGAAGAAUUCUUUUACAAGAAAACUCACAUAUAUUUAUUUUCUGUGGAAAAUAAUUCACAAAAACGUGCGUGUAGGUUAGAAAAUAUUUCACAUGAAAAGUGUAGAUAUUUUCUGCUGAAAAUUUCCACAGAAAACAUGCAAGUGAUAAACGUGUUUUAUAGUAGUAUACGACUUAAAAGAAAAUUCUUACUUAAAUUCGGAUUUAUUCAGGUAAUAGCGAUUCAGAUAGUCUAUUUUUUAUUUAGUUACACAAUUAACAUGCACAUUUUAAUUAUAAAAAAUACCACAUUUUAGGCAAUGAAUACAUUUAAAUGUGUACCAUUAUUAUUUAGGCAAUGAAUAACACUAUGUUAGGAUGUGAAUUUCACCUAAUUUUGUUUGACAAAAUUUUUAAAGGUAAACACACUUUAUUAACACACUUCAAACUCUCAGGAUAAACACACUCUAUUAAUGUUACACGUUCUAAAUAGAGAUAAUUAGUCUGAAUAAUUAUUAAAUACUGUAAAACAAUAUUCUUAGUAAAAAAAAAAAUUUAACAAUUACUUUUGUGUAUGUCUAUUAGAUUUUUUAAAAAUUAAAAUAUAUAAUAUUAUAUUGAAUAUAAUAUUUAUAGAAUUAUUCAGCUGUUUUCACCCUGCAUAAGAUCAAAUAAUAUUUAUAUUAUAAUUUAAUAUAAAAAGUAAAUGUAAUUUGAUAUUGACAAUUUAUAUUUAAAAUAUUAUUAAUAAUAUUAUAUCAUUCUUUAAAUAAUAUUAUUUUAAGAAAUAAAAGUGAAAUAUAUUUUUUUAAAUUUAAUUUUAAUAAAUGAUCAAAUAAUUAAAAAUCAUAAGAUAGAAUUAAAAAUCCAAAAACAUUAUUGAAAAAAUUAAUACUUUGCUUUUGUCUAUUUUUUAUCUUUUUUUUUUGUUCUUCCUUUCGAUUUUAUUUUUGUAUCCCAUCCCAUCUAAUUACAUUUUGUAUCCCAUCCCAUCUAACAAUUGUAAUAGCUGGGCUCCUAGGUCAGUAUUUGGGUUCAUCAAUCAAUGUCAUAGAUUGGAUCUACUGGACACUCCUAAAACAAAAGUUAAUCAUAGAGAUGUUUUCUUCAAAAAUUUGGUUUUGAAAAGAAAUUUCAAAAUUUAUUUUCUUUAUUUAUAUUAACAACAUUUUAAUCUAUUAAGCUUUUUUAUCUUACUUAAUUAUAUUAUAUAAAUAUAGUUCUUUCUGUAUUAGUUUUUUAUAAAAUAAAUAACUAAAUUAUCAAGCUAAAAAUUUCAACCAACAAUCAUAUUUUUUCUAUGUUAAGCUAUUUUAUCAUCAAAUUAAUUGCAUGAUCUUAUAUAUUUUGAUAGAAAAUGUGAAUUCAAAAGGUUUAAAUUAAAGAAGAUUUCUUAGAACGAAAUUUAGGCUCUCUUGGUUUGAAAUGAUUUAUUAUUCCAGAAUAUUAUAUAAGCUGGAUUUGCAAAGAAAUAUUGUUUUUGGUUUAAGAAGAUUUGAUAUUUAAUUAAUGCACUGAUUUGUUAGAUGAAUUUAAUAUCUCAUUUUCUAUGGGAGGAGAUUUGAAUGAAGAGAAAUAUAUUUUACAAUAUUAUCUCAAUGAAAUCAUUUUCAAUGUACAACUGAUUAAAUCAUUUUCAUCGUGAAAAGUAAGAGUAUUAGUUCUUUUGUGUUUUCCAAAAUAAUAAUAAUAAUAAUAAUAAUAAUAAUAAUAAUAAUAAUAAUAAUAAUACAAUUUUUUCAUGUUAAAAAGUUAAUUUUAAUUAUUUUUAUUAUAUAUAAUAGUAAUAAUUAUGAUUUUAUAUUACUUUUAUUAUUAAAAAUAUUUUUAAUUUUUAAUUUUUAUUAAUUAAAUAUUUUUUAUUUAUUUUUAUAUUCAACAAUAAUUUUCAGAAACUUUAUUUUCACUUUAAUUUUAAAUCACUCCUAAAUCUCUUAAAAAAAUAAUUAAUUUAGUCUCAUAUUCUUUUAACUUCAGUCACUUUUCUCCCAAAUAAACACACAUUAGCUUUUCUUUACUCUUCUAAGGGAACAUUGAUGUCUGUCCACAAGUUUACGUUGUUAAGCAGAUUAAACAUUAGCUGUAUUUUUAUUUUUUUUUAUUGCAAUGCUCUUCAUUUACAAAUUACAGUUUUAGGUAUAUUUCAAAAACAUGUUAUUCUGCAGAUUUUUAAUUUUCUGUUGGUAUUUUUCUUAUAUUUGUCUCCAAAAAAUCAUGAUUGAAAAUUGUCCAGAAGCUGUAUCGAAAGGAGUGGUUUAAGAGAAACACAGAGACUGUAUCAUAGGGUUCUAAUUCAUGUGGCUGAUAAUUAUGUAUUGAGGUUUAUUUGUAAUAAAGGUACAUAUAUAUUAUGUGACAGACUAUAAACUAUUCAGAACCGUUUGGCCAUUUUUGAAUAGGCUGGGAUGUGGAUGUCCAUAAAACAAGGGUAGUCACGUGAGAGUCUCAGAUAUUUUGGGCUGGAAAAGGUACAAUAUGUGGUAGAGAGCAUGUGAAUGAAUAGAUUGGUUAAAAAAAAGAUUAACUUUAUUGAAUGUAAGUAUUUAAUAAUGAAGAUAUUUAUUGCAUUUUGAGAAGUCACUUGAAUUAUAUUAAAAGUUGGUAAAGUUAUUUUAUAUAUUUUAUUAAAACGGGUUUAAUAUUUUAAUAUUAUAUUAACCAUUUAUUAUAAGUGUCACCGUCCAUUCAUCAAAAGGACUUCAUUAAUGACAAAGAUACAUGCUAUCAACAUAUUCUUUUUGUUCACAAUCUAUUAAAUUCAUUAUUUAUUUAUUUAUUUAUUAUCUUAUUUAAAGUAGAAAAAAAUCUGAAAUCAAACAUAAAUUUAGUUAUUCUUCUGUAGAAAAUUUUCAAUUUUAUUUUUACAAGUAAAAACUUAUAAAAUCAGUCUUUAACAUAUAAAUGUUAUUAUUUUGGUCAACGUUAUUUAUUUAUAAUUAUUAUAUAUAACAAAUUUAAAAGUAACGGUGAGAAAGAAACAUGGAAGACAUUUUCUUAUAUAUCUAAAAAACUAAUUUAAUAAGGUUUUAUUCUAUGUGAAUGUGUUAUAGUUAUCUUAAUAAUUUCUUAUAUAUGUAUAUGAGCCCCAUUUUAAAUUUUUAUAAAAUAACUAUACAUGAAAUUGAUAGAUAAUAUCAAUUAAUUUUCUUAAUUGUGUUUAAUUUAUAAAAUGAUGUUAAUUUUCUUACAUGCACAUUAUUACUUAACAUAAAUUUCAAACCAAUUUUAAAAAAAAAUAAUAUUUUUUACACCUUUCUAUAACAGCUCUUGAAACCCCACCCACAUCUCACUGUAGAUGAUAUCACAAAAAUUUCAUAUUUGCAUUGGUGCCAUACAUUUUGUAAAACCUUAUCCUCUCACCCCCUUUUAAUUGCACGGCCAUUAGAGUUUAAAAGCAUGCACGGUCAUGACCCGUUUAAAAACAUUGGGAAAUCCGACAUUUCAAUGUAAAUUUUUAAUUUUUUUAAAAAAAUCACGUUUGAAAAAAAAAUAGUAUUCACGUCUAAAAUUUAUAAUAUAUAUAUAUAUAUAUAUAUAUAUAUAUAUAUAUAACAUUUUUUUAAAGCAUUUAUACUGGUGGCGGGUAUGCCAUUAAAAGAAGAGGAUGAUAUUUCCCAUCAGAAAAUAGAGAGCAUGGGAAUGAUGCAAAAAUUUCACCCUAACCCAUCUAAAACUGUACUGUUUUCUUACAAGAAUAUUAAAGAUGGAUGCAAUAGACAGUGGGCCUUUGAGAUGAAGGAGGAAAGAGGCAAGGUGAGCCAUAAGGAAACAUUGGCAUUGACAGAAAAAACGUGUAAAAUUAUCCAGUGGGCCCUACCUUCAUUGGACGGAGCCCUCUCACUAACACUGUAACUCACUCCCAAACAUUCCUUAAAUACCGCCCUCCGCAUUCUUCUAACCCUUGCCCCCUUUCUCACUCCCUCCUCUUCACACAUUCUUCACCGCACCAACAAACUUUCUUCCUCACACUUUCAGGUAACUUUCUCUCUCUCGUUAUCUCUUUCUUCUCGUAUUUUCUCCCAAUGUUAUCUAUCUAUCUAUGUAUGUUUCUCUCUCCUAUUCUUACCCUCCUUUCCCUAUUCUCCCUCGAUCUAACUGUUUCCGCUCUCCGCGCUUCGAUUCAUUUUAAAUUCCACGCUUAUUUUAUUUUACGUGAUUUUCGUACCAAGUGAUUUGAUUGUGGCCAAUUCUUACAUGUCCUGCUUGAUUUUCACACUCUAGUUUUCUCUUCUACAUAUUCAUAUAUAAACCCCUCUCCAUACCUCUGUUCUAUGAUGCAUCUUUAUCGGAUCUAAGGAGAAGCCUCGUUUACCUUCCGCCGCUUGUCGUAUUUCUGGUUUGUAUUAAUACACCGGAAAACGGCAGCAUUGUGUUCUUUUCUUCUAGAAUAAACCUGGUUGUCGUGAAUCUGAACAAAUUUUCCUAGAGGUAACCUGCCACCUCUGUUCUCUUUCAGAUCUCGUUUAUUCGCUUGCGUGUUAAUAUGUGUGUUUGCUGUCAAACUGAUACACACCCGUUAGGAUUUCACUGAUUGUUCCCUUUUUUUUUUUUCUUUGGUGAUUGCGCCUUAUUUACUGUUGUACUUAAUGAAUAGUUUGGUUGACCAAUUGGAUGGUUGGUGAGUUAGAAUAUUCGGAUUCACUUGUCCAACUUGGGUUAAAAAAUCUCUGCAGGAUAAAUUUUGCUAUUGAUUGAAGGAAGGAAAUUUCUUCUUUCUGUUCUAUUCUUAAAUUGCACUUUUCUUUCCUUUUUAAAAUAUAUAUAUAUAUAUAUAUAUAUAUAUAUAUAUAUAUAUGCCAUGCUUUUAAAAAGCUAUACUUAUUACUUUCAAAUAGUUAAUAAUUAUGAAUGUUUGAACAAUGUCUAUUUAGUGGUAUAUGUUGCUAUUUAUUUAAUUUAAAACAUGUUAUUGAUGUAGAGUUUACUAUUUAUUUAAUUUAAUUGAUAUCUCUUUGUCUUGGGUUUGGUUUUAGUAUUGUAAAGGGAAGAAUAAAAUUUUAGUUAUCAUCAAUUUUAAAAUUUGGUUUAACCAUUCUAUUUAGUUUUGAUGUUUUUUUUUUCUAUGUAUUUCAGAUAAUUUUAUUUUACAUAGAUUAUUAUCAUUGUUAUUAUUAAAGGAAUGUAAAAUUUACUAAAUUUUAUUUCACAUAUGUCUAAUAGGAUUUUUAUUAGUAUACAUUAAAUUUUACAAAAUAAACUUUAUAUAUGAAUAAAUAAUGUUAUGUAAUUAUUAAUCACGCACUAUUACAUCUAAUUUUUUUUAUGUCUGAGCAAUCUUUAAUUAUUACUUUGGAUUUGUUUUUUUGCGUUCCGUUCUUAUUAGGCGUAUUUAUUUAUGUAGGAUCAUUAUUUAGUAUUCUGUAAUAUAGGAAUGACUUUUUCUGACAUAAUAUUUUUUAUUAAAAUGUGUAAUUUUUCUAUAUUUAUCUCCAUUUAAAUUUGUUAACCAUUUGUUCUGGGUAAUAUGUACUAGUAAUUUCUUUUCGAGUUUUUUUUGGAUUUGAUUGUCUAUAUGCUUGUUGUUUGAGUAUAAUUAUUCAUGCGAUCUUUACAAAGGAGGAGAGAGAAUAAGAGUGCAACUUUUUCUUAACUUAAAUGGGAAAAAAUUAUCAUUAUAAAAUCGGAAUUCUCAAAUCUAUUGAUUAUUCAUAAUAAUAGGGAAUCCUGUUUCUAUAAAUAUGAUUUUUUAUGAAAAUUAAAAUAGACUACGUCUUAGUUGGUCUUAUUCAUUAUGCUUCUUUCUUUCCCAUUUAUUUGAACAAAAACAAUAAAAGUAUAGCUAAACAAGUCUUAAUAUUUUUUAUUAGCUGCUACUUGAUGUUGAAUCAUAUUGAUUACUUAUUUAUAUUUUAUAGGUUCAUUUUUUAUCAAUUAUAUUUAUUUACUUUGAUGAAGAAAUAAAAAGUUUAAAUUAAAGUCUUGUAAGUAUCUUAAUAAAACUGAAGUAAUUUAUUGUAUACUUUGGUUUAUAGAAAAAUUCUUAAAUCAAAUUUCACAUUAAAAAGGACAUGGGGGACAAAUCAUAUUUUUAUAUGAUAUCAGGUAGCUACAUAUUUUCUCUUUCGUAAGUAAAUUUAACGGCAAUGAAGAGCGGUGUAUCUAUGUUUUUCAAGACGCUCAUUUAUUCAUAUGUAAUAUAUAUGAUUAUUUUGAAAUUAAUAAAAAAAUAUAUUAAAGAAUACUUAUAAGACUAUGUUUUUCAAGACUCUCAUAUGUUUUUAUUAAGUUCUAAUUUUCAGAUAUUUUGAAAUUAAUAAAAAAAGUAUAUUAAAGAAUUAUGUACGUAUUACUAUUUUAUUGUUUAUUAUGAUUUUAAUUAAUAUUAAAUAAUUGUAAACUUCAAUUUCUAUAUUUAGCUUAAAUUGUUAGUUAAUUUUUAAACAUUUUAACGAACAAUUUAUAUUAUAUUUAAUUUAACGAGAAUUUAGUAAAAAUAUUUUCAUUUAGAUUUACAAUAAUUUUUGUUAUGAAAUUUUUAAACAUGUCGUGUUAGUAAUUUUUAUUUCAAAUUGUUUAUGUUGCAUUCAAUUCAAUGUUCAUUAAUGUCUAUAUGUGAAAGCGACUGAAAUAAAAAAAUCUGAUUUGUCCAAGGUACUUAAUUCGCUACCUCGUUUAUCAUUAUAUAUUUAUUGCCAUGUUUAUGGUGGGUCCGCCUCUGAUUCAUCGUUUGUUGUAGAUAAUACAAACAAAAUGUUUACAUCAGUUAGAUUGAUUGACGACUUUGCAACUUGUAUUUGUUUUAGCCUUGAAUAAUUUUGUUUAUAGAUGGGACAUCUUGAAGCCGGUUGAGUUGUAUUUAUUUAUGAUAAAUUCUUUCGAUGCAAUGUACACAACUUGUAAUCAAAACUCCUACAGUCAAAAUGUCGUCAUAAGUUUCUCUGGUUGAGAUCUAAACACCUGUUUUAUUUAUUGGUUGCAAUUUGUCCUACGUACCUUACGUCGAACUUCCCUGGAGGAUGGCGCGGCUCGCUUUUCUAAUGAUAUUUAGACAACAUUUUUUCACAAUAUUUGAACAUUGAUUACGUGUCAAUAUGUGAUUAGUCAAAAAUUACUCCACAAUCAAUAAUAAUAUUCAUAAACAUUAUUGUGGAGUAAUUUUUGACCAAUCACAUAUUGACACGUAAUCAAUGUUUAAAUAUUGUCAAAAAAAUGUUGUCUAAAUAUCAUUAUCUUUUUCUUAAGCGAGUAUGUUUAGAAAGUAAUAUAUGGCCUUAUAUAUUCUUUUAAUUUAUAUUAUUAGACUAUGUAUUUUUUUUUUUUUACAUGAAGCUAAGGAUUAUGAUUAUAGAAAAUUACUGUAUUUGGAUUUCUAUUGCAAUAUUUUCACUCUAAAACAAACAGUAAAGCAUGACACAUUUUACAAAUCAGUUUGAGUUUCUGUAUCAUUUGCUUAGUAGUUGACACAGUUCUAUCUUUUGUCAAGAUGAUCGUCACUAGUGAGACAUAGGGUGAAAGUUAUGGAAAGCUAAUGUAGUGUCAUAUCUAGCUAUUUAUGCUUAUUGUUUCUCAUUGAUUAAGUCUUCCCACUUUUUUAUAGAUCUGAAUGAUGUUGCAUGCUUAUUUUUUCUGAAUUGUGAAUGAAUCUUUUUUACGUUUAUUUUUGCAUGUGGGAUUGCUUUUUUCUUUUAAUUAUAAAAUCAUAGCUUAGACAUCACCCUGUCCAAAUCAUUUUUGUUUUGUGACCAUGGUAUACAUCUAUACCUUGGUUUGGACAAAGAGAAUGGUCCAUGCUCAAGUCCAUUAUAAGAAGAAAAUAAAAAUAUAACAGGGUGAUUAGUGGUUUCAACAUACUCUGUUACCAUGUUUUAUCUAACAAAUUUUCUGUUAGCAAUCUCUAUUCCUGUAUAGGUAAUUGCGUGUUUCUGUAUUCGCGUUUAAUCUGUGUAUUAUUGUUUUUAUUAUUAUUAUUAUUAUUACAACAAGUAGGAUUAUCUCCCCCUUAUCAAAUGUGAGUGAAACGUAAUGAACUAGAAAACGAUAAUGAGAGGAAAUCGUUACCUACUUUUGAUGAAAUGUUCACUAUGCACUAUUUUAAUAAUGCAUGUUUUGCGCUGAAGAUCACACAUUGUAUCCAUUCUAAUGCUGUAUGCUUUUAGAAGCUACUAGGUAGGUAUUAUUGAUAAUUCUUGGCUUGAGAGUCUUGUUCAUGGAAAUGGAAAGUGUUGUAAGAAUAUGGCCUGAUGUUGUCUUUUGCAGGUUGUGUGAAGAUGGGGGCUGGUGGCCGAACCUUUGUCCCUCCUUCCAACAGGAAAUCAGAGGCCGACCCUCUGAAGCGGGUGCCUUUUGAAAAACCUCCUUUUAGCCUCAGCCAGAUCAAGAAGGCCAUACCACCUCACUGUUUUCAGCGCUCUGUUCUCCGCUCAUUCUCCUAUGUCAUUUAUGAUCUAACCAUAGCCUUCUGCCUCUAUUAUGUUGCCACCCAUUACUUUCACAUCCUUCCCCGACCUCUGCCUUUCCUUGCAUGGCCAAUCUACUGGGCUGUCCAAGGUUGUAUCCUCACUGGCGUUUGGGUCAUUGCUCAUGAGUGUGGCCACCAUGCAUUCAGUGACUAUCAGCUGCUUGAUGAUAUCGUUGGCCUUAUUCUCCAUUCUGCUCUCCUAGUCCCAUACUUUUCAUGGAAAUACAGCCAUCGCCGUCAUCACUCCAACACCGGUUCUCUCGAGCGGGAUGAAGUAUUUGUGCCGAAGCAGAAGUCCGGUAUGCAGUGGUACUCUAAAUACCUUAACAAUCCACCAGGCAGAGUCCUCACACUAGUCGUCACCCUCACUCUUGGUUGGCCCAUGUACCUGGCUUUUAAUGUGUCAGGCAGGCCUUAUCCAAGGUUUGCUUGCCACUAUGAUCCUUAUGGUCCUAUUUACUCUGAUCGUGAACGACUUCAAAUAUAUAUAUCAGAUGUUGGAGUACUUGCAGUAUGCUAUGGCCUUUACCAUCUUGCCAUGGCUAAAGGGCUUGCCUGGGUGGUGUGUGUUUAUGGAGUUCCGUUGCUAGUGGUCAAUGGAUUUCUGGUGUUGAUUACAUUCUUGCAGCAUACUCACCCUGCAUUACCGCACUACAAUUCCUCUGAGUGGGACUGGUUGAGAGGAGCUUUGGCGACAGUUGACAGAGAUUAUGGAAUUCUGAACAAGGUCUUCCAUAAUAUUACAGACACUCAUGUAGCACAUCACUUGUUCUCCACAAUGCCGCAUUAUCAUGCAAUGGAGGCCACAAAAGCAAUAAGGCCCAUUUUGGGAGAGUAUUAUCGGCUGGACGAGACUCCAUUUGUGAAGGCAAUGUGGAGAGAGGCAAGAGAGUGUGUUUACGUGGAGCCAGAUCACGAUACUGAGAACAAAGGUGUAUUUUGGUACAACAAUAAGUUGUGAGAUUCGUGCUGCGGUGUUUCAAGUUUACUUUGUGUCGGUUAAGUAUGCAAACCUGCUUAUUGGGAAUAAUUUUGUUAAACCCUAAUGUUGGUGGUGGUAGUGUCUAAAAAGUAGUGUAGUGGUUUUUAUUUGCAGAAUAAGAUAUUCCAUCUCAGAACAGUUUAAUUAUUGCACCAAGAGUUGAAUCAGUGCAUGUACACCAUGUCUCUUACGCUGUUGAGGAAAGCUUAUUCUUGUUCUAGUCUUUUAUUGCAAGCAAUUCGCAUAUUCUGUUCCCAUUUUAAAGUUCUAAAAUCAUUAUAUAUUCUCAAACGAGUCACAUUAGUAAUUAUUAUACUUGUUUUUCUAAAUGUUGAGAAGCAUGAAUAAUGAUUCGGUUUUUAAUUCACUGAACUCGUCAAUAUACAUGGAUAGUGUAUCUGUUGCGAACAAUUGAAAUAGGCUGAAUGUGCAAACCAUAAGAGGUAGAUCUUUUAGAUAGCAUAGAAUACCCUUGACUGCCUUCCAAUGUUCAAUGAGAGGUUGAAAACUUUAUGCAUACUAUACCUAAUCUCUGGCCCGAUAAUAAUGAUAUACUGUAAAGGACCAUCUGUGGAUCGAUAAAGGGAUGAAUCAUCCAUAUAAUCAGAACCAGGUUUAGAUAAUUUGAGACCACCAGGAAAAGGAGGAGAAACUCCUUUGAUGCGAAAAAUUCAUUUACACCUAACAACAGAACAACCAGACGGAAGAGGGCUGAGAGACCAUGUGCUAUUUGCCAAUAAAGCAUUAUAUUCAUCCUGCAUAGGUUUCAUCCAAAGGGGGGAAGAAAAGGCCUAUUUAACAAUGUUAGGUUCUAUAAUGGUUUGACAAUACCAGAGUUGGACCGAGUUUGCAUUGCAUUAGUGGAGGUAGACUAAGAUGUAACAAUAGGAAGAGAAGACUCAGCUACAAGAGGUAAAUCAGGAGCAGAAUUAGAAGUGGGUAAGGCAGUGUAGGGAGAGAUGAAAUAGGAUUGAAUGUUUUUAUGUCUUUUCUUUUUCUUUGGUAUUGAAAUGUUUCAAAUGUUGCCUUCCAUUUUACUUAAUGCUCCAGACAACUAAUAUUAAAACUGUUUGUGGCUUUUAUUUAGUCAAAUCUAUAACAUUAAUAAAAGAUAUCAAGGUUCCGUUAUAAUUAAUUAGGUUUAGAUGACUAGUAUGCCAUAGUAGAUAAUACUACCUGUGUACACAUGCGUUAGAUUUAGCUUUUAUUUGUACAAAAUUAAUUAGUUACAUUUUAAAAAAUGGUUUAAAUAAUUGUUUCUCUUUGUCUAUUUUGUUUAAGGUGAAACUCGAUUUUUUUCUCAUAUUUAAUGUGGUUUCUAUUUCAAUAAAUUAUAUUCAAUGUGGUAAUUUUAAUGUCAUUUGUCCCGUUAGUAUCAAUGUCAGUAUCAUGUAUUAGUAUAUUAUAUUCAAUUCACUCCUAAUUUUCAUUAAUUUUGUUUAAUUUAAUUAUUUUUUGUUAAUUUUGUUCAAUUAAGUAUCAAUUAGGAUGACAAAAUUACUCAUACUAGUGAGUAUUUAUGGAUACCUAAUAUUUGUUACCCAUGUAAGAACCAAAUUUUUUUAAAAAAAUAAAUAAAAUAAAUGAAAUUUCAGAGCACUUGGUUAGUAACUCAAAACUCCACUCUCUCUAAAAAAGUUUCUCAUUCUUCUUCCUUUGCCCUCUCUCUACUUUUCACACUGGUCCAUUGCAUGUCUAUUUAGGUGGUAUCCUAGUAACCGUAACGUAGAGGACUCUAUUUUGAAUCGAACAUUUUCCCCGUUCUCCAUUCUGACCGGUAAGUCGUUUUUUUUUCCUUCUCCUCCGCUACUUUAGGACCUCGAACAGGCUAAUCUACGGGAUGCAUGUAUAUAGUGUUCCCCUUUUUCCACUUUUUGUUGAAUCCUGAUCUCUGAGAGUUAUUUUCAUCACCGAUGUGGUGAUUGUAGGGUGUUGUCUAGGUCUUGGCUGAGAUAGGCACUAUUGAAGCAUUCCUAUAAGAUGUACUGUUCAACCUCCAAGUAAGGGAAGCUGAGGUUUCUUUUCUAUUUUAUUAAAUUAGAGUAUGUUUGAAUUUGGUCCUGUUAAAUUUUAAAUUGCAUAGUGAUGUAUGUGUGAAUUGUGGAAUAAACAUAUUUUAUUGUUUGAACUGAUGUUUAGUAAUUGGAUAUGUAUGUUAUGUGAUUCUUGAUUGUUAGAGUAUGAAACUAUGAAAUUGUUGUGUGGAACUGUUAUGGUUGAGGCAGAGUAUUGAAAUUGAGUUGUUGAGGUAGUGAGAAAAUUGGGUUCUUAGAUAGAGAAUUGGGUGGUGUUGGUUGUUUAAGUCAUUUUAGAGAGGAAAUGAGGGGGUGAUUUUUUGAUUUAGGGGUCAGGGGCUGUGCUAGAGUAUUCAAGCAGUUGAGGUAAGUCAAUUGUGACCUUAUAAAAUAUGUUGAGAAGUAAAAUUGCUAGUUUAAUUGAGUUAUAUUGUUUUUAAGGGUGAUUGGAAGGAAGUGAAGUAGUCAAAUCAGGCAAACUAGGUUAGAAGUUGUUCUGGGUAGUGGAGACAUGGAAAAUUCGCUCAAUGCACCAAAGGGGUGCGCUAUGCGAAUUUUUGCUGUAAUGCUGUCAGGAAAAUUCACUCAGCGCACCAGAGGGGUGCGUUGAGCGAAUUUUUGUUGUCAUGCCCAUUAGGAAAAUUCGCUCAGCGCACCAAGGGUGGUGCGCUGUGAGAAUUUUUGUUGUCUUGCCUUUUUUACCUUGUGCGCUGAGCUACUUGCUUCGCUCUGGUUCACUCUUUUCUUCUUCGAUUUUACUUGGUUAAUGAUAUAUGAUAUUUAUAUGAGUUAAUAUAGUAUGGAUGCACUUAUAUGACUAUAAAAUGGUAUGUUAAUAAUUAAAAAAGGAUUAUGAUUUGAUCAAAGUGAUGUACCUGUAUCAAAGUAAGAUCUCUAGGUGAGAUCCUUAUAGUGUUUAGAAUGAAUAUAUGAGGCUUCUUCAUGGGGGGUUAUCCCAACACUCUAAUAGUUUUUUAUUCUCACUUAGAGAGGAUCGACACAUGUGGUGAGAAUAGUGGGAGGUCCUAGCGUAGGCGUUUCUUGGAGGCCUAUUGCGCGGUAAUGGACUAACACUUGUGUGUGGUAGGGUGAAACACGUUGGCAAUGACUUUGCAAAGCAGUAGAGGCCACCACAAGUGCACAACCCGUCCUAGAUCGAUAUUCAUUCUAAGUCCGGACGAGUCUAGUUGUGUCAUAACAUGAUAGGAUGUUCAUUUGAUUACUUGUAUGAUGAUGGAUUCUAUUAUAUGCUAACUUGUAUGCUUUUGGAACCUAGCUUACCCUUGCUUGUUUGUCUGUGUCUUGUAUGUUUGUAUUUUUUCUUUUACAAUGAUCAUCCACUUGGAUGUGAGUAGAGGUAGAUAAGGUACCUUUGGAGUAAGCAUUGGAGGGAGAUGAUGUGACUGUCUAAUUCUUAGGAUCCUUUUUAGCUGUCUUAUCUAUUUUGAAAUAUUUUUUUGUAAGUAAAGUUUCAAAUUUAUAGUCUCUUUUAGAUCAUGUAAAAGAAAAACGAAGACAAUUUAUCAAAAGAAAAAUCAUAUUGAAUAUUAGAAAAAAAUUAUCUCACGUGAAACAAAAUAAUUAAAAAUAGAUAAAAAAAAUAUUCAAGCUCUAAAAAUCCAAAGAAAAAAUGUUUUCUUUUACUAAAAUUCGAAGUAACGUUGUUAUUUAUGAAUUUAAAUAAAUGGGUAUCGAAUCAAAGAUCUAGUAAUAAAACCGUUUAUGGACACUUUAUUAAAGAAAUUGAGUAUUUAUAUGUUGUUCUCUGCAGGGUUGAAAGAAAGAAAGAAAGAACUGAAGCGAGGGAAGUGUUCCCGCCAUGGGAAUAGAGCGCGUGCAGUGUGACUAUGUCUCUCUGGUCAAUGUUCUUUCUCUCUGCUUCGCUUGUGUUGUGAUUUUUUAUGAUGAAUGUGUUAAUUUGAUUUCUGUGUGGAAGCAGGACGAAACCUUCGAAAUUGGAAAAGAGAAGUAUCACGGUCAACAGUACUGCCAUAUUUACUUCGCACGUCUUCAUUUGUUGCGGACUCUCUUGUAUUCACUCGCUCCUCACUGGAAACCUAAUUUUCCCGGUAACCUACUCCUUGUUUUUCUACUAUCACAUCCACUUAGGGUUAUAUAAUACUAUCAUAUUCCUUUGUGUUGUGGUGUUUCAUUUGUUUUGAGGUUUCAAUUAUUUUUUACGGUUUCUGUUUCGCACAGUCUGCACGGUGUUGGAAUUGGAAGAGGGCAAGGAGUGUGUCAUUGUUGGAACCCUCUACAAACACAUGAAGCUCAAACCUCGCGUACUUGAUGAGUAUUCUAAGCAGGUUCCUCUCUGCUUAUACUUCAUGGGUAUCCCCAUCGAUAUUGCAAGUGUGCUUUUAAAUUUUAAUUAAGAAUGAAUAGUGUGUGCAUUGACAGUGUAAAUGUUUCUUACAGGUUCAUUUAAUCUCAGAUUGACAUGUAUGAUAAUUUGUUGACCUUUUAGCUGCCGGUCUUAAAAGUCGUAUCAAUGUUGGUAUCUGAUUAUUUCACAGCGUCAACAUAGAUAUUAAGUCUGAAGAUUAGUUUAUGUGAUGAUGAAAACGUUGAAAUGCUGGCAUUUGAAACUCUGUUUUCAGAAAAUCUCAAAAAUUAGUUUACUUGUGUUGUAAAUUAUUUGUAAAUAUAUCGUUUAUGCGUAAUGUAAACUGUAGGAUUCGGGUAUUUUUUAAAGGAGAUGCUGAGAAACCAUAGUGUCUUUUUGUUGAAUGACUAAUUAAAGUGGAGAAAAAAUGUUUGCUUGGUUAAAUAUGGAAGCUUUUUGAGUUGUGUUGUGUUGUGUUAUGGGACUAUGGAGAGCAUCUAUGUCAGUCAUCCUGCUAUCGAGAGUAAGGACUUGAAUUUGUUAUAUAAGGAUGAAUUCUGUGCUUUCUUUUAUGAAAUUUGAUAACAAUGUGCAGAGGUGCUAUAUUUCACUAUUUUUCUGCUGAUAAUAUGCAGAAAUCAGUGGUUCCACUUGUCAAGCCACAUAACUUCAUGCACUCGGAUGAUUACCUAGUUUUGGAAGAUGAAAGUGGGCGGGUUAAGCUCAACGGAAAUAUCAUUCCGCCUGAAUAUGUAACAGGUCUAUAUGAUGAACAACUUAUCUUUAUUUAGUAAAAUAGAUUGUUAUAAGAAGGCAAUUAGAAUCAGGUGUAUGUUAAUUCUAAUUUCUUUCCGUUUGGAUUGCUUUGUUUUCAGAUUUGUUUAAUAUAUCUGAGGUAUCUAGAAAUAACACAUGUAGCUACGCAACAUGCCUGCCGUACAAAUGGCUGUCAUUUGGAACAUGACAAUUUUAUACUUACUUUGUCUGCAACAGGAAUUGUGGUCGCUGUACUUGGAAAGGAAAGUGGGGCAGGUGACUUUUUGGUUCAGGAUGUACUAGAUGCUGGCUUACCCCCACAGAUAGAAUUCCCCCUUAAAUCAGGUACCCCUUGUAUAUCCUUUGCAUUUUAUAACCCGAUAAAGCACACCCAUGACAUAUGUAUGGGAUCUUUUGCCCAGACCUUAGCUACACAAGAUAGAUUAGGAUUUCCCAUUUGAGGACGGAAGGAUAUUUGGUGAAUUGGCAUCCCACUUUCCUGCAUUGAUGUUUCUGUUAUCUGUUUAGUAUUUGGCCAGAAGGAUUUGUGCUGUUUGAAAAUUUUAUUAUUCAUAGUCAGCGAUCAUAAAUUGUCUUCUGUUUCCCUUUUCUUAUCCUAGUCUCUUUCUAUUUGAUUGCAAUUGUAUUUGCUGGAGUUAAAGAAACUAGUUUCUUGUCUUUUUAUAUGGUCAAACUCCGAAAAGUUAUCCAAUUUAAAUAUGCUGCUUGUUCUAUGCUUCAUUUCCUCCUGCUUGUAUUAUGCACAGGUAAUGAUCAGCAACCUUUUAACUUUACAUCUUUGAUCCUCCUCACUUCAAUAUUUGUCAUUAAAAUUUCUAAUUUUAGUAAAAAUAUUAUCUUGAAUUUUCUUUUAUUUGGAUUCUACAGGGGAAGACAAAUACGUUGUUCUUGUGUCAGGUUUAAGUGUUGGUAGCAGCACCUCUAAUCCUCUUCAGUUUCAGCUUCUCAUUGAUCAUAUUACGGGGCAUUUAGGGGAUGAGAAGGUUUGUCAUGUUUUUCUCCCAACUUCUCAAGCUGAUAAUUAUUCAGCAUUAAGUUUUCACUAAUGAAAAGUGACAAACUACACAGGCACAACGUUUUGCAUCAAAAAUUGUUCAAGUUGUCUUUGCUGGAAAUUUAGUUGAGAUACCUCACAGAAUUCUUAACGGACAGGUAUUUAUAUUUCUGUAUAGGGAGAGAGAUAAGAAAACUAAAAUUCGAGAGAAACCGUUAGUUUUGCAUGUCAUUUACUGUUUACGUUAGCUUUUUACUGUGUAAGGAGAGAUCUGAUUUAUUACAGGGAAAGAAUAUUAUAAGUAUGUGACAAUGUGUUGUAGUACAAAAGUAAUAUAACAGCAAUAUCAAGCACUGAUAUCUUAACAAUUUCAAUGACAAGUUUCUUUAAUGAUAUUGCAUUUGUUUUCUACUAUUGAGUUUCCUAUACUAAUAUCUCUUUGCUUAACAAGUUUAAACAAUGCAAUGAAUAUAAAUCAAUAGUUUUACUUUUUUUAUUCUAAUAAAGUAAACACCCUAACAUAUGAUCUCAUACUCUUCUCUUGUAAUUUGUACUGUAUCAUCACCAAUUAAUUUUCUCUGGUAUCUGAAUUCCUUGAUUGCACUUGCUCUCUAUUAUUUGAUUUAGUUGCCAUAGUAAUUCACUAUUUUUGAGGAAUAUUGCAGAAUCAUCUGAUUUGUGUUAAUGGAUAAUUAGAUGAGAAGAACUAAGUGAUCCCAUUACUUGUUAACAUCUUAGAGUUGCAUUUAAGAUUUACACACUUGGUUUAUUAUAUAAAGUCUUGAUUGACAUACAGCACCCAUUGCUUGCGACUGCUGAUUUCAGUAAAUAAUACAACCAAUUUUAUGGUAUUUAAUCUGUAAUUCCUGAUGUUAUUUACUGUCCUUUGAUCAAUAUUUGAAGAAUUUGGCUUCAGAGGAUUUUGCAAGAAUGUCUGAGCCAAUAAGGGAGCUAGACAUUCUGUUGAGUCAGGUUCGUUUCAUCACAGUCAUUCUAAAAUUGUACUCCUUUUUUUUUCUUAAUAAUAUGCUUAACUUUUACUUGCUUUUCAGAUAGCGGCUGGUUUGCCUUUGGAUAUUAUGCCAGGACCCAGUGAUCCUGCAAAUUUCUCAUUGCCACAACAGGUUCUUAUGUUUUUCUUUCAAGGGUUAUAUAUGUCAUAUUAACAUGUGCUGUUUUCCUUUGUUACUAAAAUUAUCACUUUCAGUCAUUGCAUGGAUGCCUUUUCCCUGGGUCAUCGACAUAUAAUACUUUCAGAUCCUGUACAAAUCCUCAUUGUUUUGAGCUUGAUAAUGUCAGGUAAAUAGUCUAUUCUCAAUUAUUGUCUUUGUUGCUAAAUGCAUUAAACGUUGAACAUCAUCCCACACUGCUUGCAGGUUUCUUGGGACAUCCGGUCAAAAUGUAGAUGAUCUUGACAAAUAUUCAGAUGCAAAAGAUAAACUUGAAUUCAUGGAAAGGACAUUAAGAUGGAGGCAUUUAGCACCCACAGCACCCAAUACUCUUGGUAUGCUCAUUAUACAUUCCUCAAUGCUUUUACACUUCCUUUAUUAUCAGUAAUCCUUUUUUCUUCUGCUUAGCUCAGCCAAUUUUUUCUGGAGGGUUGAACAUUUGUUAUAUUACCUGCUAUUUCUGUAGAAAUAUAUUGCUCUUACAAAAUAUAAAAAUGAUUUAUUCUCACUUCUGAUACUAACUAUUGUCUUCCAGGGUGCUUUCCUUUUACUGAGAGGGAUCCUUUCUUCAUUGAGAGUUGUCCUCACGUUUACUUUGUUGGAAAUCAAGAUAAAUUUGAAACUCGUAUCAUAAAGGGUAUUUUUAUUCUAAAAUCUGUAUUGUAGUGUCAUAAAUAAAAGUUACUUUGUUUCUGUUUGCGUUUACCAUAAUAUCCCUUCUCUAAAACUUCAAUUAAUUUUGCAUGUUGCUUGCAGGAUCAGAAGGGCAGUUGGUGAGACUCAUAUGCGUUCCUAAAUUCAGUGAAACUGGAGUUGCUGUUAUGGUGAGCUCCAAAUCGUGCACACUUCAUUUUAACUUAGAUAUGGCCUCUUUAUACUUGUAUAAAUAUAUUAUUCCAUUAGCAUAUCAGUAACAUGUCUCUGAUUUGUUCUUUUGAGGCAAUGGAUUGUUGUCCCUGUGAACGUACUAACGAGACUCACUUUAGGCAUUUCAUUGCUGUCUAUUUAAACUUUAGAAUGGGUUUCUAUAAAUGAUUAAAAGCUAAAAAUAUGGUUCUUAGCUAGAAUUUCAAUGUUAUCUCAAAUUUUAAUAGUUCAAUUAAAAAGAACUAACCUCUGAAAAUUAUAUUGUUACUCUUUUGACAACUUUCUAUACGUGAAAGGUUCGUGAAAGGUUUUGGCGUUGGCCUGUGCCAGAGAUAACAGGGUGUUUCCAAUUAUUUUGGUUACGUAUUAGUCACGUGAGACAAAUAGGUUUUGUCAUGUAGAUUGUCUUUUUCUAGUAUCAUGGACAGCGGCAAUUAUUCCUCCAAGGUUUCCUAGCCUCAGCUGUACGAUGGUUGACAUGGUUUCCAGUUAGGUUGAAGACGAUGCUUGUAAAUCUAUAAUUUUGAAAUUUAAUGAAUAAAAUAAUAAAGCCCUGCUGCAAAAUUUUUAGCUGCUCGUGUUAUUGACGCCAAGAACUUUACUGACCUAGCUAGUAAUCUCUUGCCUUCUCUAAAAAAGAAUUUUAGUUCCUACAUGGCUGUCACUGAUGCUAUUCUGGAAUGAUCUAUAUUUGAUGAAAAUGUAGUUAAGAGCAAUAUUCGUUGUAGGAUUACUAUUGCUGAAGGUUGUUUUCUUUGAUUAAUGUCUGCUGUCAUAUAAAGCUGGUUUCAUCUGAUGUAAUUCUUUCAGACUUGUAAUUCCUCUUUCCCUUUUUGCAGCUCAAUCUAAAGGACCUCGAAUGUCAUGCUCUCAGUUUUACCCUUGAUCUAUAAAAUGGGUCAAGUAUAUGAGGUAUUUCCACUGAAAUCAAUUGUACGCAUAAACAUGUUUUUUUACUUGUCACAUUUUCUCACUUUUAAAAGCCUAAUUGGCAUAUUAGACGUCACUAAUUAAAAACUAAUACGAUAAAGUAAUAAUCUAAAAUACAACAAAGCCAUUACUGAAGUCAUUUUGGUGUAAUGGUUUGUUUUUUAUAGUGCCUGAUAGCAACACGACAAUGUAAAAAUUGCUUUUAAGUUGUACCCGCAGUUAGUGUGGCUUCUCCACUAUAAUAGUUGUUACAAAUACAAUUUAUUUAAGUUUAUCUGAUAUCAAUGUCUGGUGUUUUGGAGUUGAUCUUCAAUGGUUUUGGCAGUUCACUGAACAAUGAACAUGUAUAUCUUUUUUAACGGGAGCUUUGAGAAACAGUGUGGUUUAUCCGUUAUACCAAUCACAGAUACUAAUUUAUCUGAAUUAAUUUUGAUCCCUGAAGGCUGUCAUUUUCCCCUUAAAUGGGUCUGAAAGUGUCAUCCAUGUUUAUCUGUAGACAGAUGAUUUUCAUUUACAUCUAAUGCAGGUUAUUCAAAGUUUGUUUAUUGUGCUAUUAUGGGUGUAUCCUUAGACGUAAAGCGAAGAACUGAAAAUUGAAGCUUGAAGUUGACAGAGGCUACCUGUGUUUUUUUAGUCUGAUAUUUAUAGUCUAUUUAUGACCAUUUUUCUUUGUAGUUUUCAAUGUAACAUAGUAUUUACCCUUGUGUAUUUGUUUGACAAUGGAUAUAUAAGAUUUCAAUUCAGAAAAUGUUAAGUUUUCUUUUUUUUUUUCUUCAAGGUAUCUUGUCGGGUACCUUAACAAUUCGUGGCUAUUGCUUCCUGCAUCCUGUCAUGUGUAUUUCAGUACCUUAUCACUUUCGGAACUUAUUUUCAGGAACACGAUAAACAGUUCUGGAAUUGUUCCCCUUUUAUUAGGGAAACAAUUUUCGAAAAGUUUUUUGAUGGGGUGGAAGGAGAAAUUUGGUGGGGUAUAAGAAGCAACGGCCAUAAUUAAUUUGCUAUAUAGCCCAUUAUUAAUAACUAGGAACGCAUUUACUAUUAACGAUGAAAGAAAAAAUUCAACAGACUAUUUAUAUAGAAACUAAAGCUCUUGUACUAAUUUGAAAUGCUAGUUUAUUAUUUUAUACAUAGCUAGGAGAGAUAAAACAUGUUGUUUAUUAUAUAGUAGAAGGUAGGUAGUAGUACGUCAGAAAGUAGCACUGAAACUGAAGAAGGAGAGCGCAAUUGUGGGUCCUUUCAACUUUUCAACUUUAGUAUUGUAUUGUUCCCAUCACAACAUUCACAUGCCAUUCCCAUUGCACAUCACAGAAAAAUCCAAAAUCUUAGGAUAAUUAAGCCAAUCACAAUUCAUUAUUCCAACCCAACGGCUAUAUUUUCUUCCCUCUCUCAUUCAUUAUUCAACCAUUAUUCAUUAUCUCGUAACGGUCCUCAGCACAGAACAUAUAUAGUGUUGUUAAUAUUACCUUACAUAACAUAAAUAGUGCUAAGGUUCCAUUAUGUCAAUUAUUGUUUCACUUCCAAUGGAGACUGCUAAGGUUCAACAUGUAACCAAAAGAUCUUCGGAUGAGCUUCUGAAGAAGUUUGCAGAAGUGGGUUGUGACGAAGGUGGAAAAAGGAGAAGGAAGAAGAGGAGAGAACAUGAAUUGUGUGACUUUGACAGCCCUUCAACAGGUAGUGCCGCCGUCGUCGAAAGGAGGUCCCUUCUGCUGCCCAAGUUGACACGCAGGUCGGUGCUGCUCCGGCAGCUCAGGGUCAGAAACAACUCAUCACUCUUUCGAAACAUUCAUAAGGUGAGCCCAAUUCAAUUCUUUUUUUUUGUACCAAAAAUAUUAAUGAUUUACUUUAAGAGGUAAUUUUAUUAACUUUGAUCAUUAAUCAAUCUUAUCUGAAAAAUAUAAAUAUUUAUUUUUUCAUGACUUUUUACAGACAUGGCGUAGAACCAUUGAAGGUGCAUCCAAAGUUUUCUUGGAAAAGCAUUAUCAUCGUCAUAAGCGUUUGAUCAAUGACAGUGUUUAGGCUCUGUUAAAAAAAUGUACAACUUCUCUUUCUGCAUCUGUGCAAACCUUUGUAUAUUUUCCCUUUGUAAUUUCUUCUCCCUGUUUUUCAUUCUUUGAUUUCUAGUUUAUGUUUCCAUUCUCCAUUUUGUUAUAAUAUCUCCUUUGAAAUAGUAAAAAGAAAUAUAACUUCUAAAUCUAUGUUUAUAUUUAUUCUAGAUUUCCUCUAUUUUGAGUUUGUCCAAAAUACUUGAAAUGAUGUUUGUUAGACCUUUUACAUCCCAAUUAGUUAUUAAAGGUAUUUUUAAAGUUAACUACUUGAUCAUUUGUGUUAGUAUAUGUAUGAGUGACGUGACGAAUAAACAUCUUUAUUUAAUAAAAAAGGUAUACAUUGAAUUUUUUAUAUUUUGUAAAACAAUACUUUAACUAAUAAUAUAUAUUAUAAUAUUUUUAUAAAUAUUAUUUGAUUAUUAAUGUAUUUUGAUAGUGUUUUAUUUAUUAAUUUAUAUAAAUUUAUGACUUUUUAAAUGCAUUAAUACUGAUUAAGAAAAUAAAAGAACAAGCACUUACUUUUAAAACAAAAUAAAGAACCAAAGAUUAAUUCUUUUUCAUUUAGAAAAAUUAUUUAAUUUUAAAGUUUUUGUUGAAUACUCUUAAAAUUAAAUAAUUUUUUUAAAUCAGAAAAAAUAUAUUUUUAUAGUUUUUAUCAUUUAUUUAUAGUUCUAUUUUUCGAUUACGAGGAAAUAGAAGAAUAAUAUAGACUUUUAUGUUUCUGUUGAUAGCUAAAAUAAAAAAGUUAUACUUUUUACUUCGUUCAAAUAUGUUUUGUUGCAAAAAGAUUUAUAACUUAAUAAAAUUAAGGUCUCUAUGAUUAUGAUGUGAAUAUUUGAGUAUGUUAUAAAUAUUGUGUAGAUAAUUGUAUAAAAAUUGAGUCCUAAAAUCCAACUCUAAUAAAUGAUCAUUCUAUAACUUUAACAAUUAAAAAUUUUAUUUAUUAUUAACUUGCUUUGAACCAAUCAAUAUAUAUAUAUAUAUAUAUAUAUAUAUAUAUAUAUAUAUAUAUAUAUAUAUAUAUAUAUAUAUAUUCACCAUAUAAAUUAAUAAGGAAUCAUAAUUAAUUAAGUAAACACAAAUUCUCUGAAAAAAUAUAGUUAAACUUACCAUUUUUACUAGUAUGAUUUUGGUAUAUUUAUUUAAGAGUUAACAUGAUUUUUUAUUUAUUUAAUCUAACUUAUAUUGUUCUUUUAUUUCAUCUAGCCUUCUGUUAACUUUUUUUUUAUAUUUUUAAUAGAAUGAAAAAUUAAAAAGUAACAAAUGACCAAAUGUAGUGAAAAUAUGAAAAGUGACAUGUGAUUCGAUAAAACUCAGUGUAUUUCAAAUAUAAAAAUAUUUCCAAUUAAUAAAACAAAAUGUGUGAUAGGUAAUAAAUAAGUCAUUUUUAUGUAGGUAUGGGUCAUUUUUAUUACUUAUUUAUUACAUUUGGUUAAUAUAAAAUUUUAUCUAAAUUUGUAAAUGUUGGAUCCUUACCUUUCAUAUCUCAUCCUUAGACAUUACAUGGGAAUUAUAGUCAUCGCACAUCCGAUAUAAAUAUUGACUCUUCUUUCUUUAACAAAAUUAUUCCAUCACUUAACCUAAUUGGAAUAAUGGAAACAUGUAUUUAUGUUUUCUUCUCUAUAAAUAGAUGUUUCUCCUCAUUUAUCCUCUAAAACCUCGGCUAUUAUCCUCUUUUCUCUUAAAUUUCAUUAUCUUGUUUUUGCUAGUUUUGUAAUCUUCGACAUACAAUCUUAAAAGUUCAUGUUGUAUAUUGAGAACAAAUAAAUCCUUAUAAGAAAAAUUCUCGACCAUACCUUAUGAAACUAUCUUGUCCAUGUUUUUGAUCAACUUUUCAUCAAUUAAUGGAUCUACUUACAAGUUAUGAAGCAUAAACUCGUAUAUACAUGAAUAUAAAACAAAAACAAAAGUACAAUCAUAAUUAAAAAAAAUAUAAGACAAUACCUUAUGAAAUCAUCUUGCUUGUGUUCUUGGUCAACUUAUCCUAUAAAAGUUUAUCAAUCAAUGGAUGUACUUACAAGUUAUGAAGCACAAACUCAUAUAUAUACAUGAAUAUGACACAAACACAAAAAGUAAAAUCAUAAUUAGAAAAUAUAAGGCACUAGAACAUGAUGAUAAGUCUAUUAAAAUACUUGAGAUUGAAACUGUAAAAUAAUUCUUGAGGGCUUGAUUGAUCCCUCUCAUAAUCUUCUAUUUAUAAGAAUAAAUUGAUACAAGAGUACAUGGUAAUUAAAGUAACCCUAGACACAAUAUAAUCAUGAUAAAUAGGAUAACACUAAACACAAUGUAAUCAUGAUAAAUAAGUAAACCAUUGACAUAAUAUAAUGAUGAUAAAUAGGAAAUAUCCUAAUAAAAAUGUAUUAAUCAUAUUCCAUAAUAUAAAAAAAAAUCUUGAGAAAUAAUAAGAAAAAGAAGUUUAACAAAAUGAAAAUUUUGAAAAAUGUUAUGUUUGACUAUUAUGUUUGGUUAUCCUCAUUGAAAAAUACAAAUUCUAAGUUCAGUUCAUCAAAAGAUAAACUAACAAUAUUAAGAAUCUCAUUCUCAUCCAAUAAAAAACUUGUUUAUAACAUGACACAAAUUAAUUUUCUCUUCACUAUAAUUUGAAGAGUUUAUUUAGAAAAGACAAAAAUUAUUAUGUAUUAUAUCCUACACUCUUUGAGGUGUUAUCUUAUUUAUUUCUAAAAAUUAUAUAAACGAUCAUGUACUCCAAUUUCUUUCAUGAUAGGAAGAAGAACAUAGUUGUUCAAAUAACUUAAGUGUUAUAUUUUUGAAAGUGUGGGUACACAAACAUCAUGAACAAUUCACCAUUGCAAAUGGUGAAUAUGUAAGGUUACAAGAAAAUAGAAAAUCUUCUUUUCUAUUCAAAAUUUUUUUCUCUAACUUUAUAUUUACUUAUCUCCUUACAUAUACAUCAUUAAAGUAUCCUUUAAAACAUUUCUUCCUUUUAUAGGUAAGUUUCAUAUCUUGAUAUGCGAGAAAUAUUUGUUAAUCUUCACUUAAUCGUUCAUGACUAUAAUAUAUACAACAUUGUUAUAAGUUAUUUAGGUUCAAGUGUCCCUACUUAUAAAGAAAUAAUGAUAUUAGUUAAUAUGAUUUUAUUUAAUUAUAGUUUAUAAUGAAACUUAUGUGCAUGUUUAUUCAUGCUACACUAUAUACAUAAAAUAGGAAACUCGAAUCAAGUUGACGCUGGUCGAAGAUCAAGUCGACAUGGCUCAAGUCGAAGGUUGAGCCAAGUCAACCAGGUCGAAGAAUUGAGUCAAGCCAAAUUGGAUAAAAGAUAGAGUCAAGACAGUCCAAGCCAAAUGAGCUGAAGGCCGAAUUGAGUCGAUCAUGUUUGAAGGUUGUGCAGUGUCAACCCGACCCAAGGUCAAGUCAACUUGGUCCAACUAAAAGUUUAGUUGAGUCAACUUAGGUCGAAGGUUGGCCUAAGUCGAUCGAUCCUUAAAAUCGAGUCAAGUCGGUCCAACCUGAAGGUUAAGCCGAGCUGAUUAGGAUAAGAGGUCGACUAAAGUCAGCGUGGGUCAAAGGUCGACUCAAGUCGACCAAGUCAAAGCAUUAAGUUGAGUCUACUUGGGUCAAAAGUCAACUCAAGUCGGUCAGUUCAAAGACUUAAAUCAAGUCGGGUGAGGCCAAAAGUUAAAAGAAGUCAAUUAUGUUGAAAUUCAAUCUGAGUCGGUCUGGACAGAAGUUUAUUCAGAAACGUUCUAGAAUAAUCGAUUAUCAUAAGUGAUAAUCAAUUACCCCAGUUAAUUUUAGAUUUGCCAAAAAGCUUUUGGAAUAAUCAAUUAUCACUCUUGAUAAGUUAUUAUCACAGAGAAAAUAUUUUUUGAAAUAACUUCUGGAAUAAUCAAUUAUCACUUAUUAUAAUUGAUUAUUAAUGAUAGUUGCGAAAUAACUUUUUGGUUUUCUGACCUAAUUUUCAAAUAUUUGACCUAUAUAUAUUUUUCCUCCACAAAUUUCGAACAAUUCAUUUUUAUUCUGAGAAGUUUAAUGUUGUUGCAAAUAAACUCCCUAUGCUUUUUUGAAAAGUAGCUUGUAAAAUCUAGUAUUAGUAGAAGAAGUGAGUGCUUUCACUUAGUGCAUCAGGUGACUAUGUACAUCUCUUGCAGCUAGAAAAAGUUGUUCAUCCUUUAUGUGUCAAGGAAGUAUUAUUCAUUUCAAUAUAAUUAAGAGAGGUACUUCCAAAUGUUUACUCUUUUAGUGAUUAAUUAAUUUUCUCUUUAAAGGAAUUAACAAUAUAAUCUUUUGUUUUAAAGCACUAUAAAACUACUUGUUCAACUUUCUUUUUCCUUAUAUUCUUUAUCUUUAUUGUUCUUUUACUAAAAUAAUUUAUUUUUAUCAUAAAAUUAAUUUAUAAAAAAGAAAACUUUUAAAAGAUAUUGAUUUUAUUAAGUUAACCAAAUUUUCCUUUCAUGCAAACAUUCAAAUUUGAAAGAUGGUCAAGAAAACAUUUUUUACAUAAAUGUAUCUUUUUCUUUUGAAAAUUCAUUUUAUUAUAUUUCUUUAUCUUUCUAUCUUCAAUUUUAUUAAUUAGAGGAUAUCAAUAAUUAUUCCGAGAUUUAUUUUCUACAUAAACAAAGUUUUUAGUUAUUUAAAUUUUAUAAUUGGAGUUUUCAAAAUGAAAGUACAUAAACAUGAAGUAAGAACAUCGAUCUUGAUAAGAGGCAUAUUGUUUUGUUUUUGUUGUUUUGAAAGUGCAAGUGCUUAUUUUAAGUACACUUAUUAACAUGGUUUAAACCAUUUAGUUGUCCAUAUUUUUGGGAGGUUUUCCCAUUUUGAUCCCGUCUUAUUAGAAUCCCCAAUUGAGUCCCUAUAAGUGCUAAUUUUAAUCAAUUAAGCCCCCCUGCCGUUAAAUUUAGUUAACGAGGUUAACUUUUUUGCACAGCUGGAAGGAUGACCUGUUAAUUUCUGUAAACGUGACCUAUUUAGAGUUGAAACGUGGCAUGAAUUGAGUCCCAUAAGUGCUAAUUUCAAUCAAUUUCAACUCUAAUUCAUGUCACGUUUCAACUCUAAAUGGGUCACGUUUAUAGAAAUUAACAGGUCAUCCUCCCAGCUGUGCAAAAAAGUUAAUCUCGUUAACUAAAUUUAACGGCAGGGGCUUAAUUGAUUGAAAUUAGCAUUUAUAGGGACUCAAUUGGGGAUUCGAAUAAGAUGGGGAUCAAAAUGGGAAAACCUCCCAAAAAUAGGGAGAGCUAAAUGGUUUAAACCUAUUAACAUCAUAGUUAUCAAUUUCAACUUUUAGUAUCUUUUAUUUAUUUUAAGUAGUCCUUUGUUUUUAUUUUGAAUUUAAUGAGCUUUUAUUUUAGCUUUUCAGUUUAGAAUUUAGUUAUUAAUAGUUCACAAUUAAUUGCUCUUAAAAUGAAAACAAAUCUUAUUAGAUAUCAACCAAUAAUUAUUUUGAAUACCAUUUGUUUUUUUAUUCUUAAUUAAUUACAAUUUUAAAGUAAACUGGCAUGUAUACUUAUAAUGUCAUUUUAAAUGAAUUUAUUUUUGUUUUUCUACAUUUUAUAAUUUGUAGACUGAAGAAAAUAACUUCAUUUUUAUUUUUGUUAAUAUGAUACUAUGAUGCUUUAUUAGUGUGCAUAGUUUUAGGUCAUCAAAAUUUUAUUAUUUACACUAAAUAAAAAAAAAUCAUAAAUCACCAUGUUUAUAACAAUUUCCUGUUAUAUUAUUGAAAAUCUCAAUAUCGAAUAGUUGUUGUUUUAUAAUAAAAUAUAAUUGUAUUUAUUAUUAAUUUAAAAAUAAAUACAACAAAUUGAACUGAAUAUUUGUAAUAAAAGUAUGAAAAAUAUUUAUAUUUAAUUUAUUCAAAUGUUUUAUUAAAAAGAUGGAUUUUUUUUUCUAAAGACCAAAAUAGUCAUUCUAUGUUUUAUAUUUUAAUUAUAUAUUUAAUGAAAAUGGUCUAAAAGAGAAUUUUUAUAAAAAAAUUAAUUAUAAAAAAUUGUCUUUGAUAUGUUUAUAAUAUUUGUUACCAAUUUUUAAAAUUAAUUUUUAUUUAUAAUCAACAAAAUUAUUAUCUCAUUUGUAAUAUUUAUUAAUUAAUUAAUAUGAAAAAAAUAAUGUUUUCAAAUCAUAUAAAAAGAUUACUUUUUAUAGUCUAAACAAAUUGUCAUUUAAUUAGUAGAGAUAAAGAUUUUUAUGUUUAAAAUAUUUUAUUGUUAUAAUAGUUUUAGUUGAAAUAAUUUUUUCUAAGCUUCUUUACAAUAUAUAAUACACGUAUAUAUGACAGACAUAUUUUCAUUAAAAAUUAGAAUCAAAGUUUUCGCCUAACUUUGUUUUAUUGAAGUUUAUUAUAUAAUUAAAAUUAUAAAUUUUUACUAAUUAUAUAGGAUGAAUAAUAUAUAUAUAUAUAUAUAUAUAUAUAUAUAUAUAUAUAUAUAUAUGUGUGUGUGUGUGUGUAAAAAUAUGCUUAUUUAACACAUAAAGAAUUGAUUUAAAAUAUCUUGAUAUCCAAUUUAUAUACUUCUAUUACAAUACUUUUAAUUCUAAUUCUUUUACUUAUAUAAUUGGUUAAGUGUUAUUUUAGGAAUAUAUGAGUAAACUUUAUGAAAUUAUAAAGUGAAAUUUAAAAUAUAAAUUAUAAAAAAUAAUAUUACCUACAAUGCACCUUAUUUAAUAAAAUCUAGUAAAAUAAUUAUAUUUAACUAAUUAAAAUAUAUUUUAACCCAUUAAUAUAUUUUAAUUUUCGUUUCAAAAUAAAUUGAAGUUAACAUUAGCACCAUUAUCUUCUAAAUUUAGUUUGUAAAAUUAUUAUUUUUAAAAUGAAUUUUAUAUUUUUUAUUGAUUAUCAUAAAUAAUUUAAGGUUUUAUUUGAGAGAGACGAGUUUUAUAAUAUAUAUAUAUAUAUAUAUAUAUAUAUAUAUAUAUAUAUAUAUAUUAAAAAUAAAAUUAUCUGUUAAAUACAUUACAGCCUUAAAAAAAAUCUCUAAUAAUUAUAUAGAUUUAAUUUAAUAAAUAAAACAUUUUAAAUAUACGAGUUUUACAAAGGCAAUUACACUAAGAGGACUUUCUAUUAAAAAAUUCUGUUAGAAAAAAAAAACAUUUGAAUGCUUACUUUAUAAAUUUAAUUAUAUAUUAGAAAUAAUCUAUAUAAAAAAUGAUAAUAGAAAAUAGUAAGAGAAUUUUUUUAAUCAAAUACAAAUAUACCAUUUAUAAUAUCUGCGAACAUUUAUUAAAAUUAUUGUUUAGAAACUCCUCUUUGUAAUUAUAAUCAUAUAUAUUAGUAUUUAAUUUAUAAUAUUUAUUAAAUUUGAGUGUUUAGAAAAAAUAAUUUUUCAUAUAGUAAUUUGUGGAUGAAUAUUUUUACUAAACGAUAGAAUAAUUAAUUUUUCUCAGUUAAUGAUAGAAUAAUUAAUUUAUAAUUCUAUAGUUAAAUUUUAGAAUAGAUAAAAGUCACUUCAUUUAUUAUAAUAUAUUAUUUAUUUGUACAGUACUGUUAUUUAAAUACAAACAUUUGAUAAAUACAUGUAUUUUACCAUUUAAUUUUUUUUAUUACAAGAUUUAUUUUAAAUUAUUUAUUAAUAAAGAAUAAAUAUAAUUUGAUCUUACAAAUUAUAUUUUUAUUUUGGUUCGGAAACUACAUUAUGUGAAUAUUUUAAAACACAUUUCAUACUGUGCAAAAUUAAUUUACUUGAAAGAACUAAAUAAGGCAUAGAGGAAGAUAUUAUUUAACAUCUCACAUUCCAAAUAGGUAAUAUCUUCCAAAAUUUAUUCUAUGCAUCAUUAAUAUAACUUUUUAAAAAAUAUUAACUGCUGGACUUAAAUGUGUAUUUUUUUAAUAUAUUUUAUAGUUUGUAAUAAAUGUAUAAAUUCAAUUUUGUUAUUAUUUUAAUAACUAUAUAUUUUCUUUAUUUCAUCAAUGAAAAAGAAAAGUGCAGUGAAAUGCACGGAAACAGAUACUAACUACUCUCUAUAAAAGAAACAGUGGUUUCUUCUAUAAUUCCAUCUUUUCUUUCACAAAUUCUUCAUUUUUGCUUCGGAAUUUCAGUUUUCAUUGACAAGUUCUUUCUCUUUGCCAUAGCUGAUAAGGAGAGGUUAGUCCAAUUAUGGUGUGAUCUUCGCAUUCUUUUUAAAUUUGUAUUGCAAUUGCUCAGUUUUUCAUUCUUCUUUAUCUUUAUGUAAAAAAGUUAAAUUUUUCAUCAACAAUUCCUCAAUCUUUCCUUUCUCUUUAAUUCUUUCACCAAUUCUUGCUUUCACUUUUAGAUUUAAGGACUAAAAUUGGUUCUUCGUGAAACUUUUCCCGCCAAGAAAAAUAAUGUUGCCUCCGUGGCUUUCAAGUAUAGUUAAUUCGUGCCUAAAGCCUUUUAAGUCUCAAGACAACGUGAAUGAUGAUGAUGAUGAGCCUAGUACAUCCCCGCUUCUAUGGCGUAGAGAUAUUCAGAUGCAUGCUUGUGGUGAAUUUUCCUUCGCUGCAUGUCAGGCAAAUCGGGAAAUGGAAGAUUAUAGCCAAGUUGAGAUUGGCUCUAAAGCAUUAUUCGUUGGGGUUUACGAUGGUCACGGUGGUAAUGAUUGUUCCCGGUUUAUUAAAACUCGUCUCUUCAACAACUUAGUAGGUGAGUCUUGUUGCUUUUGUUCUUGGAAUCUUUUUUGGUGCUGUGUAUUGUUAUUUACUAUUUUACAUUUUCUUGUUGUUAUUUGACGUGUUUCUUGCUUAUAUUGGCAUGGUCUGGGUUUUGGUUUUAUUGUUGCUUGAUUUUCAAGAAGUUCAAUUUCCCUUCUUGAUUUUCUUUCUUUACUUCCUGAAAUCUAAAGAACCCACUGCUUUAUGAAAACAGUGACUGGUGCACUUAAGAUGAUAAUUGGUGUUUGUAUAGAGACAUGUUAUAAAUCAUGUGUGGUUUAAACAAUUAUGAAAGUUUUACGUGGAACCUGAUUACAGAGGCUGUUAGGAAUCAGGGAAGUAUAAACGAAGACGCUCUGAGGGAAGCUUUUGCUACUACAGAGAAUGAUUUUAUGUUAGUUGUUGAGAGGGGUUAUGAGUUACAGAAGAAAUUGGCAACAGCAGGUUCCUGUUGUCUGGUUGGUGUUAUCUGGGGAGGAGUCCUAUAUAUCGCCAAUCUUGGAGACUCUCGUGCCAUUGUUGGAACUUUAGGUAGAUGUAGAAAGAUCACUACUGAACAGUUGACAACAGAACACAAUUGCAUUAGGGAGGAAAUUAGAGAAGAACUUAAGGCUUUGCAUCCAAAUGAUCCAGAUAUUGUAGAAGUAAGACGAGGAGCAUGGCGUGUUAAAGGCAUCAUCCAGGUUUUUCUUUUGCUUUUACCUUCAUCACAAUGGGUUUUCAGUACUUACUGAUUUGUGAAUUGCAAAACUACUAAAUGUUGUAUUGUAUCAAGCGUAGCAGGCUCUGUUUCAUGAUUAUGUUUUUGUUCAUUUGAGGUUUGAUACGGUUUUAAAACUGCUAUCAGGUGUCCAGAACCAUAGGAGAUGCGUAUCUGAAGAUUCCAAGGCAUUUGCAGCCACCUCUCACUGUACCUGUGCUGUCUGCAGAACCAACUCUAAAUACAAGAAUUUUGACAUCCGAUGACAAAUUUCUCAUAUUUGCAUCCGAUGGACUUUGGGAACACUUGACAAAUCAGCAAGCAGCUGAGAUUGUUCACUCGAAUCCUCGAAGAGUAUGUUUUUUUGUUUUUUACUUGUCCUUGAUUUGAAGCAAUAAGUAUAAAUGAAAAUGGUCUAACUUGAUUCUUAUGCUCUAGGGGAUUGCAAGAAGACUUAUUAAGGCUGCUGUACAGUCGGCAGCUAAUAGAGCGAGGAUGGAAUAUACAGCGCUUCGGAACUUGCCGAGAGAGAGCAGACGGAUUUAUCAUGAUGACAUUACUGUGGUUGUUGUCUUCCUCGACGGUCCCUCACGUUCCGAUGUGGAACAGUUGUCCCUUAGAGCGUUCGAAGAGGAAGCUGGACCAUCAAAUUUUCAAAGUCUAAACGAUUUGAUGUGAUACAAGGAUUAUUCUUUCUACAACUGUAGCAAAUAAAGUUGAUUGCCUCUACCUAAUUCUGGUUCAAAACAAAAACAAGAAUCAAUAACAAUACACUCAGACAUAGUUUUGCAGCAUAUUGUUGUUGUGCUAUCAAGGUUCUUCUACUCUUAGCCUCACUUUAAAACUCUACUUUCUGUUUCUGAAACUCAUUUGCUGCUCAUAACUAAUGCUGAAAUUGAAUUUAGAAGGCUUUUUCUGUUUUUAGCUGCAUAACUCUAAUUACUAAAAGUUUUUAGAGUCCCUUUCUUUUUUUUAAUCAGUUUGGGAAUCAAGCAUGCUCCACUUCCAAGGUUUCAUUAUAUAUUUAAACGGGAUAAAAAAAGCAAGUGGUGGUUGAUUAUAAAAGUAAUAAUGCACUAUUGUUUCAUUUACUGAAGUUUUUUCUUUCUAAUUCUUUUUUCUAAAAAAAAUUCUUACAAUAUCAACCUAAAGUGAAAGAGAUUUUUGGCUUAAAUCAAUUCUGGACUUUCCUUUUAGUUUAUAAAACAAUCCCUUAAAAAAACAUUUUUCUUUGGCGAAUGAUUUAUAUUCAUUUUUCAUUUCUCACUUGAUUUAUUAAACACUACGGACUUUUCUAAUAAGAGUUUUACUUUUAUUCUAUAUAAUGUGAGUUUUUCUUCAUUUUGAACUAUUCAGAGGGCUUGAAUUGAAAAAACAUAAACAGAAUGAAGAAAUUUAUUUUAUGAAUAGCUUCUUUGAAAACAUGAAAAAAAGAAGAAUCAAAUGAGAAAAUUACAUUUUAUGCAUUAAAAUCUUGAUUAAAUCCUGUCAUAAUGGAAUUAUGGCCAUGUAAAGUAGAAGAGUAGAAAAUAUUUUUUUCUUAUAAUAGUGGAAUUAUAGUCGUGUAAAUAUGCAGUUCAAAAAAGGGGAUUUUUCUUUGGUUCCGAUAGAAAGAAAUUUUCAAAGAAUCACAGGAAUGCAUGCAAUAACCACUCAGUUUUCAAAUUUCAAGCACACUAAAGCUGGCUAAAGUAAAAAAAGUUGAAAAAUUUACAAACUUUUUAGAUAAAGUGAAACUAAAGUACGAAAAACAGAGUGUAGAAUGAAGAAGAAAGUAAAACAUGAUACCCAUUUUGAAAUACUCAAAACACACUAUCGCAAAUAUUCAUCUCUACGUACAUAACUAUCCGGAAAAGAUACAUGUAAUUAUUUUUUGAAAAAAAAAAAAACAAUUUUUUCAACAGUUUUAUAAUGUAAAGGACAUGUUCUAUAUAAGAAGUUAUCCGAUCUAAAAUGCACACCAUCAGUAGAAGCUUACACACACGUCCGCCUUUGAGAGUGCGUUGACAGGAUAUUUCGUUAAUAUCCAGAAACAAGAACGACAAAAUGGAUUCAACUUUUUUGUGUUUUUCUGUUUAACGUACUAAAUACAUUUGAAUUAGGGUUUCCAAAUUUUUCUCAAAUGAAGUUCAACUGAAUACAUUUGGGAGUGAGCCAUUGGCGAUGAGAGGGACACUCGAUAAUAAUAUCCUUGAAACCACCAGUUACUGCAAUGGACAGGCCAAAACAAACCAAAAACUACGGACACACUCUAUUGUGAUAAAGCAGAAACGACUUCACUCAAUUCGAUUGAAAAAAAUGCUAACCAGCAUAAUUCUAACAGACUGAUAUGGAUCCAUAGGAAACAAGUAAAACCAAGCUGGCAAAUUGACAGACUGAGAUCAACAAUGACAUUUUGGUUGCAGAGAAUUAUAAAUCAAGCAAGUACCAUACCACUGCUUUAAUCAGAAUACUUCAUAAAAAGAAUUUGUUGAUUCAACCAAACCAAAUCGGUAACAAUGCACAUCUCUUCUACUACAACAAAACGGGGAAAAUUUUGAAUCUUACAUAUCUUGCCAGCCUUCAUGCUCUUAUCUCAACAUAUCAAAGAAAGGAAAACACAAAAACAUGAUAAAAGGAAUGGUAAAGAGUAGGAAAUGCAAGUCCUCGACCACUUGAUGGUAUUUUUGUAGUAUUCGUAUAAAUAGUAAUUUCCCUGGUCCAGCUUUCAUACUCCAUGAUUAUAACUUAGAAGCAUUUCCUGUGUACGAUUGAUGGUCCAGAUUCAUCAUACUCAGCCUUCGCAAUCCACAUCUGCACAUGGGAGAGAAAACAUAAAAAAGGAGUAGACUAAAUUUGCUUGUUUCAAUGGUUUGAGUUGGCUUCAGCAAGUACUUACUCUGUUUCCAAACAAAACAAGCACAACGAAAAAGAAUGUACUUUAAACUAAUCUUAUCCCCUUGAUCUAGCUAAGUAUCAUGUUUGAUAUUUCCUCCAAUUUUUUGAUACUACUUAUUUUAUUAAACUUCUACUUAUUAUUCAAAUACAGUUUCCCAUGUAUUGACAUUCCAAAUUCAACAGCUUCACUCAUGCAAUUAUGGUCAUGCAUGCAGUUUACCUGUUGGAAGGUGCUGAGGGAAGCCAAGAUGGAGCCUCCAAUCCAGACACUGUAUUUCCUCUCUGGUGGUGCGACAACCUUGAUUUUCAUGCUACUCGGUGCCAAUGCUGUAAUCUCCUUGCUCAUCCUAUCAGCAAUGCCUGGGAACAUUGUGGAACCACCACUCAAGACAAUGUUACCAUAUAGAUCCUUCCUGAUGUCGACAUCACACUUCAUGAUAGAGUUAUAUGUUGUCUCGUGGAUGCCAGGAGAUUCCAUCCCAAUCAUGGAUGGCUGGAACAGAACUUCGGGGCACCGGAAUCGCUCAGCACCAAUAGUGAUCACCUGCCCAUCAGGAAGCUCAUAGCUCUUUUCAACGGCUGAGCUAGUCUUGGCAGUUUCCAAUUCCUGCUCGUAAUCAAGAGCAAUAUAGGCCAGUUUCUCCUUCAUGUCCCUCACAAUUUCCCGCUCUGCAGAUGUGGUGAAAGAGUAACCACGCUCGGUCAGGAUUUUCAUAAGGGCAUCAGUGAGAUCACGCCCGGCAAGGUCCAAACGCAAGAUUGCAUGUGGAAGGGCAUAGCCUUCGUAAAUAGGAACCGUGUGACUGACACCGUCUCCGGAGUCCAGAACAAUACCUACACAAACAUCAUAGAAAAACCGCAUAAAUUCACUUCAUUCAAUACCAAGUCGUGUCAUUAAGUGGCUGCUAGACUUCCAAAUCUCAUUAAACAUUCAUGAUACAACAAUCGAAACUCUUUUAGGCUUCAAGGGUUAACUCGUAUUGAUUUAGUUCAGUAGAACAACAAGGAAUCCUUGCAACUUCAGUUUAGUUUAAUGAUAGUGUGAUUCAUGUAACCGAUCUCUCUUCUUAGCGGCGUAAUAAAAAAGUAAGGAUCAAUUUGGUACCAUGUCAUGAUCCGAAAAAUCCAAAAGCUUAAACUAACAUGCAAAGACCCACGGACCCAGUUCAGAUAGGUUUGGAGCACAUGCAAGCCAUUUCAAUUGAGAGAAACACAUGAUCGGUAACUUACAAGACACCAAGUUAGAUGAUAAAGACAGAUCAACAGUUUCACAUCAUAUCCACAAAGCUUACAACCAGGACAUGCAUGUUAUACCAAAUAAACAAGAAUCAAGAAAGGUGGAUGAAGAUCGGUUACCAGUUGUACGGCCACUGGCAUAAAGGGAAAGCACAGCUUGGAUGGCGACAUACAUAGCAGGAGUGUUGAAGGUCUCAAACAUGAUCUGAGUCAUUUUCUCACGAUUAGCCUUAGGAUUAAGCGGUGCCUCGGUAAGAAGCACAGGGUGUUCUUCAGGAGCCACACGAAGCUCAUUGUAGAAAGUGUGAUGCCAGAUCUUCUCCAUG